rnacentral:lncRNA from 1 species
GAGAUAACCAUGACUGCAGAGAUCACCACUACUACUAGUCUAACCAACCAACUAAACUGAACGAAACAAACAGACGCGACUCGCCGCAAUUCAGAUUGCAGGACCCCAUCUCCCAAGAAGCCAGGCACCCGUCACUGUCCUCAGCGCAACGACGCAUCAGUGAGCGAGGAAGGCGAGGAGCGAGACGACGGCGGCCACGGCCCACGCCCCGGGCGCGACGGCGCCUGCCGCGCCGUGCACCGCCGCCGGUGCAGGCGCGGGGGCGAGCGAGGGGGCGAGGCUGCCGAGGAAGAACUCAUCCUCCCGCUCCACGAUCCUGCCCGCCGCCGACGCAACGAGCGCCACGAGCACCACCGCGGCCAGGAGAGCGACGGACAGCUUGGCGGAGACGGCGGCCAUUGGGACGAGACGGUGGGAGGAUCUGGUCGCAGAGAAAGAGAAGCAAGCAAAGCAAAGCAAGAAAGCAGCAGACGGUGGCUGUGCUUGGCUUGGCUUCUCAAACCCUGCGGUGGUGGACUGGAUGGAUCGUGGGAGAGAUGUUUGUGUGGGGAAGCGCCGAGGUGGUUCGGGGGAUUUUAUAGCGGGCCGGGGACGGGGGGAAAUGUAGCCGUUGGGGGUCGCGGGAGGCGGCGAGGCCUUCGAAAACGUUCGGAUCUGGCUGACCGGGCUCGGGGACGGGUGGCCUCUCGUCGUCUUUCGGUGGAGUAGCCGUUAAAAGUUAUAAAGUUGGUGGUCAGCACUCAGCAGCUAGCCGUUGAGGAGCUGGGACCGUCGGGCGUGCCGGCGGAGGGAAUCCUAUGGAGGACAGACGCGGCACGGGCGAGGUCGAGGUGGUGUUCGGGACGGGCAUCAUGGCGACGUGUGGUUCUGCUCGAGUGUGUCGCACGGUCACGCGAGAGCGUGGGUUUGAUUUUCGAACCCGGUUCCCUCCCUCCAUCCCGCGCUGCGCCCGCACGCCAUGACGCCUAUGAUGUUCAGUGUACAGUGUAAUUAUCUUCGUAUUGGUUGUAUAUAUAUCCCUUUAAUUUUGUUUUGGUUGUAUACAUAUAUACAUUUACUAGAAAAAACACCAUAUGUUGCGAGGGGGGAAAUAUAACACUAGGAAGCUUAACAAGCGUGGACCAAACCACGUGGACAAUAUCAAGGAAGUCAAGCGGGGAAAGCCAAGCUGGCCUCCACAGCGACACCACGCUGGAAAAACGAACGGAUAGGGUUAGCCUCAAUGAUCCGUAUGGAGGAAGUGUAUGGUUUCUCCCCGAGUAAAAAAAAACGGAAUUAAGCGAUGGGGAGCGGGGCUGUUGGACAUUGGUCGGGAAUGAUAGCUGAAGACGGUGUUUACUCGGGAGAGAGAAGCAUCUUUUUCGAAAAAGGAUGUUUUAUUACUUAAAAGAUUUAAGUAUUACACCCGACCUCUGUAUAACUAAGAUGCAUACAGUCAAUAAAAUCCUCGUGACAAGCCAAAAUAUAAGAAGAGAGCGAAAUACAAAGAAAAUAUAUCCAUAAUGCCUAAAUCCUACGUGGUCCAAUCCUAAGAUCAUGCUGCCAUCCAUGUUAGAUAAAAGUAUCCCUCGGGUAGCCUUCAAUCGUGUACACACAUUCGUAAUUAGGUCUUGAUUCUUCACUCGUUGUAGAGAACCAUAAAUGAAGCGCGCCGAUACAUCUAUAGAUAACCUGCAUAAGAGAAGUACUUUUAUCGUUAAAAAACAAUUAUUUCUAUAUAGCCAAAGCGAUCAAAUCACGACAAGCACUCCCACCCUGAGAAAAAUUCUAAACCUGUGAUCAAUCUCAUGUAACCACUUGCCAAAUAUAUUGACAACACUACAAGGAGGAUACAAGCCACAAGUUAUGUGGAUAACUGACCAUAUAGAACGAGCCAAUUUAUAUUGAAAGAACAAGUGUUUUAUUGUCUCGUCAUGCCGACAAAAAACGUAUUGCGUACUUCCAUGCCAAUUUCUAUUAAUAAGGUUAUCUUUACUAAGAAUGACUCUGCGACAAAGAUAUCAGGCAACUAUUUUAUUCUUAAGAUGUAUUUACAUCUUUAAGAUCUUAUUAUUAUCAACUCGCGUGUCACACUAGAUCAAAUCCUUAUACAUAGACUCUACUGAGAAUUGCUCAUUCCCAUAUAGGUUCCAACGAAAGACAUCGGACCCUUAUGACAAUUGUACCGUGGUAAACCGUUGGAGUAGUGUGCUCCACGAUUGGAGUCUAGCUCCAAUUUGAACAUAACAUUUGGCGAAAAUGAUUUCAAAACCUUGAUAAUAGUAUCACCCUUGUGACGCACAAUAUUGUAUGGAGGUGGAUAUUGUUUCCGGAGAGUAGCAUCACCUAGCCACGCAUCCUUCGAGAAUCUAAUUUCCAAGUCAUCCUUAACUCAGAAGGAACCAUAGUGGAAGAAAUAUUUCUUCAUUACCAUUAGUCCCGACCAAAAGUGAGACUCCCUAGGCUUCCAAUAUACUUGGGAUACCGCCUUUGAACCCACAUAUUUUCUCCUUAGGAGGGUUUGCCAUACACCAUCUUCGGUCAACAAUUUAAACAUCCAUUUGCUGAGGACGUCCCUAUUCUUAACAUCAAGGUCAUGAAUUCCCAACCCGCCUUGGUCAUUGAGACGGCAAACCACACUCCAUUUAGCCAGCCGAUAUUUAUUUCUCUUGCUAUCUCCUUACCAAAAUAAUCUCGAUCGGAAGUAGUCCGAUCUAUGUAAUACUCCUUUUGACAAGUGGAAGAAGGAAGUCAUAUAUAGUACCAUGUUACUUAGUACUGAGUUUAUGAGAACCAACCUUCCACCCAAAGAUAGUAUUUUACCUUUCCAACUACUAAGUCUUUUUUGUAGUCUCUCCCCGAGUGUUUCCAUUCAACGUUUGUGAGUCUCUGAUAAUGUAUCGGUAUCCCCAAAUAAGUGAGCAGAAACUAGCCCAACCCGCAUCCGAACAAGUCAUCAUAUAGAUGGGCCUCAUCUUGAGCCUCGCCAAAACAAAACAAUUCACUUUUAUGGAAAUUUAUCUUAAGCCCCGAGAGUUGCUUGAAUGCUGAUAAAAUUAAUUUCAGAUUUCUUGCUUUUCUCGAGGUCAUGAUCCAUAAAAAUAAUUGUAUAGUCAGCAUAUUGAAGGAUAGAGAGGCCACCAUCCACUACUCCAUCAAUCUGUCCAUCAACCUUGUCUCGCUCAAUCAUAAUGGCUAACAUAUCCGCCACUAUAUUGAAUAGCAUGGGCGAUAUUGGGCCACCUUGUUGCAAACAUUUCUUUAUUUGGAAAUAGUUGCCAAUGUCAUCAUUGAAUUUAAUGCCAACACUACCUCGAGUCACGAAACUAUGGAUCAUAUUGCGCCACUUUGUAAAAAAUCCUUCCAUUCUGAGAGUCUGUUGAAGAAAAGGCCACUUGACUUUGUCAUAAGCCUUUUCAAAGUCGAUUUUAAGAACCACCCCAUUCAGUGUUUUCGAUGCAACCCGUGAACUGUUUUGUGAAGGACAAUAACCCCAUCUAGGAUGUUUGUACCUUGCAUAAAGGUAGUUUGAGAAGGACGAGCCACAAGUUCAGCAAGAAUAGCCUAAUUAUUGCUACCUUAGUGAAGAUUUUAAAACUAACAUUAAGGAGGCAGAUUGGACAAUAUUGUUAUAUCCUUUCAACCUCAUUAACCUUAGGUUAUCAUAUAAUUUCACCAAAGUUUAAGCAAAACAACUCGAGUUGGCUAACGUGAAGGCAGCGCCAAACAGGAGUAGGAGAUCCUUCUUGAUGACCUCCCAAAAGUUCUGGUAGAACUCAGUGGGAAAACCACCUCGACCCGAUGCUUUGUUAUGUUCCAUUAGAAAAACCACCUUUCUAACUAUCCCCUCGAAAAAUGGAGCUGUUAGAAGGCUAUAUUCGAUACGUCCAAAAUGCAUCACUAUUUUGUAUCAUAAUUCGUCUCUAUUCAUUGAUAUAUUUCACAUUAUGAUGAUGUACUUAUAGUGUUUUGGCUUAUUUUACACAGUUUACAACUUUUCGGUGCCGAAACAGCACACGCAGGAUUCAGCGGAGAAAAUAGCACGAAGAGUUACCAUAUCAGAACAUCUCCGAUUGCGUUGAAAUUUACGGGGAAGGAGUUUCCGAACAGAUCACGAAGACGGGCCGAAGAAGUGCCCGUCUAGGUGGUGGGUCCAACCUCCGGUGCUCUCCUUUGGCCUAUAUGAUCCCCGUGACCUAAAAGUUACGGGGAAAGAAGUUUUUCCGGAGUUACGCCACCUCUCCGGGGCGAAAACCUACAGAGAAGAAAAGACCUUUCCGGCGGGCACAUUCCGCCGGGGAGAACUCCUCCCGGAGGGGGAGAUCGUCAUCAUCAUCAUCACCAUUGUCACGGGCAUCAUCGAGAUCAUCAUCACCAUCACCAUCACCCUCAACACGAGCACCAUCUCCAUCUUCACCCCAUCUUACUUUACCAUUGCAAUCGGAUACCUUGCACUAUUCAUCCCCUCUACUCUACCGGUGUUGAUUACUCUUUUGUGGUGAAUGCUAUUGAGUUUUGUUGGAGAGUUAUUGUUAUGACCAGAUUGUUCAUCAUAUUUUCAUCACCUCUGAUCAUGAUCUCUUUUAUGUCUUGUGAGUAGUUGCUUUAGUUCUUGAGGACAUGGGAGAAGUCUAAUUGCUAGUAGUCAUAUGAUGUUGAAGUAAUAUGUGUUGAUUGAUAUUUAAGUUAUGGUGUUAUUCUUCUAGUGGUGUUAUGUGAAUGUCGACUACAUAACACUUCGCCUUUUUAAGGACCUAGGGGAAUGCAUCGUGUAUAAAGAAUUCUUAUGGUGGGUUGCCGGAGUGAAAGAAACAUGAACCCCAUUUCACAUACUUUUGCAUGAGGGAGCAUUGGAUUCUAAAGCUUAUUGCUAUGGUUAGGCUUUGCCUUAAUUUCUGUCUUGUAUUUGCGGACGCUUGCAAGAGGGAUUAAUCAUAAGAGUGUACUUGUCUUAGCCUAGACGGUGAACUAGUUAGGAUCCACCCACAUAACACUUAUCAAUACAAAACAUAGUACUAGGCAGAAUAUGGUGAAAACACUUGACUAUCUCUCCCGUGUGUCCUCAGGAACGCCUUAGUCUUUAUAGUUUUAGUCCCUCAGCUUAUCCUUUGUGUUCAAAAGGAUUGGGCCACUUGCUGCACCUCAGCACCAUUUAAUUUCCAUGCAUUUAUUUCCUUGUUGCUUAUACCAGAAAACCCAUAAAAAGUUACCUUUGAGUACUUGCAGUUAUUCCUUGCUCAAGAUUGCUUGUCAGUACCUUCUGCUCCUCGUUGGGUUCGACACUCCUACUUAUCUAAAAGGCUACGAUAGAUCCCCUACACUUGUGGGUCAUCAAGACCAUUUUCUGGCACCGUUGUCGGGGAGUGUAGCGCUAUUGGUAAGCGAAAUUGGUAAGGAAACCUUUACGCUAUACGUGCUAUUUUUAUUUUACUAUUUCUGCCUUUUGUCCCUAUGGACAACUCUUCUCUUGGUUUGUUGCUUGUGGGGAACCGCCCCAACGCUAUUGUGGUGUACAAGCCUCCACCACCUACUGAAAUUGUGCCCCUUAAAAUACCAACUUGUAUUAUUGAUUGUGUCUUGGCUAAUCGAUAUGCAGGAGAUAGACAUCCGGGUGAACACUUGCUAUAUCUUUCACAACUAUGCUCCUUAUUCAAGCUUGCAGGUAUAACGAUGGAUUUUGUUAUGAGAAAGCUAUUUUCUCUAUCAUUAAAAGAUAAGUCUUUGGAUUGGUAUAGGCUUCUCGAUAACUCUCAUUUACUAAAUAGGGAAGAUCCUAUGCCUCUCUUUUAUGCAAAAUUUUAUCCUCUUCAUGAAAUACAUCGAGACAGGAACUAUAUUUAUAACUUUUGGUCUUGUGACGAAGAAAGCAUCGCUCAAGCUUGGGGAUAUUGAAGUCCCUAAUGCUCAAAUGUCCCAAUCAUGAGCUCUCCAAGGAAAUUAUUCUUACAAAUUUUUAUGGAAGGCUUUCUCUUCAAGAUAAAGAGAUGCUCGAUCCUUCCUCUAGUGGGGCAUUCUCCAACAAAAGCACUGAAUCUAAGUGGGAUCUUAUUGAAAGGAUCGAGAAGAACACUGAAGAUAGGGAGAUUGAUAAAGUAUUGAACCAGUUAUAAAUUAUGAGCAUGAUUACAUUGAGAGCUAUGUGGAAACUGAUUACUUCAAUACCUUUUGUGCUAAGAUUGGUAUUGAUUCCCAGCUUCUAAUUGAUUUUUGCAAAGACUUUGCCUCUCAUAUUGACUCUUCUAAGAAGAGGGAGGAUCAACACCAUAAACCUUUUAAGGAUUUACCUAUUGAUAUGAAUGUUGUUGAUCUUAUCUUGUGUGCAGUUUUAUAUGAAAAGCCCCCUUUUCCCAUCGGGAUGAGGGAUCAUUCUUUUGUCACACACAUACUGAAUAAAAGUGAAAGAACAACUGAUGAGCAUGAGGACCUGAUUAAGGUCGAUCCUCAAGUUGGAUUAGUCAAAGAUCUUGUUACUAGUAAUAUUGAGGAUUCCAAUAUAAAUUUUGUGUUGUUUCUACUAACCUUGUUACAGCCAAGAAUAAAUGCCCAAUUUCAGGUACUCCAGUUGUAUCUAUUAAAAUAGGAGAUCAUAAUUAUUACGGGCUAUGUGAUUUGGGAUCUAGUGCUAGUGCUAUUCCUUUUUCACUUUAUCAAGAGAUCAUGAAUGAGAUUCUACCAUGUGAAAUUGAAAACGUUGAUGUUACUAUUCAUCUUGCAAACAAAGAAACUAUCUCUCCUAUUGGAGUUGUGCGAGAUGUUGAAGUCCUAUGUGGAAAGGUAAAAUAUCAUACCGACUUUCUAGUACUUUGUUCAGUGCAAGAUAGUUUUUGCCCUAUUAUCUUUGGUAGGCCUUUUCUCAAAACUUGUGGAGCUAUUAUAGAUUGCAGGAAAGGAAAAUUAUUUGUUGAAUUUAAUGGUGAUCCAUAUCAAUUUAACUUUUCUAAAUUCUUGAAGAAAACUCAUGGUACUGAUUUGACUAGUAAUGAUAAAAUUAUUGAAGAGAUUGAUUCUAUUGCUAUUCCUCCUAACGAUCCUUUGCAGAAAUUUAUGGAGGACCACGAGAAUGAUAUGCAUAUGCAGGAAAGGAAUGAGCUAGAUGACAUAUUCUUGAGAUAACCUGCUAUCCUUAAGCACAACCUUUCGGUUGAGCCUUUGGGAAUUUUAUUGAAACCAAAAGAAGACCCGGUGUUUGAUCUUAACCUCUUCCCAGCACGCUCAAGUAUGCUUAUUUAGAUGAAAAGAAAGUAUAUCCUGUUAUUAUCAAUUCUAACCUUUCAGGAUAUGAAGAAGAGCGAUUAUUGGAAGUCCUUCGUAAACACCGAGGCGCUAUUGGCUAUACCCUUGAUGAUCUUAAGGUGAUUAGUCCAUCUAUUUGUCAGCAUACUAUCAAUCUUGAGCCUGAUGCUAAACCGGUUGUUGAUCAUUGAUAUGUCUACAUCGUAUCUACUUUUCCAAACUCUUUUGCCCUUGUUUUGGACUCUAAUUUGCAUGAUUUGAAUGGAACUAACCCGGACUAACGGUUUUCAGUAGAAUUGCCAUGGUGUUGGCGCAGAAAUAAAAGUUCUCGGAAUGACCUGGAAACUUACGAGGAUUUUUGUGAAAUAUAUAAAAAAUAUUGGCGCAAGAAUCAACUGGAGGCGUGGAGCGAGGAGCGCACAAUCCCAGGAGGCGCGGCCCCCCCUGGCCGCGCCUAACAGGCUUGUGGGGCCCUCGGGGCUCUGCCGCCACCAACUCCAGCUCUAUUUNNNNNNNNNNNNNNNNNNNNNNNNNNNNNNNNNNNNNNNNNNNNNNNNNNNNNNNNNNNNNNNNNNNNNNNNNNNNNNNNNNNNNNNNNNNNNNNNNNNNNNNNNNNNNNNNNNNNNNNNNNUUUCAGAUGUGAACCUAUUAUGUUCUCGUCAAUAUAUGUGUGUUCUCGAUCCUAUCUUGCAAGUUGUAGUCACCUACUAUGUGUUAUGACCCGGCAACCCCGGAGUGACAAUAGCCGGAACCACUCCCGGAGAUGACCAUAGUAUGAGGAGUUCAUGUAUUCACUAAGUGCUAAUGUGUUGUUUCGGUUCUCUAUUAAAAGGAGAACCUUAAUAUCCCGUAGUUUCUAUUAGGACCCCGCUGCCACGGGAGGGAUGGACAAUAGAUGUCAUGCAAGUUCUUUUCAUAAGCACGUAUGACUAUAUACGGAAUGCAUGCCUACAUUACAUUGNNNNNNNNGGAUGAGAUCUAUCAUGUAAUCGAGUUAGUUUUGAUGGGGAUCGAUCCCUAGUAUCCACUAUGUUCUGAAAUUGAUGUUGCUACCACUUUGCCAUGCUUAAUGCUUGUCACUAGGGCCCGAUUGCCAUGAUUUCAGAUGUGAACCUAUNAUGCCUACAUUACAUUGAUGAACUGGAGCUAGUUACAUAUCUCCCCAUGUUAUAACUGUUGCAUGAUGAAUGUCAUCCGGCAUAAUUAUCCAUCACUGAUCCAAUGCCUAAGAGUUUUUCCUACUUGUCCUUGCGAUGUUACUUUGCUGCUACUGUUGUCACUUCUACUACUGUUACUGCUACUGCUGUCACUGUUGCUACUGUUACCGUUGCUACUGUUGCUAUCACACCACUUUGCUACUGAUACUUUGCUGCAGAUACUAAGUCUUUCAGGUGUGGUUGAAUUGACAACUCAACUGCUAAUACUCGAGAAUAUUCUUUUGCUUCCCCUUGUGUCGAAUCAACAAAUUUGGGUUGAAUACUCUACCCUCGAAAACUGUUGCGAUCCCCUAUACUUGUGGGUUAUCAAGACUAUUUUUUGGCGCCGUUGCCGGGGAGGCCUAGCUCUAUUCUCUGAGUCACUUGGGAUUUACGUCUGCUGAUCACUAUGAGGAAUCCGAGAGAUCCAAAACUAAAGUCUUGCCCUCAACUACAAAGACAGGUAAGGAACUGCCAUCUAGCUCUGCACUUGAUUCAUCUUCAGUUAUGAGUAAGUUUGCGACACCACCUUCUGCUAGAAAUUUUGAUGUGUCGCCUAUGAUUGAUGAUGCUACUUCUUCUAUCCAUGAUGCUUGUGAUGAUGCAUUGCUUGAUACUGCUUUGCCACUAGGUGCAUUCCUAGAUGCACAAAUUGCUAGAGUUGCUGCUGAAUGUGAUGAUACUUCUGAAACUGCUGAGAUUAUUGAAGUAGAACCUGCUAUUUCCCCUGUUAGAACUAGCUCUCCUAGAUAUGAAUUGCCUGAUAUACCCGAGGAUUGUGUUAUGGAGGGAGAGAUAGCUGAGGACUUUCUUGCUUGUAAGGAUAGCUAUGAUCUUGAGAAAUUACUGCGUAAGUGGAAAGAAAAAUCUUUGAACGCUAGGAUGAAAUACGACCCAAAGUUUGCUACUUCGCCUAUCUUUGUGACCGAUAAGGAUUAUGAAUUCUCUGUCGAUCCUCAGUUAAUCACUUUGGUUGAAUCUGAUCCUUUUCAUGGUUAUGAGUCUGAAACGGUUGUAGCACAUCUUACUAAGUUGCACGAUAUAGCCACCCUAUUCAGGAUUGAGGAAAAGAUCCGCCACUACUAUAUCCUGAAGCUGUUUCCUUUCUCGCUAAAGGAUGAUGCUAAGACUUGGUUCACUUCUCUUGCUCCUGGUUGUGUGCGUAGUCCCCAGGAUAUGAUCUACUAGUUCUCUGAGAAAUAUUUUCCUGCCCAUAAGAAACAAGCUGCCUUGCAGGAAAUAUAUAACUUUGCACAAGUUGAAGAAGAGAGUCUCCCACAAGCUUGGGGGAAGGUUGUCCAGCUACUGAAGGCUUUGCCUGAUCACCCUCUUGAGAAGAAUGAAAUACUUGAUAUCUUCUAUAAUGGACUAACCGAUGCUUCUAGGGACCACCUAGAUAGUUUUGCUAGUUGUGUUUUUAGGGAACGAACUGUGGAACAAGCUGAGAUUCUAUUGAAUAAUAUCUUGUGCAAUGAGAAUGCUUGGACUAUUCCCGAACCACCUCCGAAGCCAACUCCGAAGAAAAGAGGUAUUCUAUUCCUCAGUCCUGAAGAUAUGCAAGAAGCUAAGAAAUCUAUGAAAGAGAAAGGCAUUAAAUCUGAAGAUGUCAAAAAUCUACCACCUAUCGAAGAGAUCCAUGGUCUUGAUAACCCGACACAGGUAGUAGAGGUAAAUUCUUUUCGUAGAUUCAAUGAGAGUGAUAUUCCUUUUCAUAAACCUGCUAGUUUAUGCCUGGAUGAAUUUGAUAAGUUUGUUGCCAAACAACAAAGUUUCAAUGAUUAUGUUAGCAGACAAUUGGAACAGAAUGCUCGUAUGCUUAGUCAUUUAAGUGCUUGUGUGGCCAGAAACGUCAAUGAUCUUAAGAUUUUGAGUAAACAUGCCUCUAUGGUUACUACUAAAGUAGAACAAGUACUUAAAGCUCAAAAUGACUUGCUCAAUGAGUUGAAUGACAAUUCUGUCACAGUCGUCACUAGAGGUGGUAGAAUGACCCAGGAACCUUUGUAUCGUGAGGGUCAUCCUAAGAGAACUGAACAAGAUUCUCAAGGAGUUAGCACUGAUGCACCUAGUCAUCCUAGGAAGAAAAAGAAAGAUGAUAGGAACUUGCAUGCUAGCAACCCUGUUGCUGUUACACCCGAGAAUCCAAACGAUAUCUCUGUUUUUGAUGCUGAAACACAAUCUGGUGAUGUACAUGAGCCUAAUGAUAAUAUCGAUAGUGGUGUUCAUGAUGAUGCUCAACCUAGCAAUGAUAAGGAUGUGGAGAUUGAACCUAUUGAUCUUGAUAACCCACAACCUAAGAAUAGGAGAUACGAUAAGAACGAAUUCAUUGCUAGGAAGCAUGGUAAAGAAAGGGAACCAUGGGUUCAGAAACCCAUGCCCUUUACUCCCAAACCAUCCAAGAAAAAGGAUGAUGAGGAUUUUGAGCGAUUUGUUGAAAUGAUUAGACAUGUCUUUCUGCAAAUGCGUUUGAUAGAUAUGCUCAAAAUGUCUCCUUAUGCUAAGUAUAUGAAGGAUAUUGUGACUAAUAAGAGGAGGAUACCUGAGGUUGAGAUUUCCACCAUGCUCGCUAAUUACACCUUCAAGGGUGGAACUCCUAAGAAACUAGGUGAUCCCGGAGUGCCCACUAUACCUUGCUCCAUUAAAGGAAACUACGUUAGAACUGCUUUAUGCGACCUUGGAGCCGGUGUUAGUGUUAUGCCUCUCUCUCUUUAUCGUAGACUUGAAUCGGACAAGUUGACACCCACUGAAAUCUCUCUACAAAUGGCCGACAAAUCAACUGCUUUCCCUAUCGGCAUUUGCGAGGAUGUGCCUGUUGUGGUUGCUAACGUUACUAUCUUAACGGACUUUGUUAUUCUGGAUAUUCCUGAGGAUGAUGCCAUGGCGGUCAUCCUUGGAAGACCCUUUUUAAACACUGCAUGGGUUGUUAUUGAUUGCAACAAAGGCAAUGUCACUUUCCAUGUCAAUGGUAAUGAGCAUACGGUGCACUUUCCGAAGAAACAAUAUCGAGCACAUUGCAUCAAUGCUAUUGAAAAAACUUCAUCGAUUCUUAUUGGGAACUUUGAAUGCCCUAUACCUACUGUUAAGAUGAAGUAUGAUUUGCUUGUUGGGGAUAUGCACAUCCCCAUUGAGGUAACCUAGUGACUAUUAGAAAAAUCCUGCGGUUUUAUGCGAUUCGAAAAAGUUUGUCAAGGAGACUUGAUCAACCUCAUUGACAGAUUUCUUUUGAUGAACAUGAGAUGGAUGAAUCUAGGAGUCACAACCCUAUGUUCCAAACCUUUACCUUCGGUUGCUUAGAAUAAAAAUGAUAGAUUUAGCUUUAGUUUUUCCUGUUUUCUGCUUUUUGCAUCCCAUAGAAAAGUGUCCCAAAAAUAAAAGUUCUUCAAAUGCCCUGAAAAUCAAGUAUCAUUUUUUUUGGAAUUUUUGAAAAAUUCUGAGACGGAGAGCUAGUCAGGGGGAUGCACUAGUGGGCCAUAAGCCCGGGAGGCGUGGGCACCCCCCUGGCCGAGCCUACCAGGCUUGUGGGGCCCACGUGUCCCCCCUCCACUUAUUCUAGCUCCCAUCUCCUUCUCCUACCUCCAGAAAAAUUCAUUCUAUAGCUCAAACCCGUGUUCUUGCUCUUCUUGCUACGAUUUUCGAUCUCCUUGUGCAAAGCCCCAUUCACCAAACUGUUUUGGGGAAAUUGUUCCUUGGUAUGUGACUCCUCCAUUGGUCCAAUUAGUUUUCGCUCUAGUGCCUUGUUCGUUGCGUAUUUUUGCUGCCUUGGUGACCCUGUUCUUGAGCUUUGCAUGCUAAUUCUAGCUGGUCCCAAGUGGUUUUGAUGCAUGAUAUGACCUCUAGGCACUUGUCAGAGUAGUUGCUAUGAGUUUCGUUGAGCCUUGUUCACUUUUCCUUUGAGUCACUAAAAAUUUCAGAAAUUUUCAAAGAAAUAAAAAGGAAAAGAUGAGGAGGUUCCUAAGAGGCUCUUCAAGCCGUGACCCCAAGGAUGAUGAGAAUGAGAAGAAGAAACCCAAGUAUCCGGUCCCUCGAGUUGCAGAAGUUCGAGCGUGCGAGUGGCCAAGCAAUGUGUUCUUACGUGCCGCCGGUCUUUAUGAAGAUUUUUAUUACUUGGUGGAGAACGCAGGCCUUACCGCAUUUGCUGAAGAUAAGUGUCCACAACACCUCCUCCUCACUAAUAUUUUCGUGCAAAGCUUUAACUUCUAUCCUAGGAAGAGUCCUCCUAUGGUUGAGUUCAAGUUAUAUGAUAUCCCCCAGCGCAUGUCACUUCAGGAUUUUUGCAAUGUUUGCAAAUUACCUUAUGUUGGGGAUAUUCAUGAACCUCGUCCACGGGACUUGGAGGCUUUCAUUGAUACUAUUGUUGUAGGAUAGGAGAGAGGAGUGUCUUACGCUAGAGCUGCUAGCAUACAUUUUCCCGUGCUUCGAUACUUCUCAUUAUUCAUGGGAAAAUGUUUGAGUGGCCGUGGGAAAGCUGGGGCCCUUAGCUCCCCAGAUCUUGCGGUUUUGCGCGCAGCCCUUUAUAAUGAUAAAACUUAUAGCUUGGGCGUUAUAGUGGCUCAACGGUUGAACACGAACCUUUCUAAAGGCGUUGUUUAUGGAGGUAUCUAUGCUACCCGUCUUGCUAGACAUUUUGAGAUACCUAUUGGACUGCACGAGGAAGAAGAGAUUCUUCUUCCUGAGAGAUAUCUAGAUUAUGAUAGCAUGGUUCUCCAUGACUUUCUUGAUAAAGAUAUAAAUAAGAGGAUGAUUUAUAACCUGGUAUUUAGUCAGGGUACUCGUGAGACUAUUACCUUGCCUUCUCCUUCUUUGUUCAAUCUUCAUCUAGGCAGUUACAUUAUAAUGCCCUCGGACAUCUACGCAUAUUGGGGCAUAGCACCACCACAGGCGCCCGUGCCCGAGCUACCAGUCGAGUACCAGACGCCAGUUUAUCAGUGGGAGCCAGAGGAGCUCACACAGCAGUGGCACCCUCAAUACACUCCGGAGUACCCCGGAGACGGUUAUUUCCCUCCUUGGGAGUAGACCAACUUAGGCCAAAAGCCUAAGCUUGGGGGAGUACGUGUUUCUCAUUGACUUUAUAUUCUUGCUUACACUUUCACUUUGUUAGUCGGUUUUCACACCUUGCCACUGUAUCAUCCAUGCUAGUUUGUUUCUUUUUCUCGCUUUCUUCUCGUGUGUUUGUCUAGUUUGAGAAAACCCAAAAAGAUUUCUCGUUCUUCUUUUGCUUGUUGGGAGCUUUCCCAUGUAAAUAGUUUUCUUUUUCUUUGGGUAAAGGUAGAAGACCAUGAUUACAAUGUUUAGUGGCUCUCGCAUGCAUAUCUGUUUAUCUGUCAAAGAGCCAACUACUUUGUCUUCUUUGUGUUUGCUUGAAGAUUCCAGCUUAGUCCAAUGCACAAACACUCUUAUUAUUGUCCACAUCAUUCGGUCGUGCAAGUGAAAGGCAAUAAUGACGAUAUAUGAUGAAGUGACUGAGCCUGGAAAAGCUGGUAUGAAUUUGAUCUAUUUUGUUUUUGUAAAUAUGACUAGCUCAUCGUUCCUAAUUCAGUUUUGUUGUGAGAGAAACAUGUUUGCAAUGACAACUUAGAGAUCAUAGUUUCUGAUGCCAUGCUUAAUUAGCUAGGAGCUUAUAAUGGUUUGUCUUGGAUUCCAACAUGAAUUUUGAGAUGAUUAUGAUGUAGUAUGAUAGGAUGGUAUCCUCCUUUGAAUGAUUCAAGUGGCUUGACUUGGCGCAUGUUUACGCAUGUAGUUGAAACAAAAUCAACAUAGCCUGUAUGAUAUUCAUGUUUAUGGUGAUUUAUGUCCUACUCAUGCUUUCACUCUAUGUUGGUUAAUCUCAAUGCAUAUUGAUGACUGUUGUCGCUCUCUAGUUGGUCGCUUCCCAGUCUUUUGCUAGCCUUCACUUGUACUAAGCGGAAAUACCGCUUGUGCAUCCACUUCCAUAAACCCAAAGUUGUUCCAUAUGAGUCCACCAUACCUACCUAUAUGCGGUAUCUACCUGCCGUUCCAAGUAAAUUUGCAUAUGCCACUCUCUAAACCUUCAAGUAAUAAUCUGUUUUGCAUGCCCGAAACGCUCAUGUGGUGACAAGGGGCGGUCAGUAUCUUCCAUGCUAGGCAUGUUAUCCUCGAUAUGUGUUUAUUCACUAUCACUCACGAGAAAGGGGCCGAUAAUUGGAAUGCCCAGUUCCAUGCUCAAAUCGAAAAGAUAAGUGCAAACAAGACCCCCCUAGAUUGUUGUUGGUAUGGACGGCACCCGAGUAUUCGGCUAGUCGUGGAGUGUGAUUGAUCGGCGGUGGGGGAGUCAAAACUUUACUUUUCUGUUUGGGAACCGCCUAUGGCAUGUGUAGCAUGGAAGAUGGUGAAAACUCUUGGUCAUUGUGUUGACAAUGAAAGCAUGCCCCCCAAAAUUAUUUAUCUCUGUCUUCAAAGCUUGAGCUCUGGCACCUCUGCAAAUCAAUGCUUCCCUCUGCGAAGGGCCUAUCUAUUUAUGUUUCUAUUGAGUCAUCCUCUUCUUAUAAAAGCACCAAUUAGAGAGAACCUCCGUCAUUUCUAUGCUUUCCUUUUAAUUGAUAUUGAGUAUGACUGUGACUGGAUCUUCUUUGCCAUGAAUUACAAUGUUCAGUCAGCCCUUGGUCUUUGAAGGUGCUCUGCAUUUAUGUUUUGCAGUCUCAGAAAGAGCUAGCGAGAUACCAUCUGUUCAUACUGCUUCAUGAUUGUGUUGAUUGAAGUGUUGACGUUCGAAACUCGUUAUUAUUGCUCGCUAGUUGAUUAUGCCAUUGAUAUGAGUUCCUCUUGAGACCUAAAUGCCAUUGCUUGUGUGGUUAGCUUAUGAUCUUGCUGAAAAUCUGAAUAUGAGUUAGACAUAAUUACAGCAACAAGAUCAAACAGAGUUCGUAAAAGUUUUUCUUUUGUCUCUUUCGGUUUGUCAACUGAAUUGCUUGAGGACAAGCAAGGCUUUAAGCUUGGAGGAGUUGAUACGUCUUCAUCGUAUCUACUUUUCCAAACUCUUUUGCCCUUGUUUUGGACUCCAAUUUGCAUGAUUUGAAUGGAACUAACCCGGACUAAUGCUGUUUUCAGCAGAAUUGCCAUGGUGUUGUUUUUGCGCAGAAAUAAAAGUUCUUGGAAUAAACUGGAAAUUUACGAGGAUUUUUUGUGGAAUAUAUAAAAAAUAUUGGCGCAAGAAUCAACCGGAGGCGUGGAGCGAGGAGCCCACAAGCCCAGGAGGCGCGGGCCCCCUUGGCCGCGCCUAGUAGGCUUGUGGGGCCCUCGGGGCUCCGUCGCCUCCAACUCCAGCUCUAUUUAGUCCCUUUCAUCCGAAAAAAAUCAAGGAGAAGAGUUCAACGCGUUUUAUGAUACGGAGGCGCCGCCACCACCUGUUCUUCCUCUGGAGGGCGGAUCCGGAGUCCGUUCUGGGCUCCGGAGAGGGGAGUUCGUCGCCAUCGUCAUCACCAACCAUCCUUCAUCGCCAAUUCCAUGAUGCUCUUCACCGUUUGUGAGUAAUCUCAUCGUAGGCUUGCUGGACGGUGAUGGGUUGGAUGAGAUCUAUCAUGUAAUCGAGUUAGUUUUGAUGGGGAUAGAUCCCUAGUAUCCACUAUGUUCUGAAAUUGAUGUUUCUACCACUUUGCCAUGCUUAAUGCUUGUCACUAGGGCCCGAUUGCCAUGGUUUCAGAUGUGAACCUAUNAUGCCUACAUUACAUUGACGAACUGGAGCUAGUUACAUAUCUCCCCAUGUUAUAACUGUUGCAUGAUGAAUGUCAUCCGGCAUAAUUAUCCAUCACCGAUCCAAUGCCUAUGAUUUUUUCCUACUGGUCCUUGCUACGUUACUUUGCUGCUACUGUUGUCACUGCUUCUACUGUUACUGCUACUGUUGUCACUGUUGCUACUGUUAGUGUUGCUAGUGUCGUUAUCACACCACUUUGCUACUGAUACUUUGCUGCAGAUACUAAGUCUUUCAGGUGUGGUUGAAUUGACAACUCAACUGCUAAUACUCGAGAAUAUUCUUUUGCUUCCCCUUGUGUCGAAUAAACAAAUUUGGGUUGAAUACUCUACCCUCGAAAACUGUUGCGAUCCCCUAUACUUGUGGGUUAUCAAUCAUCGACGACGGUUCAACCCGAAGAUGAAGGAUGUUGUGAGGACUGAAAUCCUCAAGCUUGUAGCCACACGUAUUAUCUACCCUAUAGCUGGUAGUAAGUGGGUAAGUCCGGUACAUUAUGUUCCCAAGAAAGGAGGUACGACUAUGGUUCCUAAUGAUAAGAACGAACUAAUACCUCGAAGAAUUAUUAUUGGAUAUAGAAUGUGUAUUGAUUAUAGGAAGCUGAACAAGGCAACCAGGAAGGACCACUACCCGUUGUCGUUCAUCGACCAAAUGCUUGAAAGGUUAUCCAAAAACACUCACUUUUGCUAUCUUGAUGGGUAUUAUGGUUUCUCUCAAAUUCAUGUUAACACUGCCGAUGAAGAGAAGACCACUUUUACUUGUCCUUUUGGUACUUAUGCUUAUAGACGUAUGCCUUUUGGUUUAUGCAAUGCUCCUGCUACUUUUCAAAGGUGUAUGUCUGCUAUCUUUCAUGGUUUUUGUGAGGAAAUUGUGGAGGUCUUCAUGGACGAUUUCUCCGUCUAUGGAACCUCUUUUGACCAUUGUCUCCACAACCUUAAUAAAGUUUUGUAGAGAUGUGAGGAGACAAACUUGGUACUCAACUGGGCGAAGUGCCACUUCAUGGUCAAUGAGGGAAUUGUUCUUGGCCACAAGAUUUAUGAAACGGGAAUCAAGGUGGACACGACAAAGGUCGAAGCAAUCGAGAGGAUGCCUUAUCCAAAGGACAUCAGAGGUAUUCGUAGUUUCCUCGGUCAUGCUGGUUUCUAUAGAAGAAUUAUUAGACUUUUCUAAGACUUCGAAACCCCUCACUAAUCUUCUCCAAAAGGAUAUUCCUUUUGUGUUUGAUGAAUAUUUUAAGGAAGCCUUCGAAGUUCUUAAGAAAGCCUUGAUAACCGCCCCUAUAGUCCGACCACCUGAUUGGAAUUUGCCUUUUGAAAUCAUGUGUGAUGCUAGUGAUUUUGCUAUUGGAGCUGUGUUAGGACAAAGGGUUGAUAAGAAAUUGAAUGUUAUACAUUAUUCUAGCAAAACCCUUGAUAGUGCUCAAAAGAAUUACGCUACUACUGAGGAAGAAUUUUUAGCGGUAGUGUUUGCUUGUGAUAAGUUUAGGCCUUACAUUGUUGAUUCAAAAGUCAUUAUUCAUACUGAUCAUGCUGCUAUUAAGUAUCUUAUGGAAAAGAAGGAUGCCAAACCAAGGCUUAUCACAUGGGUCCUUCUUCUUCAAGAAUUUGAUUUGCAGAUUGGUGAUAGGAAGGGAGCAGACAACCAUGUAGCAAACAACCUUUCCAGGAUGGAGGACAUACCACAUGAUCCUAUUCCGGUCAACGAUAGUUUUCCUGAUGAACAGUUAGCUAUUUUGAAAGUACAAUCUAAUUCCAAUCCUUAGUAUGCAGAUUAUGCUAACUUUAUUGUUGCAAAGCUUUUUCCUCCAGGUUUAACAUUCCAGCAGAGGAAGAAGUUCUUCCACGACUUGAGGUACUACUUUUGGGAUGACCCACAUCUUUUUAGAGAAGGUGCGGAUAGGAUCGUGAGGAGAUGCAUACCGGUGCAUGAGCAGAAUGAUAUCUUGAGACAAUGUCAUAACAGUCCUUAUGGAGGACAUCAUGCGGGUGAGAGGACCACACACAAGGUUCUCCGGUCAGGUUUUUAUUGGCCUACUCUCUUUAAAGACGCUGUACAUUAUGUUUUAUAUUGUGAUAAGUGCUAGAGAGUUGGUAAUAUUAGUAGGAGGGAUGAGAUGCCUAUGAAUUAUUCUCUAGUCAUUGAGCCUUUUGAUUGUUGGGGUUUUGAUUUUAUGGGUCUUUUUCCUCCUUCACACAAAUACACUCACAUCUUAGUGGCCGUUGAUUAUGUGACCAAGUGGGUUGAAGCAAUCCCCACUGAAGGUGCUAAUCACAAGACAUCUUUGAAAAUGCUCAAGGAUGUAAUCUUUCCUAGAUUUGGUGUACCUAGGUACCCCAUGACCGACGGAGGAUCGCAUUUUACACAUGGUGCUUUUAGAAAAGCUCUAGCCAAAUAUGAUGUUAAUCAUAGAAUUUCUUCACCUUACCACCCUCAAACAAGUGGGCAAGUUGAGCUCACCAAUAGAGAGAUCAAGUUGAUCUUGCAAAAGAUAGUGAACAGUUCUAGAAAGGAUUGGUCCAAAAAGCUAGGAGAUGCCUUGUGGGCGUAUAGAUCUUCUUACAAAAAUCCCAUGGGGAUGUCUCCGUAUAAUAUGGUCUAUGGCAAGGCAUGCCAUCUACCUUUAGAGUUAGAGCACAAAGUUUUCUGAGCUGUUAGAGAGCUUAAAGCUGACCCAAAGCUUGCUGGUGAAAAGCGUCUCAUGAACUUGACUUCUCUAGAUGAGUGGAGAAGUGAAGCUUAAGAGAGCGCAAAAAUGUUCAAAGAAAAGGUAAAGAAGUGGCAUGACAAGAGAAUUUUGAAAUGUGAAGUUAAUGUUGGUGAUAAAUUUUUGUUGUAUAGAUAUCAUUUCAGGUUUUGUCCAAGUAAAUUACUUUCCAAGUGGGAAGGACCGUACCAUAUUGAAGAAGUCUACUACUCCGGUGCAAUCAAGAUUAAUAAUUUUGAGGGCACAAAACCACAUGUUGUGAAUGGGCAAAGACUCAAGCAUUACAUGGCUGGAGACCCCAUAAAUGUAGAGGUGGAUGUGAUACAGAUAGCCACUCAUGAAGAACAUAUUGCAACACUGUGCGAGACACCGACAGAAGCAUAAUAAGAGUAGGUAUGAAAUACAGUAAGGAAACUUCACGAACAUCAAUAAAAGUUCCGUAUUAUGUGUUUUUGCAAAAUUAGGAAAACUCCGAGCGGAAGUGGAGCCGGAGAGGAGCUCCAGGUGCUCCAAGCGACCUGGUGGCGCGGGCUACCUCCUGGCCGUGCCAGGAGGCUGCCUGGACCACCCGGAGUCCAUCUCCGAUCCCACUUUGGCUUGUUACCUUCCUUUUGAUGCAUAAAUUUUUUCUAUAUAUUCUCCCGGACCGUCCCGACUUUGUAUGUUGCAAUUCCGUGCGUUUCUCUUUCGAUCUUUUUUCUGCCAGGCUAAAAAGCUAUUGUUCAAGAUGUCUUAUUGCGACUAGAGCGGGGAAGACUACACGGGUCGUCGUCUCCGCCAUGUCCAGCAAGAUAUCAACCAAGGGAAGGUCACCUGAUGGGCUACUGAUGAAGAAAUUGCCGCAAGACAAGCGGGCAUGGAGUGCUUCGUGAGAGAGGAAGUCAAGAUGGUAACCACGCAGCAAGAAGGAGAUCCUUCAUCACGAGGAUCCAGUUCCAACAACCCCAUCCUUGUGGGGGUUAUUAACCCUUAACAUGAUCUUUCUCUAAACCUUUCAGAAACUGUCCCUCCACCGGGAGCUCCACUUGUGUCAUCUGCUACAUCCGAAGAUUACAGAAUCACUAAACAAUUAUGUGAAGACUUCCGUGUUCUUAAAGUACACGUGGCCAUAUUGGAAGCUGAAAACCAAACCCUUCGGCGCAUAAUAGCGGACUUGAAGAACAUCAAGUAGGAUGAAGAGUGAAAUCUUCAUGGCUAAUGGCAUUCCCUUAGCUUGCUCCAAGCUUGGGGGAGUGCCCGGUAUCUUUAUUUUUUAUCCUUUAUAUUUUAUGGUCAAGUUUAGUGUCGUAUCAUGUUUAGGGAAGUUAUCUUAUGAAAUAGGUGUUUGCAUUGAGGUCUAUCACUCCUUUGUGGAGAGUCUUGAACCCGUGAGUGUGCAGUUGUCUAUGAUGGAAUAUUAAUGAGAAGUCUAUUGGUUUCUUUGCUGCACAUGGUAUUCUCUUCAUGCAAUCAACCUUAUAUGCUCAUUCUUAUGGGAGUAUUGAUCUUAUAUAUCAGGUAUGCCUUCGAAAACUUUAUUUAAUCUUGGCAAACAUAACAUUGGUCAUAACAACAAGCAUGAGUUUUUCUAGUAGCGACAUAGCCAAAACCUUUAUGUUCUUAUGCUUGAAGUGUUAUGCUGACAAGGAAGACAACUUGAUGUUUUAUGCCAAUCCUUUAUGUUAAACCUUAUAUUGUUUUUCAUCCAAGUCAACAUUAUUUGUCUGCUCUCAAAAGCCUUUGCUAGCCAACCCUUAUACUAAGUGGGAAUACUGCUUGCGCAUCCAUACCUUGAAACCUCAACCUUCCCAAGAGUCCACCAUACCUUACCUUUAUGUGGUAUUUCACCCCUACUCCAAAAGUAUAUUACUCACGUGCUAUCUUUAAACCUUCAAAUAUUAAUCCCUGUUUUGUGCCUCUGUUUUAGCUCAUGAGGAAGUAGUAGAUAAUUCAUGAUCUUCCCGUACUGGACAAGUUUUAUCCUGGGUUUGCAUGUUUAAUCUGCGAACCCCUAAUACAAGAAGGAACUGGCAUGAGCACGCCCAGCUCGUAAAAGAUAAUAACAACAAACGAAACCUCCUUCACGCUUUGUUGAUGAGAAAUCAGAAAACUUUGGUAGUUAUAAACAAAGGAGACUAAGGGGAUGUGAUCGUCCCCUCUCUGGGAGCCGUUCCUCAAAACUUGUCUAGCAUGAGAAGUAUUGGGCUAUCUGCUAGCAUUCGUUGACAAAUUAUGCACCUCUCAAAAGCUUGUUUUACAAUCUUGUUGACUUCAAAACCUCUAAAAUCUCUAGCACAUGAGUUUUCCCUACUUCCCUCUGCGAAGGGCUAAUCUUUUAUUUUUAUGUUGUGUCAGUAAACCCACUUCUUUCUAUCCUAUAAAAGAGCAGACACUUUAUGUUGACAAAGAUUCAUGCAUUUAUAUUGUUUCAUUGAGAAUUGCCAUAUCACAACUUUGUUGAGAAUAUCAUUAAGAUGAGUAAGUUGUUUGUUAAGCCUAGCUAAAGCAAACAUCUUCCUUUGUGUUAGCAUUUUCACUUCUUGACUAAUAACAUGUUCUUUCAAAAAGCUUCAAUUGAUCUCAUUAAAAUAUAAGAGGAAGAGAAAAAGUAAAAGUUAUUAGUUGUCCUUUGACCAAGGACAUGUUUGCCAUGGUUUGAUGAAUUUCCUUAGCCCUACUUUUGAUUGCGAUUGAUAUUACUCUUUCAUAUGAGCCUUAUGAGUUGAGAUUGCUGUUGAGGAUGGAUGAGUUCAGUAGAGAAAUUAUGAUGCUUCUUGUCCGUAUUCUUAUUUAUCGACACUUCACUCUCUAAACUUGUGGACAGGUUUACCGAGCUCAGUAUUUGCUUGGGGACAAGCGAGGUCUAAGCUUGGGGGAAUUGAUACGUCCAAAAUACAUCACUAUUUUGUAUCAUAAUUCGUCUACAUUCAUUGAUAUAUUUCACAUUACGAUGAUGUACUUAUAGUGUUUUGGCUUAUUUUACACCGUUUACAACUUUCCGGUGCCGAAACAGCAAACACAGGAUUCAGCGGAGAAAAUAGCACGAAGAGUUACCAUAUCAUAACAUUUCCAACUGCGCUGAAAUUUACGGGGAAGGAGUUUCUGAACAGAUCACGAAGACAGACCGAAGAAGGGCCAGAGUGGGGCCACAGGGCACCCACGCGACCUGCUGGCACGGGCCACCCCUAGGCCACGCCCAAAGGCCGCCUGGGUGGUGGGUCCCGCCUCCGAUGCUCUCCUUUGGCAUAUAUGAUCCUCGUGACCUAAAAGUUACGGGUAUAAAAGUUUUUUCGGAGUUCCGCCGCUGCUCCGGGGAGGAAACCUACAAAGAAGAAAAGACCUUUCCGGCGGGCAGAUUCUGCCGGGUAGAACUCUUCCCGGAGAGGGAGAUCAUCAUCAUCGUCACGGGCAUCAUCGAGAUCAUCAUCACCAUCACCCUCAACACCAGCACCAACUCCAUCUUCACCUCAUCUUACUUUACCAUUGCAAUCGGAGUUGUACCCUGCACUAUUGAUGACCCACAAGUGUAGGGGAUCGCAAUAGUCUUCACGGGUAAGUUAACCCAAUUUAUUGAUUCAGCACAAGGGGAGCUAAAGAAUAUUUAUAAGCUUUAACAUCUGAGUUGUCAAUUCAACCGCACCUGAAAGAUACUUGCUUGGCAAUGAAAUAUUAGUAGCAACGGUGAUAUGGAAGUGAUGGUAGCAACAGAAAUAGUAGUGGCAAAGCAACGAAAGUAAAACAACAAAAGUAAAGCAACUCGUAACUAGCAUGAUUAAAAUAUUGUAGGCUAGGGAGAUGGGUGGCUGGUCAUGGAUGAGAGAUAUCAUGUAUUUAACUUGGGGCAAAGCACAUAGAAAAGUAAUGAUCAUCUAGGCAAAUUUAAAAAAUGAGGCAUGUAUCCCAAGGUAGUCGUGCGUCCUUGCAAUAAGAACUUGCACAACAUCUUUUCUCCUACCAUCCCGCUACCAACGGGGCCAAAAGGAACUUAUGGAGAUUAAGGUGCUCCUGUCAAAGAGCACCGGAACAAAGCAUUAACAAUCAUAUCCAUGGAAUCCUCAAACUAUAGUCUAUCCCCUUUGGUGUCCCAAGAUGUCACCAUUGGGAUCGCUGGUUCCGGACUAUACUAGGUCCAUACUACUCAUAUAUAGGAUCAAGGACACAAAUAUAUUCAUGAAAAAUAAGGUAUUCAGAUCUGAAAUCAUGGCACUCGGGCCCAAAGUGACAAGCAUUAAGAUUAACAAGUAGUAGCAAAGACGAUAAACACCAUAGUAGAUGAUAGGCAACAUGCCCCCAACAAUCCGACGAACUAUUACAUGAUCUAACUCAUCCAAUCCCUACCAUCCCCUUCACCUACAGCAGGGAAUUACUCACACAUGAUGGGGGAAUCCAUGGAAGGGUGAUGGAGUGGUGAUGGUGAUGACGAUGGCGACAAUUUCCCCUCUUCGGAGGCCAAAGCAGCCUCCAGAUUAGCUCUCCCGAAGAAGAACCGGGGGUGGCGGCGGACCCGCAUCGAGAACUUGCAAAACAACUUCUAUUCUGGGAUUUCCCUAUCACGGGUAAAAAUAGGAGGCAAAGUAGGGCACCGGAGGGGGUGGACCCCACCCAGGCGGCCUAACGGCGCGGCCAGGGGGCAGGCCACGCCCACAGGUCGCGUGGAGGCCAGGUGGCCCCCCUCUGGCCCAUCUUCUGGCCCAUGGUUCCUCCCGGUGCGUGGAUUUUCUCUGCACACAAGAAAACCAUACAGGCAGCUCUGCUGAAAACAACGUCAGUUCGGGUUAGUUCAAUUCAAAUCAUGCAAGAAUGAGGCCAAAACAAUAGCCAAAGUGUUUGGAAAAGUCGAUACGUUUGAGACGUAUCAACUCCCCCAUGCUAAGCAUUUUGCUUGUCUUCAAGCAAUUCAGUUCAACGAACUGGACGCGACAAAGAAAACUUUGACAAACUCUUUUGCUUCAUCAGAUGUAUAUAAGCAUGCACUACGAAUAAGUCCAACAAGUAUUGAAUUAAUGCUACAAAGACAAUGCACGAAGCAAUCCUUCAAUCAUGUGAAGAGUUUCAAACAACUAAGAAUGAAUAAUAUGCAACUAAAAAUCAUAACGAGAUCACAAUGCACAUGACUCGGACAUACUAGAGUGGUAUCUCUCAAGCCCCCAUGAGUGAAGCAAAACAUAAAUGCAGAUGCUCCUUAGAGUCUUAAAGGAGACUAGAAAUAAAUAUUUCAGAAUAAGUAAUAUCACAAUCAUGCAGAAGACAAUGUGGUACUUUGGGAGAAUGCACAUUACACUCAGAAUGACAAUUAUGCUCUCUAUAGUCGGUGCUUUUUAUAGGAAGAGGAUGACUCAACAGUAAAGUAAAAUAGAUAGGCCCUUCACCGAGGGAAGCAUUGAUUUGAAAAGGUGCCAGAACUUUGAGCUUUUAAAACAGAGAUAAAUCAAAUUUUUGGGUGGUAUGCUUUCAUUGUCAACGUAACAACUAAGAGAUCUCAAUAUCUUCCAUGCUAAAUACAUUAUAGGCGGUUCCCAAACAAAAAAGUAAAGUUUUUACUCCCCCUCCACCAAUCGAUCACACUCCACGGCGGGCCGAAUCCACGGGUACCGUCCAUACAAACAACAAUCCUCGGGGAGUUUUGUUUCAUUAAAUUUGAUUUGACUUUGAGCAUGGAACUGGGCAUCCCGGUUACCAUUCACUUUCUCGUGAAUGAUAGUGAAUCAACACAUAUCUUGAGAAUAACCUACUUAACAUGCAAGAUACUAACAGCCCCUAGUCACUACAUGAGCGGUUCGGGCAUACAGAACAAAAUAUUUAUUUGAAACUUUAGAAUAAAGCACAUGCAAAUUUACUUAGGACGACACAUAAAUACCGCAUAUAGGUAGGUAUGGUGGAGUCAUAUGGCACAACGGGUUUCAAGGAUUUUGGAUGCACAAGCAGUCAGUCCGCUUAGUACAGGCGAAGGCUAGCAAAAGGCGGGGAAGCGACCAACUAGAGAGCAAUAACGGUCAUAAUCAUGCAGAGCGACAAAGCAACAUUGAAUCGGGCAUGAAAGCGAUAUAAUUAUUCUGAAAUAAAAAUAUCAUCAAGGCUUUAUAGACUUCUAGUCAUAAACAUGUGUAAGCAUGUGCCAGGUCAAUCCAAAAACUCUCCGAAGGGAAAUACCACUUCAAUAUGCCAAACCAUGAACAAUGCAAUGCAUGCAAAUCAUUUCAAUAACACAUUAUGCACUCCAACUAUUUGAGACUAGUCACAAAGAAAGAAUGAACUACUGGGAAAGCAUUGUAGACAUAACACUAUCUCGCUACAAGCCGUUCUCUAAAUCAUAAGUACAAGCAUAUGUACAAAAGUUGAAACAAUUUGAGUUCAUACCGGCUUUCCUUGUUGCAUCCCUUUCAUCGAUCUUCAUCAUUAUUGCAUCAUCACUUGCACGAUCGAACGUAGAAAGAUAUAAUGAAGUCAAUUGCAACCAUGGACGUGAGAUGAACUCUACAAACAAAGCAAACUAAAGAGAGAAAAGAAAUAUUUUUGGGUUUUCCAAAGGUUAACCGAAAGCAAAAGAAACGAGAAAUCUUUUUGUUGUUUUUGCAAAGAAAGAACAAAGAAGAAUGGGCAAAUACUCCGAAAAGAUUAAAAAGGAAACCACAGAUGAUACAAUGAAAGGGGAGAAGGGUACAUACUCCCCCAAGCUUAGGCUUUUGGCCUAAGUUGAGCUGAUGCCCGGCUGGCCUUCCAAGAAGAAGGAUCUUCUUCCUCGGGAACAACCCCCUCCAUGGGGUUAUGGAAUUACUGCCGGAUCACGAACUCGUCCAGCUCAAUCGAGAUGAAGGACCAUCCGUUCCUGCUAGUGUAAUCAAACAAAAGUGGUGCAGGUAGACGGAUCUCGCGAGUAGUAAGCUCGCCAAACCUCAUAAUAUAAAUAAGGUUACCAAACUUAUAAGUCCUAGUAACAAACUCAUGCCUCUUCAUAGCAGUAAGAUCAAAGCUUAUGAAUAAAAAGGUGUAUCAUCCGUGCGUACAGUGCGCCCGAGGUGCUCGAGGAUAAGCGUGGCAUAAAUUCCACCAAACUGAGGCCCUUUUCCGCUAUUAGUGAUGAGGCGACGAGCAAUCAAAGCACCAAUAUUAUACGUGUUAUCUCCUAAGAGGGCGGCUGCCAAGAUAGCGAGAUCCGGAGCCGAAAUGUUGCUCGUGUUGUCAAGAGCUAACACCCCUUGAGCAAUAUAGUAUGCGAAAUACCUGAUGUGGGGAAACAAGAUGUUGGAGAUCUUCCCCCGGUGAAUGUCUCGCGGAUCCUUGCUGCAAAGGGAAGCGAAUAGGGGUUUCAGCUCGUAGGGCUGAACUUUCAUUUUGGUCGUCUUCCUGACAUUCCGCGCACCUAUAAUGUCACAAAAUUCUACCAAAGACAUGGUAAAAACAUGCUCAUAUAAUCUGAAUUCAAUCAUGGAAGUUUUAUCAUUAUAUCUAAACCAGUUGACAAAAUAAUAGGUGAGUUUUGGAUGUUGUUGCACACGUCGUAUUACGAGACGUGUUAAACCUGCAACUGCACAUAGGUUAUCACACUUUAUCCUUAAUACCUGCCGCCAUAAGGAAAUCUGAACACGGGUAUGCCAUGGCACGUGCCGUGUCCGUCUCGUGGAGCAACUCUGGUGGCACGAUAUCAUCACUGUAACUUGUCCUCAAAGUGGAAAAUGAAGCUGCAACUCUAGUUAGUCUGUCGGUAGGAUUAGGUCUCUUCUUCCCAAGCCAUCCUUUUGCUUUUCCAAACAAACUCAUUUCUGAAAUUUUUUAUGCAUAACAAAAAUGAAGGUUUAAGCAAAAAUGAGUUGGAGCAAACUAUUCUAUCCCUUCCCCGAUGCAUAAGCUUGCGUCAAAACUUCAUAAAUAAAUCCCUAAACAUGCAUGCAAGAUCAUAUGAACAACACCAAGAACUCCUAAAUACUCACAAAUAAGACUACCAAUCAAAAUUCGAAUUGGAGGAGUGGAGGAGUCACAUACCAAGGAGCAAACGCUCAAAUUCUCAAUGCAAAUGAUGGGUUGUAGAGAGAGAUCGAAAUUCGCCACCAAGAAUAGCAAGAAUUCGAGCUCCAGGAGAAAAAUCAGGAUUUUUGGAGUGAGAGAGAGAGAAGGGAGGAAGAAGUACCUGGAAAGGGGACCAGGUGGGCCCAGGCGACCUAUGGGCGCGACCAGGGGCCAGGCCGUGCCAGCUGGCCGCCUGGACCAGCGGUGCCCCCCCUGGUUGGCCCCAGGUGCCCGUGCCUCUCUUUUUCAAUGGAAAUUUUUAUUAUAGUUUUUCUGAAAUUUUUCGGACAACUUCACUUUUGAAAAAAAAUCGACGUACCGAAAGCUGCAAAACUUCCGGAAAGCUCGACACAAUGGUUAAACAUAUGAAGCUUUAAAAACAUAUAACUUUGGUACAAUGAUAUGUAUCCGACGUAUCUAUAAUUUUUUAUGGUUUCAUGCUAUUAUCUUGUCAAACUUUGGAUGUUUUGCAUGCUUUUUAUUUAUUUUCUGGGACUAACUUAUUAACUUAGUGCCAAGUGCCAGUUCCUGUUUUUUCCAUGUUUUUGACCCCUUUCAGAGGAGAUUUUGAAACGGAGUCCAAACGGAAGAAAAUCCCCGAAAAUAUAUUUUUUUGGAACGGAAGAAGAUCGAAGAACUUGGGAGCCAAGCCAGAAGAGCCCCAGGGGCCCCACAAGCCCCCACCCCGCGACCAGGGGGGCGCCAUCCAGGCUUGUGGCCCCCCUGGAGGUCCCCUAACCUAGAUCUUGCGCCUAUAUAUUCCCAAAUAUUCCCAAAAAAAUCAAGAGAUCAUCGCAAUCGCUUUUCUGUCGCCGCAAGCUUCUGUCUCCGCAAGAUCCCAUCUGGGGCACGUCCUGGUGCCCUGUUGGAGGGGGGAUUCGGACACGGAGGGCUUCUCCAUCAACACCAUGACCUCUCCGAUGAUGCGUGAGUAGUUCACCAUAGACCUACGAGUCCAUAGCUAGUAACUAGAUGACUUCUUCUCUCUCUUGGAUCUUCAAUACAAAGUUCUCCAUGAUCUUCAUGGAGAUCUAUCCGAUGUAAUCUUCUUUUGCGGUGUGUUUGUCGAGAUCCGAUGAAUUGUGGAUUUAUGAUCAGAUUUCUAUGAAUCUUAUUUGAGUUUCUUCUGAUCUCUGUUAUGCAUGAUUUCAUAUCCUUGUAAUUCUCUUCGAGUUGUGGGUUUCGUCUGGCCAACUAGAUCUAUGAUUCUUGCAAUGGGAGAAGUGCUUGGUUUUGGGUUCAUACCGUGCGGUGACCUCACCCAGUGACAAAAGGGGUAGCGAGGCACGCAUCGUGUUGUUGCCAUCAAGGGUAAAAACGUGGGGUUUUCAUCAUUGGUUUGAGAUUAUCCCUCUACAUCAUGUCAUCUUGCUUAAAGCGUUACUCUGUUCGUCAUGAACUCAAUACACUAGAUGCAUGCUGGAUAGCGGUUGAUGUGUGGAGUAAUAGUAGUAGAUGCAGAAAGUAUCGGUCUACUUGUCUCGGACGUGAUGCCUAUAUGCAUGAUCAUUGCCUUAGAUAUCGUAAUGACUUUGUGCGGUUCUAUCAAUUGCUCGACAGUAAUUUGUUCACCCACCGUGAUAUUUGCUAUUAUGAGAGAAGCUUCUAGUGAACACUAUGGCCCCCACGGUCUACUCCACACCAUAUUUUCAGCCUUACACUUUUUUACUUCGUUGCACUUUCCGCCUUCAGAUCUCACUUUGCAAACAAUCUUGAAGGGAUUGACAACCCCUUUGAAGCGUUGGGUGCAAGCUUGUUUGUGUUUGCGCAGGUACUUUGGACUUGACGAGGCCCUCCUUGUGGAUUGAUACCUUGGUUCUCAAACUGAGGGAAAUACUUACUGCUCCUGUGCUGCAUCACCCUUUCCUCUUCAAGGGAAAAACCAACGCAAACCAGAGAAGUAACAAGAAGAAUUCCUAAGCGCCAAGGAAGGACUUUUGUUGCCAUAGCAGAAGAAUUUAUGGCGCCGUUGCCGGGGAAGAAGAUCAAGUCAAGGACUCAUCCAAGUAGAUGUUACAAACUCAUCUCUUGCAUUUACUUUGUUUGCUAGUUGCCUCUCGUUUUCCGCUCCCCCACUUCACCAAUUUGCCUUUUUCAUUUGCCUUUUUCGUUCGCCCUUUCCUCUCGCUUGCUUUCUGUUCGCUUGUGUGCCAUGUGCCUUCAAUAUGCUUGCAUCUUUGCUUGCUGAAAAUCUAGUGAUAUGGAUCCUCAUCCACUUGCUAAUAUCUUUAAGAGAUCUAAUUAUGUUGAUGCAUUUGCUAGUGAGUUGAGUGCACUUGACUUUCUCUAUGGAGUUUUGCUUGAGAUGCGUGAAUCUAAAAAUUGUGAUGAAGAAAUUUAUGAAGUGAUUCACGAGGACUCCUUGAAUGAAAAGCAUGAUUGCAAUGGUUUCACUAUAAAUCCUAUUAGUGUCAAUCAUGCUAAAAAUAUGCAAAACCCUAUGCUUGGGGAUGCUAGUUUUGCUAUGUCCCCUACUUGUUGCAAUGAUCAUGAUUGGGGUGAUCAUUUUUAUUAUGAUCUUGAAUUUUUUUUAAGUGUAAUUAUGAGUAUGAUAUUGGCAACAAUAUUGAAAGUGGGAUUGGAGAAGUCAUGACUUUAUUUGAUGAUAAUCCCACUAUUUUUGAAGAGCGUCAACUUUGCAUACAUGUGUGUCAUGAAAAGAAUAUCCUUUGUGAUAGCUAUAUUGUUGAAUUUGAUUAUGAUCCCACAUGUAAUUGCUUUAAGAGAGGAAAAUAUUGUGGUAAAAACUUUCAUGUUACCAAAUUACCUCUCGUCAUGUUGAGAUUCAUAUUGUCUCUUUCUUCUUCCUUGCAUAUGGUAACUAUUGGUUGUCUUGACAAUCUAUUUUCCUAUAAAAUGCCUAUGCAUAGGAAGUAUGUUAGACUUAGAGGUGAUUUUGACAUGCUUCAUGAUGCUCUCACUGUGCUUCAAUUCUUGUCUUUUGUGUGAGCAUCAUUGAAUUAUCAAUGCCUAGCUAAGGGCGUUAAACAAUAGCGCUUGUUGGGAGGCAACCCAAUUAAUUUAUCUUUUUAUUUAUGUUUUGUUGCGUCCACACUUUCAUAAUUCUGUUGUGAUUGUGUUUUUGUGUUUCUUUUUGUGUUUGAGCCAAGCAAAACCUUUAUGACUAGUCUUGGUAAUGGUUGUUUGAUCCUGCUGGAGAAAGACAGAAACUUUUCGCUCACGAGAUGACUUUUCAUUUUUAUUAAGAAAGAGAUUUUGAGUUGAUUCUUUUUGCUGCUGAUUGAUAUGCUUUUUACCCAGGCCUUCGUAAUCUUUCAGAUUUUUUGAGGUACCAGAAGUAUACGAAGUAUACAGAUUGCUACAAACUGGUCUUUUUUUGACAGAUUCUGUUUUUGUUGAGUUGGUUGCUUGUUUUGAUGAAACUAUGGUUAGUAUCGGGGGGGUACUAGCCAUGGAAAAGUGAGAAUACAGUAGCCCAUCAUCAAUAUAGAUGGAAUUCAAGUUUGCUAGAGUACCAAAAGAAGUGGUAGUUUGUUUUCUUGUACUAAUGUUAUCACAAGUUUCUGUUUAAGUUUUGUGUUGUGAAGUUUUCAAGUUUUGGGUGAUGUUCUCAUGUACAAAGAGAUAAGGAGUGGAAAGAGCUCAAGCUUGGGGAUGCCCAAGUCAUCCCAAGCCAAAUUCAAGGACACCAAAGAGCCUAAGCUUGGGGAUGCCCCGGGAAGGCAUCCCCUCUUUUGUCUUCAAUCCAUCGGUUACAUUACUUGGAGCUAUAUUUUUAUUCACCACAUGAUAUGUGUUUUGCUUGGAGCGUCUUGUAUCUUAGGAGUAUUUUAUUUUUCUUGUGUCACAAUCAUCCUUGCUGCACACCUUUUUUAGAGAGACAUGCACUCAUCGUGAUUUUGCUAGAAUGCUCAUAGUAAUUCACUUAUAUUUUUUGAGCUAGAUACUUUUCCUCUAGUGCUUCACUUAUAUCUUUUGAGCUAGAUACUUUUGCUCUUGUGCUUCACAUAUAUCUUUAGAGCACGGCGGUGCGUGAUUUGGUAGUUGGCUUAUGCUAUGAAAGUAGUCCCAAAUGUGCUAGGUACCCAAAGAGGAUGCAAAAAACCUCCAUCUUCAUGUGCAUUGAGUAGAAAGAGAAGUUUCGAUUCCUCUCAAUUAGUUUUGAGACGUGGAUUCGGUAAUAUUGAGAGUUAUGUUAGUAGGGUGUUGUGAAUCUAGAAAUACUUGUGUUGAAGUUAGUGAUUCCCGUAGCAUGCACGUAUGGUGAACCGCUAUGUUAGGAAGUCGGAGCAUAAUUGAUCUAUUGAUUGCCAUCCUUUGUGUUGAGGUCGGGAUCGCGCGAUGGUUUACACCUACCAACCCUUCCCCUCGGAGUAUGCGAUUAGCACUUUGUUUCGAUUACUAAUAAAAACUUUCGCAAUAAGUAUGUGAGUUCUUCAUGACUAAUGUGAGCCCAUGGUAUAGAUGCACUUUCACCUUCCACCAUUACUAGCCUCUCUAGUGCCGCGCAAUUCUCGCCGGUGCACAAACCCACCAAAUUCCUUCCUCAAAACAGCCACCAUACCUACCUACUAUGGCAUUUUCAUAGCCAUUCUGAGAUAUAUUGCCAUCAACUCCCACCAUUCCGUCUCAUGACUUGUGCCUUCACUCUCAUAUUGCCAUUGCAUGAUCGUACUAGAUCGUUGCACAUCCCGGUACACUGCCGGAGGCAUUUCCUAUGGAGUCAUCAUCAUUGUGAUCUUUGAGCUUUGAGUAAAUAAAAAGUGUGAUGAUCAUCAUUAUUAGAGCAUUGUCCCAUGUGAGGAAAAAAAGGGGCCAAAGAUCCCAAAAACAAAAAAAAAGAAAAAAAAGAAAAGAAAAAAGAGAGGCCUAAGAGCCCAAAUAAAAAAAAGAGAAAAGAGAGAAGGGACAAUGCUACUAUCUUUUUCCACACUUGUGCUUCAUGUUAGCACCAUGUUCUUCAUGAUUGUGUAGCGACCCGACUCAAAACGAGUCAAGCCUGUGUGUUUCUGUGCCAUCCCUGGAUCACUAUGCUGGCACACACAGUACAUCAAUGUAUAUAUCAAAGUGCAAUCACAUGUAAAUAGCGUAAAACUGAUAUAUACCUUAAAUAUCUCAGCGGAAGCAGUCAAGGGAGUGGAGUCCCAAUAAACACCAACGACAAGUUGAGUGUAGACCGUAACCCUGAAUCGUACUCUUACUCGUCGGAGAAAAAUAUCUGCAACAUAAGACGUUGCAGCCGUGUAGGUCAGCAUAUUGAAUAUGCCGGCAAGUCACAUAUGAGAGGGGGUAAAAUAUCAUCUAUACUAUAUGCAUAUAUGGCAGGUGGUGUUGUAAGUUUUAGCGUAAAGCAAAUUUUCUCCUACAACAAGAGGGGCUAAAAGCAAAAUAUUACUACAAGGUUGGUUGUUAACGAGAUGGUUCCGCCAACCAGUUCUCAUACCCAAGUUAUAAAUAUUACCCUCAUCAAAUAUAUAUAAUGGUGUUGAGAAUUUCAGAUAACUUCAGUUCCUUUGGCUCAAGUUGUCCAUGACCGUGGACACGGCUAAUCGAUUAGGUUUGAGUACUCUGCAGAGUUUUGCACACGUUCCCCACAAGAUUUGAUCGCCUCCGUGUAUGUCCUCGCACUUCUGGGUGUUUGAAGACCGGAUGAUCAAAACAUGGUCUUUCAACCGGUCCCUCUGAAUCCCUGUCGGUGCCCAUCCAGUCCUACCGUUCUUCUACAUCUGCUAGCACCGCCUGUCCAGAGUCGCCGCGUUGUCCAACCAAGCCAGAGCCCAUAAUGACUUGUGGCUGUGCAGGUAAGCCUUGGGUCUUGAAAAUAUCCGUCCGUCUCUUUGAGCCUGGGUGAAGCUUUCCGCAAGAUGUCAUGGCCCUCUCCAGCAUCCCGGGUCAUCCACUGGUUUCACCAGGGAGCCGAUCAACCGUCCUUCACCCAGAGUUGCAUUGCAUCACGAGGUCUUGAAAAGUCUUGACUUAACCGGUCUUGGUUAUUGAAUUAUUCUCGCAUCACUCGUGAUAAACUCUCAACCAGAAUCCCGUCUACUCAAGCAUAGCAAUAUGAAAUUUGUCGUCCCGGGCCAAGAAACGAGGUUGUUGGGUGCCUACCACAUGAUACUACAAUAUGUAACCAUAAUUUCCAAGUACCUACUCAGCAUGCAAAUUGGGCAUAGGAUGGUAGAACUACGAUGCAAUAAAACAUAGGUGAUACAUGAUCAAAUGACUUGCCUGGCGAUGUUGAGGAAGAAGAAUUUCUCGAGAAAUAACUUGAUAGACUACUCGUCACUCUCCGAUGAAAUCUAUAUAACAAACAUAUCAUUCACAUAAGCACUCAUACUAGCAAUCAUUCUUGCAAUCAAAACAAAAGAGAGAGUGAAUAAGAAUCCGAAAGAAACUUCAAAUAAAACUAGGGAGUCUUCUACUACAUCAAACACUAAAUAGUUUUUGUCUAACAGAAAAUAAUAUACUUAAAUAACAGGGAACUAAGAUAUAGAUUUAACUAAGAUAAAAUAAAGUAUUUUUUUCACAAAACUAUUGGAAAGUAUUUCCAAACGGGAUUUGAAACAGUGGAGAAACCAAUUGCAAGUUAUUAGAGAACUAGAAUUGAUUUCAUGAUAACAUAUAAAAAUAAAAAUAAAAACUUGUUUCAAACCUACUGUUAAAUAACAGAAACAAAACAUAAUCUUUCUGAAAUAUAAAAUAAAAUAAUUUAAAAACAAUUAUAGAAAAUGAAAUAGCCAUAAUCCUAAAAGAGGUGAAAUAGAAAUUGUUUCACAAGAAACAAUGAUCUAAAAUACUCAAAUAAUUAUGAAAUUUUUACCACUGAUAACUAAGAUCACUAGUGAUCAGUAGCAAAAAGAAUCAAAUUAAAAUCUAUUUUUGAACUCCUGGAAUAAGCAAAACAAGGUUUAAACUAAAUCUGAUCUAAUUCAAAUUUGAAAAUUUCAAAAAUAGACAAAUUAUAUGUUUUUAAGAACUACAGAAAAAUUGUGAUCUAUUGGAAAAAGAAUCAACCUCAUUGGACUUAUGGAUCAAAGUUAUGAGCAAAAGAAAAUUGAAACUCUCUCUGUUUUUUGAAUUAACACUGAAAAACGGAAUAGCUAAUUAGUGAGCGGGGUUCCACGUGGCGUGUUGUGAUUGGCUCUGGGGUGUGCAUUGCAUAGGCUAAACAGCGGAUGGCCGCUAUAUAAGAAACCGCUUCGGCUAAACUUACUAAUAAAUAUAACCGCUGGUUCUUUUAAAAGAACCNNNNNNNNNNNNNNNNNNNNNNNNNNNNNNNNNNNNNNNNNNNNNNNNNNNNNNNNNNNNNNNNNNNNNNNNNNNNNNNNNNNNNNNNNNNNNNNNNNNNNNNNNNNNNNNNNNNNNNNNNNNNNNNNNNNNNNNNNNNNNNNNNNNNNNNNNNNNNNNNNNNNNNNNNNNNNNNNNNNNNNNNNNNNNNNNNNNNNNNNNNNNNNNNNNNNNNNNNNNNNNNNNNNNNNNNNNNNNNNNNNNNNNNNNNNNNNNNNNNNNNNNNNNNNNNNGGUUCUUUUAAAAGAACCGAAGGGGUAUCUUCAGAUCUAAUCUCACACGUAGGAUUUUAAUCGAACGACUAAGAGAGGGGAUGGGGUUGCUCACAGAGGUGGCUGCCGAUGCUGGCUCUUCUCCGGCGAACAGGGACGUGGUGGUCGACGGGGACGAGGCUCCAGCGAGUCUCUGGCGGGUCCGACGGCACCAAAAUGAUGGCGGCAAGGCUCCGGCGUCCGAGGGAGGCGUCGGCGAGGCGAGAGGGAGCCAGGGGCGUCGUGCUCGAGCUCCUCGAGUUCCUGGUGGCAUCUAACUCCGGCGAGAUUGGGGGUGAGGCGUGGUGGUGUGGGAGCUCGGGCCUUGGGAGGAAAAUGGAACACGGCGGACGAGGGGGUGCUCGUGGCGGCGUUGGUUGGGGCGGGGAAGGGUGCGGCAGCGAGGGUGGCGAGGUGUUUUUGCCUACUGGAGCCUGGCUCCAGCGAGGUUCCUGGGGCGAGGGGUGGCGUGGGGAGGAGGGGGNGGGGGGGGCGUGGGGCGGCGGUUAUAUAGGGGGAGAGGGGGCCGAGGGAAGGAAGGGGAGGGGGAAUCGGGAGGGGAUCCCGUGAUGCAGGGGGCUCGCCAUGGAAGGGGCAGUGGCGCUCGGAAGGAAAGGGUGGGCUCGUGGGGAAAGAAAGGAGGAGGAAGAAAGGAAAGAAAGAAGAAAGAAAAAAAGAAAAGAAAAGGGAGAGGGGGUGCGAGGGGGGCUGGGCAUGGCGGUUUGCCAGGGAUCUCGUUCCACCGAUGGGGAUCUGGCCCCAAAAAAUGUCCCUUUUUUUGUAUUUCUUUUAAAACAGCAAGAAAAGAAUAAAAGGAAAUAAUUUAUAUGGAGUAUUAUAUACCAAAUCGAUCAGAAAAAUAUUUCCUAAUCGUUUAUGAUUUUUCCAACACCAAAAUAAAAACUUUUUUAAAAAAUGUUUUUUUAGAAAAAUCCCUAAGGUUUUAUUUUUUUUGGCAAUUAAUUUCUCCAUAUAACUUUGGCUCAAAAUAUUUCAGAAAUGCCUCACAUUUUGGAGGGUCAUUUUCCNNNNNNNNNNNNNNNNNNNNNNNNNNNNNNNNNNNNNNNNNNNNNNNNNNNNNNNNNNNNNNNNNNNNNNNNNNNNNNNNNNNNNNNNNNNNNNNNNNNNNNNNNNNNNNNNNNNNNNNNNNNNNNNNNNNNNNNNNNNNNNNNNNNNNNNNNNNNNNNNNNNNNNNNNNNNNNNNNNNNNNNNNNNNNNNNNNNNNNNNNNNNNNNNNNNNNNNNNNNNNNNNNNNNNNNNNNNNNNNNNNNNNNNNNNNNNNNNNNNNNNNNNNNNNNUUUGGAGGGUCAUUUUCCUCAUCUCUUUUCUUGCGUGCAAGAAUUUUGUCGGGGCAUUUUCUCGGGGAAGAAAAUAUAGAAGCAAGGGCAAAUAUUUUGAAAGGAUUCAAAUGUAAACUCCGUUCAAAUUCUUUAUAGUUGAAGAAGUCAUGUCAUCUUCUCUCAUUGCUUUUGAAUUUGAAUCUACUGGAGAAGGGGAAAGUCAUUUAUUCCCUCUCAUUCAAAAGUUUUUGAAAAGUUUCAAAUUUCACUCAAGCUUCAAUCACUCAAUCAAACAAACAAUCAUUCUAAUAAUUAUUUUAACAUUCCAAAAUUUGGGAUGUUAUAGAUUGAGAGCUUCUUGCUUUGUCACUACCAUAUGCUAGUGGGAAUCUUCGUUUUAUAACUUGGGUUGUAUAUUCCGAUGAUGGGCUUCCUCAUAAUUGCCCUAGGUCUUCGUGAGCAAGCAAGUUGGAUGCACACCCACUAGUUUUCCUCUUGAGAUUUCACAUACUUAUAGCUCUAGUGCAUCUCUUGUAUGGCAAUCCCUACUCAUUCACAUUGAUAUCUAUUAAUGGGCAUAUUCAUAGCCUAUUGAUACGCCGAGUCAGUGUGACCAUCUCCUCCUUUUUUGUCUCACAACCACCACCACACUCUAUUCCACCUAUAGUGCUAUAUCCAUGGCUUGCGCUCAUGUAUUGCGUGAUAGUUAUAAAAGGUUUGAGAAAGUAAGAGUGCGAAAACAAUUACUUGGCCAAUUCCGGGGUUGUGCACGAUUUACAUUAGUUGUGUGAGGAUGAUGGAGCAUAGCCAGACUAUAUGAUUUUGUAGGGAUAACUUUCUUUGGCCUUGUUAUUUUGAAAGUUCAUGAUUACUUUGCUAGUUUGCUUGAAGUAUUACUGUUUUCAUGUCAAUAGCAAACUAUUGUUUUGAAUCUUACGGAUCUGAACAUUCAUGCCACGUGAAAGAAGUUGCAAAGGACAACUAUGCUAGGUAGCAUUCCACAUCAAAAAUUCAUUCUUUAUCACUUCCCUACUCGAGGACGAGCAAGAGUUAAGCUUGGGGAUGCUUGAUACGUCUCCAACGUAUCUAUAAUUUUUAUGGUUUCAUGCUAUUAUCUUGUCAAACUUUGGAUGUUUUGCAUGCUUUUUAUUUAUUUUAUGGGACUAACUUAUUAACUCAGUGCCAAGUGCCAGUUCCUGUUUUUCCAUGUUUUUGACCCCUUUCAGAGGAGAUUUCGAAAUGGAGUCCAAACGGAAGAAAAUCCCGAAAAGGUUUUUUUGGAACGGAACAAGAUUGGAGAACUUGGGAGCCAAGCCAGAAGAGCCCCAGGGGCCCCACAAGCCCCCACCCCGUGGCCAGGGGGGUCGCUCCAUUCAGGCUUGUGGGCCCCCUGGAGGUCCCCUGACCUAGAUCUUGCGCCUAUAUAUUCCCAAAUAUUCCAAAAAAAAUCAAGAGAUCAUCGCAAUCGCUUUUCCACCGCCGCAAGCUUUUGUCUCCGCAAGAUCCCAUCUGGGGCACGUCCUGAUGCCCUGCCGGAGGGGGGAUUAGGACACGGAGGGCUUCUCCAUCAACACCAUGACCUCUCCAAUGAUGCGUGAGUAGUUCACCAUAGAUCUACGGGUCCAUAGCUAGUAACUAGAUGGCUUCUUCUCUCUCUUGGAUCUUCAAUACAAAGUUCUCCAUGAUCUUCAUGGAGAUCUAUCUGAUGUAACCUUCUUUUGUGGUGUGUUUGUCGAGAUCCGAUGAAUUGUGGAUUUAUAAUCAGAUUAUCUAUGAAUCUUAUUUGAGUUUCUUGUGAUCUCUGUUAUGCAUGAUUUCAUAUCCUUGUAAUUCUCUUCGAGUUGUGGGUUUUGUGUGGCCAACUAGAUCUAUGAUUCUUGCAAUGGGAGAAGUGCUUGGUUUUGGGUUCAUACCAUGCAGUGACCUCACCCAGUGACAGAAGGGGUAGCGAGGCACGCAUCGUGUUGUUGCCAUCAAGGGUAAAAAGAUGGGUUUUUCAUCAUUGGUUUGAGAUUAUCCCUCUAUGUCAUGUCAUCUUGAUUAAAGCGAUACUCUAUUUGUCAUGAAAUCAAUACACUAGAUGCAUGCUGGAUAGCGGUCGAUGUGUGGAGUAAUAGUAGUAGAUGCAGAAAGUAUCGGUCUACUUGUCUCGGACGUGAUGCCUAUAUGCAUGAUCAUUGCCUUAGAUAUCGUCAUGACUUUGCGCGGUUCUAUCAAUUGCUCGACAGUAAUUUGUUCACCCACCGUGAUAUUUGCUAUUAUGAGAGAAGCCUCUAGUGAACACUAUGGCCCCUAGGGUCUACUCCACACCAUAUUUUCAGCCUUACACUUUUUUACUUCGUUGCACUUUCCGCCUUCAGAUCUCACUUUGCAAACAAUCUUGAAGGGAUUGACAACCCCUUUGAAGCGUUGGGUGCAAGCUUGUUUGUGUUUGCGCAGGUACUUUGGACUUGACGAGGCCCUCCUUCUAGAUUGAUACCUUGGUUCUCAAACUGAGGGAAAUACUUACUGCUCCUGUGCUGCAUCACCCUUUCCUCUUCAAGGGAAAAAGCAACGCAAACCAGAGAAGUAACAAGAAGAAUUCCUAAGCGCCAGGGAAGGACUUUUGUUGCCAUAGCAUACAACAAGGAGGAUGAAAGAUAAAAUAAAUGAUAACAUAACGAGCUUCCCUUUUUACUCAUAUAAAACAUAUAUGUUAGCAAGGUUGAUCAAGUCUUACUACCAAACAUGUGUUAUAUCGAGCAAAAAAUUUCACUUCUUAUAAAGCAAUCGUGGUACCUUUAUCUUGAUGGAUAUUGUCCCCACCAUAAUGGUUUUGUAUUUGUGGUGCACAUGUAGAGGACAAUUCCACUCUCCGACCUUCACGGUCUCAAUAUUCUCAAUAGAAUUAAGUCCAUGCCUUUUAUCAAUCUUCUUCGGAAAAUAUACCGUGUACUCUUUCUCAUUAACAUGAAAGUCACCUUUCCUUUAUUGCAAUCAAUAAUAGACCCGCGGUGUUAAGAAAAGGCCUACCAAGAAUAAUAGACAUGCUCCCAUCCUCGAGGAUGUCAAGCACAACAAAGUUAGUAAGGAUCAAGCAAUUAUCAACUUCAAGAGGAACAUCCUCACAAAUACCAACAGGAACGGUCGUUGACUUAUCAGCCAUUUGAAGAGAGAUAUUUGUAGGGAUUAGUUUAUCUAAACAAAGUCUUUUGUAAAGAGGAACAUCCUCACAAAUACCAACAGGAACACUCACUCCUGCACCAAGAUCACAUAAAGCAGUUCUGACAUAAUUAUUUUUUAUGGAGCAAGGAAUGGUGGGUAUACCUGGAUCACCAAGCUUCUUGGGAAUCUUACCACUGAGAGAGUAAUUAGCAAGCAUAGUAGAUAUUGCCUCAUUAGGAACUUUUCUUUUAUUAGUAACAAUAUCUUUCAUAUACCUCGAGUACGGAGGCAACUUAAUAGCAUCAGUCAAAGGAAUUUGAAGAAAAAGAGGUCUUAUCCAUUCACAAAUGUUUUCGUAAUGCUCUUCUUCUUUGGUUUUGAAAGACUUACCUGGGAAGGUCAUUGAUUUCUGUACCCAUGGUUCUCUUUCCUUCCCAUGUCUUCUUGCAACAAAGUCUUCUCUAGUAUAUCUCUUGCGCUUGUCGGGUGCUUCUUCUUCUUGUACCUCAGGAGGAUAAUUCUUAUCAUUAUCUUUAUCAGGUGCAGCACCAUCUUCAGUUUCAGCAUCGGAAAUAGAUAUACUAUUAGGAUUAACAAUAUGUUCUUCAUCAAUUAUGGGAUGAUUGGAGUUGUCAACUUCCUUGUGUUUCUUCUUUUUCUUCGGGGAGCUGACAACGUCUUCUUCCUGCAUUUGAGAAUCUUGCUCGAUCCUCUUUGGAUGCCCCUCCGGAUAGGGAGGGUCCUGGGUGUGUGUACCACCUCUGGUCUUUAUACCAUAUGCCUACGUAUCAACUUGUUUGGCAUUGUUAGCAAGCAAGUCUUUUUGCACAUUAGAAAUUUGUUCAAGCUGAGUUUGAACCAUAUGAAAAUGCUUAACAAGACCUUUAACAUCAUUAACAGUUCUACUUAAAACAUCAAGCAAACUUUUGAUAGCAAGGGAAUUAUCAUGCAAUUGGCUUUGAAUCCUCUCAUUAAAGUGAUUUUGCUUGAUAAUGAAAUUAUCAAGCUUAUAUAAGCAUUGAUCAGGGGGCUUACCGUGAGGGAUGUCACUUGCAUUGAACUCUAAGAGAAAGUGUACCUCUACCAUAGGUGGGUGAGUGGUAGGCUCACAUAAUUUCUCAAUAGGAGGUAGAUUCUUCACAUCUUUAGCUUUAAUACCUUUCCCUUUAAUAGACUUCUUUGCUUCUUGCAUAACUUCUGGGCUCAAUAAAAGCAUACCCCUCUUCUUGGGUGGUGGAGGUGGUUCUCGAACGGACCAAUCAUCAUGAUUUUUGGCUAUCUUGCCCAUUAGUUCUUCAGCAUCGUCCAGUGUUCUUUCCCUGAGAACACAACCAGCACAACUAUCCAGAUAGGUUCUAGAUUCAUCGGUUAGACUAGCAUAAAAUAUAUCAAGCAGUUCAUUCUUAGGGACUCCAUGUCCCGGUCUAGCCUUGAGUAAAGUGCAAUACCUCCCCCAAACAUUAGGGAGGUUCUCAUCCUGCAACUGUUUAAAAUUUCAUAUUCUUUGCAAAGCAGCAUGUUUCUUAUGAGCAGGAAAAUAUUUAGCAACAAAAGAUUGAGCUAAAUCUUGAGGACUCUUAAUGGAACCACAUGGUAGUGCAUCAUACCAUGCUUUAGCAUCUUCCUUCAAAGAGAAAGGAAGUAGCUUAGUAACAUAAUAAUUUCUCUUCUUGUCCUCUGUAGUGAAUAAGCCACCCAACUCGGUGAGUUUGGUAAGGUGUGCAAUAGCAUCGUCAUUUUCUCUGCCAUAGAAGGGGUCAGCUUCAACUGUGGAUAUAAGUCAAAGAUCAACAGAGAAAUCAAAAUCAGCAUCCUCAAUGCAAAUAGGAGAUGAAGCAAAUUUAGGAUCAGGAGUAAAUUUGUUCUUCAUAGAAUGCUUUUCAAGCACCUUCUUAACAUAAGCAGGGUUAGAGUCAGCACACUCUGUAAGCUCCCUGCAUAAAUCAUCAUCAAGUUCAAUAUAAUCAUCAUCAAGAAUUCUUUCCCUGAGACCACUCAAGUCUAGGUAACCAAAGGAUAUACCAAUGGGGUAGCGUGUAACAGGAAUUUCAACCCCAGACUGUUUCGCAGCCUUAGCAAUCUGAGACUCAAUAAAAUAACCAAGUAAACCAGUCUCAUCAAUAGUAGUAGAAGCAUCAUCAAAAGUAUCAGGCAUAGUGAAGAACUCGGUAGAAGCAACAUGUGGUGGUGGUGAAGCAAACUUACUCAUAACGAAAGGUGGAUCAAGCGUAGCGCUAGUGCUAAGAACAAUACCUUUUCGUGUAGUGGAUGGUAAAAUCGGAACCUUGGGGUCUCCUUUCUUACCCAUAGUGGAUAAAUCGCAGCAAGCAAAAUAACUCCAAGUAGACUUGUAAAUAAAGCUAUGCUCCUCGGCAACAGUGCCAGGAAAUAGUCUUGAUGAACCACAAGUGUAGGGGAUUUCAACAGUCUUCGCGGGUAAGUUAACCCAAUUUAUUGAUUCGACACAAGGGGACCAAAGUAUAUUAAUAAGCUUUAAUAGGUGAGUUUUCAAUUCAACCGCACCUGAAAGAUACUUUCUUGGCAACGAAAUAUUAGUAGCAACGGUGAUAUGGAAGUGAUGGUAGCAACGGAAAUAAUAGUGGCAAAGCAACGAAAGUAAAACAACAAAAGUAAAGCAACUCGUAACUAGCAGGAUUAAAACACUGUAGGCUUGGGAGAUGGGUGGUUGGUCAUGGAUGAGAGAUUUCAUGUAUUUAACUUGGGCCAAGGCACAUAGAAAAGUAAUGAUCAUCUAGGCAAAUAUCAAACAUUAGGCAUGUAUCCCAAGGUAGUCGUGCGUGCUUGCAAUAAGAACUUGCACAACAUGUUUUGUUCCACCAUCUCGCUACCAACGGGGCCAAAAGGAACUUAUGGAGAUUAAGGUGCUCCUGUCAAAGAGCACCGGAACAAAGCAUUAACAAUCAAUGGAUACAUGGAAUCCUCAAACUAUAGUCUAUCCCCAAGCUGUCACCAUUGGGAUCGCCGGUUCUGGACUAUAAUAGGUGCAUACUACUCAUAGAUAGGAACAAGGUCACAAAUAUAUUCAUAGAAUCAUAAGGUAUUCAGAUCUGAAAUCAUGGCACUCGGGCCCAAAGUGACAAGCAUUAAGAGUAACAAGUAGUAGCACAGACGAUAAAUACCAUAGUAGAUGAUAGGCAACAUGCCCCCAACAAUUCGACAAAUUAUUACAUGAUCUAACUCAUCCAAUCCCUACCAUCCCCGUCACCUACAACAGGGAAUUACUCACACAUGAUGGGGGAAGCCAUGGAAGGGUGAUGGAGUUGUGAAGGUGAUGACGAUGGCGACGAUUUCCCCUCUCUCGAGGCCAAACAGUCUCCAGAUUAGCUCUCCCAAAGAAGAACCGAGGGUGGCAGCGGCUCCACUUCGAGAACUUGCAAAAUGACUUCUGUUCUAGGAUUUCCCCGUCAUGGGUAAAAAUAGGAGCCAAAGUAGGGCACCGGAGCGGGUGAACCCCACCGAGGUGGCCUCCUGGCGCGGCCAGGGGGCAGGCCACGCCCACAAGUCGCCUGGAGGCUGAUUACGAGUUGAUGUAUAUACUUCUCGCCCCUCGUUGGUUACCCCAAGUGGAAGGUGGAGAUGUAGUCAGCAGCAAAUUUCCCUUACACGGAGACUAUAAGGUUUAUCGAACCAGGAGGACUCCUAGGAUCAACAAGUAGGUGUCUUCCACCCUGGCGCUAGCAGAAGACGUGGACCUACACACACAACAAAUAGAUGUGCUCCCAAUGAGUAUAGAGAGGUUGUCAAUCUCUCCGGCCUUGUAGUUUGCAAACGAUCAAAACACAAGCUGGAAGGUAAUAGUAAUUGCAACGGAGAAGUAAAUGAAAGUGGUAAAUAAUGGAGGUCUAAACAAUGAUGGUGAUAUGGAUCGGAAUCACAUGAUGUUCACUAGUGAUUUCUCUCUCCCAAAAGACGAUAACCAACUAUGCUAGGGUAAAGAAAUUACAGUUGGGCAAUUGACAGAAUUAUGAUCGCACCGCAAUGCUAAUUAUGCUCCUUGAUAAUGAGAGGUUCAAUAGUAAUGGGCAGUACGCCAAGACAAGUAGACCAUUUAUUCAUCAGCAUCUACUUACUAAUCAUCCACCUUGAGAUAUCUAUCCAGAACAUCUCUCCGGUAUUAAGUUGCGAUCCCCACCCAAAGUGUAAACUCAAAGCAAUGGACAACUUCAUUAAUGAACUAUGCGUAAGGUAAACAAUCCUUGCAACCAUGGUCACAAGCACCGUUGUUUUCUCCCUGGUGGCAACAAGCACAUCCCCUAGUCUCAUGUUUCUGUCACUCAAGCUAGACAUCGAGGGGCCCGAACCCACAAUCAUGCAUAACGCUCCCUCUUGGAUUUACGAUCUACUACUUGGCCAAAGUAAUAAAAAGCAAUAGAGAACAUGCAUGAAUCACUAAGGAACAUAAUAUAAAAUGAUAAUCAGAUAUAUAACUCAUAACAAUCUUAACAUGAUCUCAUAAUCCAUCAGAUCCCAACAAACCGAGCAUAGCAAUAGCGAGAGAAUUACAUAGAUGCCUUGAUCAUGUAGGGCAGCUCACAAGGACUAACCAUUGAAGCACAAGAUUGGAGAGAAGACAUCACAUAGCUACUGGUCAUGGACUCAUGGUCCAAGGAGGACUACUCAUGACACGCACGGGAAGCAUCCAUGGCGGUGGAGAAGCUCCUGAAGGUCAAUCCUCCCUCCGGCAGGGUGCCGGGAAGAGGUCUCCUGACGCUCCCGAUCUUGGAAGUGUUGCAGCGGCGGAACGAUGGAGAAAUUUGCGAUUCCAGAAAGUCUGCGAGGGUUUCCUCUUGCGACUCUAAAUAUAGGACAAAGGAGGGCACCAGAGGAGGUGGGACCCACCCAGGCGACCUCCUGGCGCGGCCUAGGGCCUGGCCGCGCCAGCAGGCCACUUGGGAGGCCCCUGGCCCCCCUCUGGCCCUCCUUCGGUGAUCCGGAAGCUUCUGGUUCGAUGAUUUUUUAUAUAUUGUUUCGGGCUUCGGAAAAUUGGGUAAAAGCCCCUGCAAAAUAGACAUCAGGAGACAGAAACCGGCACUAGGUGCACUGAGUUAGUAGGUUAGUCCAAGUAUGUGUAAAAUGAUAUAUAAGUGUAGCAAAACAUAUAACAAUGUCACCCAAAAGAUCAUGGAACUAGAAGAAAUUAUAGAUACGUUUGGGACGUAUCAGAGGCCAGGUGCCCCUCCUCUGGCCCAUCUUCUGGCCCAUGGUUCCUCCCGGUGCAUGUAUUUUCUUUAUUUUUUUAUUCGAAUUUUCCGGGACGUCUAAAUAUCCAAUUUCUUGCACACAAGAAAACCAUACACACAGCUCUGCUGAAAACAGCGUCAGUCCGGGUUAGUUUCAUUCAAAUCAUGCAAGAAUGAGGCCAAAACAAUAGCAAAAGUGUCUGGAAAAGUCGAUAUGUUUGAGACGUAUCAACUAUUCAUGCCCUCUACUCUACUGGUGUUGAUUACUCUUUUGUAGUGAAUGCUAUUGAGUUUUGUUGGAGAAUUAUUGUUAUGACCAGAGUGUUCAUCGUAUUUUCAUCACCUCUGAUCAUGAUCUCUUUUAUGUCUUGUGAGUAGUUGCUUUAGUUCUUGAGGACAUGGGAUAAGUCUAGUUGCUAGUAGUCAUAUGAUGUUGAAGUAAUAUGUGUUGAUUGAUAUUUAAGUUAUGGUGUUAUUCUUCUAGUGGUCUUAUGUGAACGUCGACUACAUAACACUUCGCCUUUUUAAGGACCUAGGGGAAUGCAUCGUGUAUAAAGAAUGCUCAUGGUGGGUUGCCGGAGUGAAAGAAACAUGAACCCCAGUUCACAUACUUUUGCACGAGGGAGCAUUGGAUCCUAAAUCUUAUUGCUAUGGUUAGGCUUUGCCUUAAUUUCUCUCUUGUAUUUUGCGGACGCUUGCAAGAGGGAUUAAUCAUAAGAGUGUACUUGUCUUACUCUAGAUGGUGCACUAGUUAAGAUCCACCCACAUAACAUUUAUCAAUACAAAACAUAGUACUAGGGAGAAUAUGGCGAAAGCACUUGACUACCUCUCCCGGGUGUCCUCAGGAACGCCUUAGUCUUUAUAUGUUUAGUCCCUCGACUUAUCCUUUGUGUUCAAAAGGGUUGGGAUACUUGCUGCACCUCAGUACCAUUUACUUUCCCUGCAUUUAUUUCCUUGUUGCUUAUACCAGAAAACCCAUAAAAAGUUACCUUUCAAUACUUGCAGUUAUUCCUUGCUCAAGAUCGCUUGUCAGUACCUUCUGCUCCUCGUUGGGUUCUACACUCCUACUUAUCGAAAAGGAUAUGAUAGAUCCGCUACACUUGUGGGUCAUCAGUGUUCCACAUCAGAAACCCGAGGGAUGUCAUAUGUUCGAGAUUCCCCCAUCAAGAAGUUUCCUUCCUUAGGGGUUCUGAAUAUAUUUUUAUAAUAACUAGUGACGUAAGACUUAAGUUUCUCAUGCCCUUCAAUCCUGCCCUCCUCCUGUUGUAGGGAAUGAUUAAGUUUCUUCCGGUGUCUACCAUCGGUGACUGUAGUGACCCGACUCAAGACGAGUCAAGCCUCUGGUGUUUCCGUACCAUCCCAAGAUCAUGCUGGUACACACACAGUACAUAAUGUAUAUAUUCAAGAGUUCAAUCAGACAGCUUUAUUAAUCGAAAUCUCAUAAAGAGUACUUUAUUACAAUAAAGGAUUACAAUAAAGUGGCUGAAGGCCAACUCAUGAGAUAUCUAACGAAGACUAGCGGAAGCAUCAGGUAGACGAGUCCAUCCGACUCCAAGGGCAUGUCGCUGAGCGUAGAUCGUAGCCUCACUCUUGGUCGGAAAAGUACUCUGCAACAUGAUACGUUGCAGCCGUGUAGGUCAGCAUAUUGAAUAUGCCGGUAAGUCAUCAAAGAGAGGGGUAAAAAUAAUAAUCAACUAUCUCUACAUGCAUAUUUGGCCGGUGGGGCUAAGUUUUGCAUAAAGCCAGUUUUAUCCUACAACAAGAGGUUGGAAGCAAAAUAUUACUACAUUGUUUGUUGUUAACGAGAUGGUUCCGCCAACCAAUUCUCGUGCCCGAAUAGUUGUUAACACCCACAUCAUUAUUAAGUUGUGUCGAGAGUUCAGGGGAAAUUCGAUGCCUUCGGCUCAAGUUGUCCAUGACCGUGGACACGGCUAAUCGAUUAGGUUGGGCACUCUGCAGAGUUUUGCACACGUUCCCCACAAGAUUUGAUCACCUCCGGGUUUGUCCUCGCACUUCAGGGUGUUUGAAGACCGGAUGAUCAAAACAUGGUCUUUCAACGGGUCCCUCUGAAUCCCUGUCGGUGCCCAUCCAUUCCUACCGUUCGUCUACAUCUGCUAGCACCGCCUGUCCAGAGUCGCCACGUUGUCCAACCAAGCCAGAGCCCAUAAUGACUUGUGGCUGUGCAGGUAAGCCUUGAGUCUUGAAGUCUCCGUCCAUCUCUUCGAGCCUGGGUGAAGCUUUCCGCAGGAUGACAUGGCCUCUCCAGCAUCCCGGGCAUCCACUGGGUUCUCCAGGGAGCCGGUCAACCGUCCUUCACCCAGAGUUGCAUUGCGUCCGAGGUCUUGAAAAAUCUUGUCUUAGUCCGGUCUUGAUUAUUAUAUCAACCUCGCAUCACUCGUGGUAUACACUCAACCGAUAACCCGUCUACUCAAGCAUAGCAUUUAGAAAUUUUCGUCCAGGGGCCAAGUAUCGGGGUGGUUGUGUUCCUACCACAUGAUACUACAACUUAUACUAAAGUUUCCAAGUACCUAGGCAGCAUGCAAUUGGGCAUAGGAGCUGAUCUACCAUGCAUCGAAAACAUAGGUAAAAUAACAUGAUCAAAAUGAUUUGCCUUGAUGAUAGUUGUCUUGCUCGAGCGCUUCUAAGUAACACGCUUCGCACUCCAGAUGAUCUACCGAUACGAACACAAAUCACACCAUAAGCACUUCAACCAUGAAACAAGUACAAAUAACACCACAAGUAAUGAUUUGCGAAAACCUAAGCAAAAGAAUUUAUCACGCGCCGGUAUGGCAAAAACUUGUUUCUGUUGAAAACACCAGUAAAAAUACUUUAAAAAAUUUGAAACUUCUACCACAGUAAUAUUUUAUCACUAGGGAUCAGUAGCAAAAAUAAUCAACUAAAAAUCAUUUUUGAAACUCCUGGAAUAGGCAAAACAAGGUUUAAACUAAAUCUGCUCUAACUUAUAUUUGAAAAUUUCAAACAUAGACAAAUUAUAUGUUUUUAGAAACUACAGGAAAUUUGUGAGCUACUGGAAAAAGAAUAAAUGUCAUUGGACUUCGGGAUAAAAAGUUGUGGCUAAAACAAAACAGAAAGUUUCUGUUUUUGCAAACAGGCAGAAAAAUUAUAAAACUACUAGUACUAAAAAUAGGGGUACACGUGGCCUGAGGCUAUUGGCUGCAGAGGCUGUUUGAUGCAUGGCUUUGAGCAAACGGCCUAAGGCUAGCAAAAACUGCUGGCUAAAAUCAUAAGUGACAAAAAAACCCACUGAUUUUCUAAACUAAACCGAAAGGUUAUCUAGUGAUCUAAUCUAGGCCUUACCUCUUAGAUCCAACGGCUAAAAAAAGCAUGAAAUAACACAGAGGAGAGGGAGAAGCUACCUUGACCGGGGCAGUAGCUUUUGCUCCGGCGGGGGCGUUGCCGGCGAGGGGGGGAGGGGGCUCCGGGGCGGUGGAAAUGGGGCGGCGGCGGCGGGGCAAUCCUCCUCCUCGGGGAGGCGCUCGGGGGGAGAGGGGGCUCGGGGGGUGGCGCUCCCAGGGCGGCCGAAGUGGCAGCAGAAGCUGCUGCCGGCGAGCUCGCGGUGGCAGGGGCUUCGGGCGGCGGUGGCGGCGGGGUAGGGUUGGGAACGGGGUCGACUAGGGGUGGGGAGUAUUUAUAGGCUAGGAGGAGGGCGAGCUAAGGAAGGGAGAUGGAGAGAAUCGGCAGGGGAUCGCGGGAUUUCCUGGUGCAGCUCGGUCGGGCACGGGCAUGAUAGGAGAGGAAGGAGAAUGGUGACGGGGAGGGAGGCUCGGUCGGUGGGGCCCGUAGGUAAGUGAGAGGGAGGAGGGGAGGUUGGGGUCGGGCGGCCGGGGCAUAAGGGAUUCGAUUCCCAGGGGCACGAGAUUUCGGCCCAGGGCCAACAGUGCGCCCGGCGGCGGCUUUUAAAAAAACAAAAUCCUUUCCUAUUUCUAAGUUUUUCCGAGACAGAAAAAAAUAAAAACUAAAUAAAAAGGAAAGUAAAUCAAAAUAUCUAUAUAUGGUAUUAUAUAUAAAAAAAUCAGAAAAAGAAUCUCUACCCGAAUAACAUUUUUUUAAAGCCAAAAUAAAAACUUUUAAAAAUGUUUUUUUUUCAGAAAUCCCAAUUUGCUUUAUUUGUUUUCGCAAUUAUUUUUGCAAAAGAACUUUGGGUUUUCUUGGCUCCAACAUUUCAAAAAUUGCCCGCACUUUUGGAGUGUCAUUUUCCUCCGCUCUCUCUCUUGCGUGCAAGAGAGUUUUCUCCGGGCAUUUCUCGCGCGAGGAAAAAAUGAAAAUGCAAAUCGAAAAGACGAAAGAAAUUCACGAGCUAAAUUUAUUUCAAUCACUUAUGCAUAGAUGCUUAGCUACAAUGUAAAACAUUCCCAAUUAGGAAAAUUGGGAUGUUACAGUGACACGAGGGAAAUAUCUCAUAUUCGAGUCACCUUUCAAGAUAAACUGAGAGUUUGAAUCUUGGUUCCACUUGAGUUCCUCCUCGCGUGACAUACGAGCUAACUAGGCAUUCGAUUGACUCUCGAUCUCUAUUUCAAGGUCAGUGAGAGAUCUAAUCUCUGCCAAAUCUUCUAAAUCAUCAAUAAUAUAUGAAAGUCAAAGCUUCUCGUUUUUUAUGAUACAUGCAGUGUGCCUUGCCCAACCACCAAGGAACUUACAUAAUGCAUGCAUUUUGUUGUUCCAUUUGUGUAUUGGGGUAAGCACGGCAACCGGUUUAUCCCACACAUCCUUGACAAUUUCAUGGAAUCCAUCCCGAUGCAACCAACCCAGUUCAAACUUGAACUUGCGUUGGUGUUGUGGUCGGGGCAAUCCAGUCGUUAAGAGGAUGGGUGCAUAUUGUGAGAUGGCCUCUAUAUGAGGUAGAGCGCGAGCAGAAACCAUAUGGAAUUUGGAUUCCCAGUCGGUAUCCAUUAAAACACGAUCUAGUUUCUCAUAUGUUGGCUCUAGAAGACUGCUCGCCCAAGUGAACUUUCUUCCAAUCAUGGAAACCUCUCGCAUAUCUAGAGUGUCUAUGACAUCGUUGAAAAGGAAAGGCCAAUGAUUAUCAAACCCACCCCGUCUUUUCUAAUUUGGAAAUCGUAGAAAAUUAAGAUCCCCGCCAAUAAGAAUGGCAUAGGGAUUAGCUUUCGCCAGAUUAACCGGUUCUUGGAGAAAAGAGGACUUGAGAUCAUGUUGGGUUGCCCAUGUGAAGUUGUCAGCUUUGUUUAGGAUAUGGACUUUAAUAUGAAACUCCCCAUCCGAACUAGCCAGAACAUACAUAGCCCUUCUGUUAACACGAAGUAAAAUGCCCCCAGAAUGACCUCGAGGUGGUCAUGAAAUCCUAUUAUUGUUUAUCCCGCGAGAAAGAUGAUUAAGCAGACUUACUGAGAAAUCACGUCUCCUCGUUCGAGAUAAAGCCAAAAAGUCUAAAUUUUAUUCCCUAUUAUAUUAUGCAACGAAUAGAUGAUUAGACAAGUCACCGAGGCCUGUGCUAUUAAAUAAUAUGCCAUUCGUGAGGAAACAAUAGGAUAUUUGGAAAUUUUCACCAUCUUAGAGGGUUUACCACCUUUUUUGAACCGUCGGAUUAGGAUUUACGAGCAGAAAAUGUAAGCUCAGUCAAUGAACUAAGCUCGGUUUCCUCCAAGCCCACGUCUGAAACCUUCCCUACUACAUGAGGAAGUAGCUAACCAUAUCAUGUGGCAUGCAACUCCUCCUCAUCUAGAUGUGAGAUAAAAUAUUUUCUAGUAACUCGUGGAGUAACCUUUAAACAAACAUAUUCCAAAUGUCUCAAAGCGUCUGGGGAAACAGAAAUAUCAUUCUCAUUAUUUCCUAGACUAACACCCACAUUAUUAAACUUAGGUGGGUGGCAAAAGCAAUAAAGCCCCUAUCUUCUUAUGUGUCCGAUGGAAACAUUAGCUCCAAAAAUAUGCAAUGAGUGUGAGCAAUCAUAGAAGACUAAAUGAUAGUUGAGUAUGUGAACUAGCUAAAAUUAAAGCUCUGACAUAGACUCUUCUCUGAAAUAUGAUGAAUUGUGAUUGUCUCAAUGACUAAGAACAUAGUUUGUUGCUUGUCAAUAAAGUUUAUACUUCAUACUUCAGUUAUUGUGGAUAGAUCUUUACUCAUUUAUGAAAAGUCAUAUGAUGAAAAACUUGCUACUAUGUUAGUAUCAUGACGCUCUCAUGUCCGUAUUUUGUUUUAAUCGACACCUCUCACUCAAAUUAUAUGGUCAUUAUUACCGAGUUUGGCUUUCGCUUAAGGAUAAGCGAGGUCUAAGCUUGAGGGAGUUGAUACGUCCAUUUUGCCUCAUGAUUUUUUAUUCAGAUUUAUGUUAUUAUUGUCCAUAAUUCCACAUUAUGAUACAAUUCUUAUGUCAUUUCUCUCAGAAUUUACAAGGUACAUCACAAAGAGGGAAAUUGCCGAAAACUGGAAUUAUGUACCUUAAAAUCAAGAAAAAUGUUGGAAAAUCACUGGACUCCAAAUGACAAACUUCACAGAGAAUUUUCAUGGAAUAUAUAUGAAUUAUUGGGCCAAAAAUAUACCAAAGGGGGGCCAUGUGCUGGCCACAAGCUAACAGGGUGCGCCUAGCCCCCUUUGGUAUCCUAUUAGCUUGUGGGCCCCUCGCAGGUCCCCAGGCCUCCCUCUUCUAAUAUAAGGUGUGUUUUGACCUAGAAAAAAUAAUUAAGGAGAGACUUUUGGGACAAAGCAUCACCGUCUCAAGGCAGAAACAUGGGUAGAGGCCCUUUUCUCUCCAGCGGAGUGAUUCUGUUGUCGGAACUUCUCGCCGGAAGGGGAGAAAGAAGCCAUCGUCAUCACGAAUGCUUCCUCCUUCGUGGGAGGACCAACAUUCAUCAACAUCUUCACCAGCACCAUCUCAUAUCAAACCCUAUUUCAUUUCUUGUACUCAAUCUUUGUCUCAAAAUCUGAGAUUGGUACACGUGGGUUACUAUUAGUGUUGAUUACAUCUCGUAGUUGAUGCUUGUUGGUUUACUUGGUGGAAGAUAUUAUGUUCAGAACCUUAAUCAUCAUUAUUACACCUGUGAUAUUGAACAUGUUGAUGAUGUGUGAGUAGUUAUUUUUGUUCCUGGAGACUUGGGAGAAGACUUGUUAUAAGUAAUCAUGUGAAGUUGGUUUUCGUUUGAUAUUUUCAUGAUAUGCAUGUUGUUGCUUCUCUUAGUAGUGUCGUGUGAACGUCGACUACACGACACUUCACCAUGUUAUGGUCAUAAGGGAAUGCAUUCCACAUUAAUAAGUAGAUGAUGGGUUGCUAGAGUGGUAGAAGCUUAAACCCUAGUUUAUGCAUUAUUUCAUAAGGGGCUGAUUUGGGUCCACACAUUUCAUGCUAUGGUUAGAUUUAUCUUAAUUCUUCUUUAGUAGUUGUGGAUGCUUGUGAGAAGGGGUAAUCAUAAGUGGGUUUCUUGUUCAAGUAAUAACAACACCUUAGCACUGGUCCACCCACAUAUCAAAUUGUCAAAGUAACGAAUGUGACUCAACUCAACAUGAUGAACAUGACAAGACGGAAAUUCCCAUGUGUCCUUGGGAGCACUUGCUUCAUAGAAGAGUACUUUAAGACUUGUUGUUUGCUACAAAAAGGAUCUGGCUAUCUUGCUGCACACUUGCUACUAUUUUUACUUGUCACUUGUUACGAAUUAUCUUGCUACAAAACUAUCUAUCAUCGUUACUCACAACACUUGUAGAGAAUGCCUUGCUGAAACUGCUUAUCAUUUCCUUCUGCUCCUCGUUGGGUUUGACACUCUUACUUAUGUUAAGGACUAGGAUUGAUACCCUAUACUGAUGGGUCAUCAAGACUAUUUUCUCGAACCGUUUUUGGGGAGUGAAGCGCCUUUGGUAAGUGAAAUUUGGUAAGGAAACAUUUUUGGUACGUGGUGAAAUUUAUUGUUGCUUGUUAUUGUGGAUAAUCACCCUUUGAGCGGUUUGUUCGGGGUAUAUUCACCUUGAACGAAAUUAGCAAAAGCCUCUCCCCAACCUACUAAACUUCGUGAAAGUAUUUAUUAUGAGAUUCCUUUGGAUAUGUUAGAGAAAUUGCUAGCUAAUCCUUAAGCAGGAGAUGGUACAACUCAUCCCGAUUACCCACUUGAUAUAUUUAGAUGAGAUUUGUGGAUUAUUUAAGCUUGCAUGUUUAUCCAAGCACAAAAUCAAUAAUAAGGUUUUGCUUUAUCUUUGGAGGUAAAAUCAUUGAUGUGGUAUAAGCUAUUGGAUGAUAUUGGAUCAUGAGAAUGGAAUCGCUUGAAGCUGGAAUUUCAUCAAAAGUUUUAUCCUAUGCAUUUAGUUCAUUGUGAUUGGAACUAUAUAUAUAAUUUCUUGCCUCAUGAAGAAGAAAGCAUCACUCAACCUUGGGGGAGGCUUAAAUUUAUGAUGCACACUUGCCCCAACCAUGAUCACCCGACAUAAAUGAUUAUACAAAACUUUUAUGCUAAGCUUUCUCAUGAUGAUCAAAUGAUACUCGAUUCUUCUUCCACUGGCUCCUACAUGAAUAGAACUAUUGAAUUCAAAUGGGAUCUCCUAGAAAGAAUUAAACGCAACUCUGAAGAAUGGGAAAUCGACAAAGGUAAAGAUACAGGUAUAAAGCUUGAGUUUAAUUGUGUUAAAUCCUUUAUGGAAACUCAUACUUUUCAUAAGUUUAGCAAUAAAUAUGGGCUUGACUCCGAGAUAGUAGCUUCUUUUUGUGAAUCAUUUUCUACUCAUGUUGCUCUCCCUAAGGAGAAGUGGUUUAAAUUUCAUCCACCCAUUAAUGAGUUAUUAGAGGAACCCAUUAAGGUUAAGGAGGAAAUAAUUGCUAGCCAUGUUGAUCCAGCUGCUCCUACUACUUACAUCGAGAAACCAUAUUUUCCUGUUAGGAUUAAGGAACAUGCCAAAGCAACAACCGUGGUUAACAAAAGUCAUAGUAGGUCACCUACAACCUCCUGAACAAAUAAAAGUGGGACCUAAUAUUGCUAUGGUUAAAGAUCUCCUAGUUGAUAAUGUUGAUGGACAUGUUAUUUACUUCAGCGCUGAAGCUACUAGAAUUGCAAAACCUGUUAGAAAUGAGCGGAAUGGGUUAAUCAAAAAUAAAUCAGUUGUUGGCAUGCCCGUUGCUUCUAUUAAAAUUGGAGAUCAUUGUUAUCAUUGCUUGUGUGACAUUGGUUCUAGUGUUAGUGCUAUACCUUUUACCUUAUACCAAUAAACUAUUAAUAAUAUAGCACCCGCUAAGAUUGAAGAUAUUGAUAUUAGUAUUAAACUUGCAAACAGAGACACUAUUUCACCGCUUGGGAUUGUUAGAUAUGUUGAAGUCUUGUGUGGAAAAAAUAACUGACCUACUAAUUUUUUAGUACUUGGUUCACAACAAGAUAGCUUUUGUCCCAUCAUAUUUGGUAGACCUUUCUUGAGUACUCUUAAUGCUGAAAUUAAUUGUGUUAGUGAUAAGGUUAAAGUAAGAUUUGGUGGUGUGUCUCAUGAAUUAAAUUUCUCUAAGUUUGGUAGACAACCACACGAGAAAGAGUUGUCUAGCAAAUAUGAAAUUAUUGGUGUUGCUUCUAUUGUUGUGCCUCCUACUGAUCCUUUAGAACAAUACUUGCUAAACCACGAGAAUGAUAUGCAUAUGAAUGGGAGAAAUGAAAUAGAUGAGAUAUUCUUUAGACAAACACAUAUUCUUAAACACAACUUGCAUGUUGAUAUUUUAUGGGAUCCUCCUCCACCUAAGGGAGAUCCCGUGUUUGAGCUAAGGAAAUUACCUGAUACUUUGAAAUAUCCUUAUCUAGAUGAAAAUAAGGUAUAUCUUCUUAUUAUUAGUGAUAACCAUUGAGAGCAUGAAGAAAAGAGACUAUUUAAAACUCCAAAGAAGCACAUGGAUGCUAUUGGAUAUACUCUAUGUCAACACAAGACUAAUAUGUAACCAAAUGCUAAACCUGUUGUCGAUCAUCAACGUCGCUUAAUCCUAAGAUGAAGGAGGUGGUAAGAACUGAAAUACUAAAGCUUCUCGAGGCAGGUAUAAUUUAUCCUAUUGCUAAUAUCAGAUGGGUAAGUCAUGUUCACUGUGUUCCUAAGAAAAGAGGUAUAACCGUUGUCCCUAAUGGUAAAAAUGAACUUAUACCACAAAGGAUAGUAACUGGUUAUAGGAUGGUAAUUAAUUUGAGAAAUUAAACAAAGCUACUAGAAAAGAUCAUUACUCCUUGCCUUUUAUUGAGCAAAUGUUAGAAAUAUUAUCUAAACACACAGAUUUUUUUUCUUUCUUGAUGGAUAUUCUAUUUUUUCUCAAAUACAUGUGUCAAAGAGGACCAGGAGAAAACUACUUUCACAUGCCCUUUUGUACCUUAUGCUUAUAGACUUAUGCCUUUUGGUUUAUGCAAUGCACCUAACUUUUCAAAGAUGUAUGACUGUUAUAUUCUUUGAUUUUUUUGAAAAUAUUGUUGAGGUAUUCAUGGAUGAUUUUACCAUUUAUGGAUAUUCUUUUGAUGAUUUCUUGAGCAACCUUGAUCGAGUUUUGCACAGAUGUGAAGAAACUAAUCUUGUCUUGAACUAGGAGAAGUGCCACUUUAUGUCAAAUAAAGGCAUAGUACUUGGGCAUAAAAUUUCUGAAAGAUGUAUUGAGGUAGAAAAAGCUAAAGUUGAUGCAAUAGACAAAAUGUCAUGUCCUAAAGAGGUAUAAGAAGUUUUCUUGGUCAUGCUUGUUUCUAUAGGCGUUUAUUAAAGAUUUCUAUCCCAUUAACUAAUCUUCUUAAGAAAGAUAUUCCUUUUGUUUUUGAUGAUGAUUGCGUAGAGGCCUUUGAAAUACUUAAGAAAGCCUUGAUUUCUACACCUAUUGUUCAGCCACCUGAUUGGAAUUUACCAGUUGAAAUUAUUUGUGAUGCUAGUGUCUAUGCUAUUGGUGUAGUUCCAGGACAAAGAAUAGACAAGAAAUUGAGUGCCCAAAGAAGUUAUGCUACUACUGACAAGAAAUUUUUAGCAGUUGCAUUUGCAUGUGAUAAGUUUAGUCCUUAUAUUGUUGAUUCCAAAGUUACUAUUCACACUGAUCAUGCUGCUAUUAAAUACCUUGUGGGAAAAAGAUACUAAGUCUAGACUGAUUAUGUGGGUGCUCUUACUUCGAGAGUUUGAUUUUCAUAUUGUUGAUAGAAAGGGAGCUGAAAACCAUGUAGCGGAUAAUUUUUCUGGAAUGGAAGAUGUUCUUCAUGACCUACUGCCUAUUGAUGAUAAUUUUCCUCAUGAUAAAUUAGUUAUUAUAAAGAGGUAAUUACAGUAGUGGUGCAUCAACUCGCCACCGAUGUUCACUUUGGUACAUGAACUUGAAAAAUAUGUCUAUUUGGUGCUAAAACUUGGCUCUUUGGUUCUAAUACGGUUCAUAUCACGUUUUCGUACGUCCAUGUUGCUGACUAGGAUGCCAGCGUGUCUGCCGGACCCAUCAUCAGUGACUGUGAGCGCGCACAAGACGCGUGGCCGCGCUAGUGGCUGGAUUAUUCCAAAAAAACCGUGGUUUUUUAAUUUGUCGCACUGAAACGCCUAAGCCGGUGGGACACAACAGCGCUAAAAAAUUUGCGUAUACGCCCAACCCAUAUCCUAACAUCCCGCAGAUCAGUUUGAUCGUGCAUGUUCCUCGAGCACUUCUCCACGUCUUGAUCAUUCCUAGCUGCCGCCUGGGUGUAUCGUGAAUACGUCGUCGAUCGUCGCGGGCGUGGAUGGUGGAGCCUCGUCGGCGAGGCCCCGACGAUGCAUCCCCUACAUAUGGUGAGAAUUGAUUCGUCUCCUCUGCCCCUCUGUCCCUGUUUUUGUUUGGAUUUUUGAUGAAUUUGUGGUGCAACGGGAAUUAUGAUCUGUAUGCCGUGGGCUGAUGUGACGAUUCAUAGUUGUGUUUAGGUUAUUCCCCUGAUGUGCAUUGACACUUAGGAUCUGGCAAAUGGCUGAUUGUGCUGUUUUCUCAAAGGUAAUCCACGGGUUAGAAAGGCACCUCUUUUGGGUAUUCUUGAUGGACAACAAAGGUUGAUUUGAUGACAUAGAGGAAGGUGGAUUUGAUUUUAUCAUAAAUAGGCAGUAGGUAUACUGAAAAUUUGGUAGUAGCAUUACUGAACUUGAUGACAGUAGCAUUGUUGAAUUUUUUGAUAGUUGCAACACUGAUUUUGGACAGCUGCUUAACUGAAUUUUUUCACGCUUGCUUACCUGAACUAUGGCUAGUUGUGGCUCGGCUAAUUGUCAGAGACAUAUUUCACUUUGAUGGCAUUUAAAAGUUCCCAUUAUCCUCCACUCCUACUAUACCUUUGUAGCCUGCAAUGUGCACUUUGCACUAUUGUACAGAGUAACUAAUAGUGUGUUAGAAAUUUUAUGUGCACGUGCGAUGGCUACUGAGGCUAUCUGUUUUUAUUGGAGCCUCUUAACAGGAUGAGAAGAAGCCGAUGGGCAAAGAUGGUGAGAUAUAGAAGCUCUGAAGGAGAAGCAAAGAAUGGAGAACAUAUCAGUUGGUAUCCAGAGAUAUAGGAUGAUAAUGUUUGUUGUAUUGUAAUUUGGUUUAGUUGCAAGCAUGUGUGCAAUUGUUGGCGGGUCCUGGCGUAUUUUCUAUGUAUUUUGGUUUAGUUGAGACAAAAAUCAGUGAGAUGUAAUUCAGAAUUGCUUGGUCUGUGUGCCAAAUGAAAAAGGCAAUUUAAGAUGUUUUAUUUCGACAAUUUAAGAUGUUUUACACCAAAUGCUUACCUAUUGAAAACUUCAGGCAUGUCAUUGAGUAGAAUGUCACACUUCGGAAAUGGGUUAAAAAUGCUUUAAUCUAGGUUCUUGGAGGCCAUUUCUCAGCCCAUUUGUAUGCAUCCAAGCUGUCUUGUUUCAUCUUUUCCAUUGCUCUAGUGUAUGCAGGAACAUUUGUGGCCCUAGCAAUUGCCCACAAGUGUUCUUUAGUUGUUCACCUUUGUGGAUCUUGUGGAAAUUAUGGUACAUAUGCCGCACAGAAAAUCUGUGUUCAGCAUCAGGCCAUAUCUUUGCCACUGCCUUUAUCAAACCCUGGAAUUUAACAUAUUACAUUGGGCAACAUAAUGUCACAUACAAAUUUAACAAAAUCAAGUAAAUUUCAGUACAACAAGUCAUGAUGGGAGCACAAAGUAAUUUAUCUAGCUCAUACCUUUUGCUUGUCACUCAUGAUUGUGUAUGGAGAUGUGUUGCAUAUGUUGAGGUCAUCCCUUAGGCUUGCCAAAAACCACUCCCAGCUGCUAGUUAACUCCACUUCCACAAUGCCAAAUGCUAUAGUGUAGAUACAGUCAUUUGGAUCUCCUUUGUGCAUGGAAAAAUAUGCUACCACGAUUGCUUUGCCUUAAUUCCUCUCCAUAAUCCCAUAACUGCUUGUAUUGAUCAUCAUCAUCCCCACAUAUCUCCUUCACCGAUGCUCUUUUGGAUCUUCCCAAUUUGCUCCUGGUAGGUAUGAGGUUGAACUCUGCCUGAACCUUCUCUGCAUAUUUAUUUAAGGGCAUCUUCUCAUUGUCUCUCAACUCAUUUUUGAAUUUUCUGGUUAGAAAAGGAGCUGUCAACCCUUUAAGAUUCCAGGAUUUACUGCAAGCGUGAUCAUCAAAGUACUUUUUAUGACAAAACUAGCAGUUUUGUUGUCCUUACUUGCCUGAAGAUACCAUGGGAAAUCACCGGAGCAUUGAGCUACAACUCUAGUAGAAGUGUUCCUUGUCUUCAUCACUUGAACCCUAUUUCUAAUGUUAUAUGAUGUUAUAGCAUGUCUCAGCUCUUGCACAUUACUAAACACCAUGCCAAGUCUAAAAGCUGGGGCAUUCAAAUCUGUUUCUGCAUUAAAUGCCUUGAAGUGGUACUUCAACUUGUCCCUCUGUUCUUUGGUCAAGUCUAGGUGGGAAUCAUCUAGACCAUCCUCUGCUAGCUCUGCUUCAUAGUCACAUGAUGUAUCCUUCUCUCUGUGAUCAUCCACUUCUCUAUCAAUAUUUGUCUCAAACAAAUCAUCAUUCACAUCCUCUACAUCAAAGUCACUGUCAUAGAAAUCCUCACCGGUCUCUGAAUCUGUUGUUGUUGCAUCUACUCCACCUUCUUCCUUCAUUUAUUCAUCACCAAAACCUAAGGAUGAUCCUUCCCCAAAUAACAUCCUUCCCCUACUCUUCUUUGGCACACUUCUUUCCUCAUCUUGUAUAUUUUGCUCUUUUCCCCCAUUUUUGUUUCCAGGACUAAUCGCCUUUGGCAGCUCACAAACCCUACUAAGCAUAAUGUCAUCUCGCAAAACAUUGUCUAGUGUCUCUUCAUGGUGUACAAUCAACAUCAAAUUCUUGUGCUCUGUAGUUGUUGCUAUCAUUGCAAGGAUGUCUGCAUCACACUUUAUCGCUCUGAUUCCAUCAAGCAAUGUCUUUCCAGGCUCACACCAUAACACAUCAAGCUUUACACUCUCUCUGUCAUAUCCUAGCUGGUGCAGAAAAUCAUCAAUCCAUAAAAUGAACUAGGUAUCACUAUCACAAUUAUCAAACCAAUCAACUUCGCAACCCAUGUAUGUUCUCUUGUUGCCAGUUCCACAAAAGAAGCCUUUAUGGUGAAUCUCAAUUGAGAAAAGACCAUCAAAAGCACCUGCAAUGCAAAUAAUAAGUACUUAGUUCACUUCACUUCAGGCCACAACACACAAUUUAGUAAACAAAACAAAAUUCAUUUAACUAUGAAUGCUCUUCAACUUAGUUAAUAAUUCAUUGAGCAUCGAUAAAUAUAGAUAAAUAAGUGUUGAGUUAACAACAUAUGUUAUCUUAACAUCAAACAAGUCACAUCAUAGAACACUUGCAGUAAACAACCCAAACUUGAUUAAACAAUACAAACUUAGAAAAAUAGCGCACCUACUAGCCAAAAUUCAGUUAAGCAAGUGUCAAAAAAUUUAGUUAAGCAACUGUCAAAAAAUUCAGUUAAGAAAAAGGAAUGAACGCAUCACUAACUACAAUUUUAUUAGAAGAAUAUUAAAAUCCAGUUAGUACUAAGUAGUCAGGCAAUGAGAUGCGGUUUCAGAGAAACCAAAUACACAUGAAAGAGACAAUGUCAAAAUAUAUGCAUACAUAAUUUCUCACACACUAUUAGUUACUCUCUACAAUAGUGCAAAGUGCAUAUUACAAGAUACAGAGGUAUAGUAGGAGUGGAGGAUAAUGGGAACUUUUAAAUGCCAUCAAACUGAAAUAUGUCUCUCAGAAUUAGCUGAGCCACAACUAGCCAUAGUUCACGUAAGCAAGUGUGAAAAAAUUCUAUUAAGCAGCUGUCCGAAAUUCAGUGUUGCAUCUGUCAAAAAAUUCAGCAAUGCUACUGUCAUCAAGUUGAGUAAUGCUACUAUCAAAUUUUCAGUAUACCUACUGCAUAUUUAUGAUAAAUAAAAUCCACCUUCCUCUAUGCCAUCAAAUCAACCUUUUCUGUAUAUACUUACUGCAUAUUACAUUGUCUUUCACUAUGGUCUAUGGUUGAACAACACCAUCAAUUACAUGAUGACAAGCAAAGGAAGAACCAGACACAAGCUCAUGUAACUAUGCUAUUGUCUAUCUUGAAAUUGCUAGCUAAGUGAAGAAGAGAUUCAGACAUACCAGAGUGAAAACUACGAUCAAAAGGAUAAUGGGACAUCUGGAUAAAAGUUAGCUACUGGACUACACUGCUAUCCACCUUAGUGCGGAGGGGAGUUUUUUAGGUGCCUGAGAGCGAAAGAUAUGGCGAGAAAGAAAUGGCGGGAAAGAAAUGGCGGAAAAGAUAUGACCAGAAAACUUAACAUGUUGAAACUAACAUACAACUUGCUAAAAUUAAGAUAGAACUUGCUAAAAUUAAGAUACAACUUGCUGAAAGUAUUCAACAAUUCGAGGAUACAGUAACAUAAAUCUAAUGAGUCCAACGUGGAUAUUUCCCUUUUUCGUCACAAGCUUCUUCUGCUUCCUUGGCCGCACGAGCCCUUUCUUUCUUUAUUUCUCUGCCUCUCAGCAUCACGAGCCUCCUGUCGCUCUCUAUAAACCUUCGCCGGUCGAAGUUUCUCUUCUCAGUUUUUCUUCAACAUCUCAUCAAGCAUAUCCCUUUGCUCCAUGCAGUACUCUUUCCACUCUCUCUUCUCCUCUGUUUUAUCCUCUGCUUCGGCCUUCUCGUGGCGCUCUUUCAAGUCCAAACUAGCCCAUGCACGACGACCUCUUUCACGAAUCUCGGUCACCGCCCAAUCCGACAUUUCUGUGUCAAUCCGACGAUAGUACAUGCACAACGGAGGAGCAGACUACGAAAGAAGAUAAAUAGUAAUAACAAUUAAAUAGUAAUAUCAGCAAAGUGUUUAUUCUUGAGGACAUGAGCAUACCGGAGGCCUGAUGUAUGGUGAAAUAGAAACGGGUGGAUCUUCCUCAUAAUUUGCACACAUGAAAAACUUCAUGCCCAACCAAUCUAAAAAGUCUAUCACCUCCUUCAACUUGCACAGAUCACCAGACCAUCAACACACUACUUCCACCCCCCCGAGGCAAACUAGCACUCUUCAUUUUCCGAGGCCUAAUGCUUUGAUCAGAGCAAGGGAAACUCAUAAUGACUAGAGCGUUUGUGUUUUCAAGUGUGGCUGGAUGUAGGAAGAAGACAGUCCAAUGCCUCCUUUUAUAGUCUCAGAUGACAAGCUUCAGGGCAAUAGCGGGAAAACUGGGCGGGAAAGAAAUGGCGGGAACCAAGCGGGGGAAAAUGGCGGGAAACAAGGUGGGAAACAAAAUUGUGGGAAAAUCUGGCGGGAAUAUGAGGCGGGAAAGAACGGUUGAGAUAAGGAGGAGGAGGAAGAAGAAGGAGGGCUCACCUCGGCCUCCUAUCGGCUAUCCAAGGCCGAAAGGCCUAUCAGCCACACCUAGGCCGACUGGACACCCUCCAGGCCGAGUGGUUGCGGGAGACGCGUUAUCGGCUACCACGUGGCUGACUGGUGGCUUAUCGGCCACACCAAGGCCGACAAGGGCAAUCAGCUACGGCUAGGCCGACUAAAGCCAAUCGGCUUUGGUUAGUCCAAGGCCGUUACAUUUUUGAAUUUUUUUGAAUUCACGCAAUAUUUUUCAAAAACAAUAAAAAAUGCAAUAUUUUAAAAAAAAUAGCUUCUAAGGUGUUUUUGUGCGACAAAUAAAAAAAUGAAGUUUUUUUUGGAAAAACCCAGACACCAGCGCGACCACACGCCAUGUGCACGCUCGCAGUCAAUAAUGAUGGGUCCCGCAGACACGCUGGGAAUCUAGUCAGCAGUGCGGACGUACGGAAACAUGUUUUGAACCGUAUUUGAACCAAAGAGCCAAAUUUUAGCACCAGUUAGGCGUAUUCUACAAGUUCAUGUACCAAAGUGAUCACCGGUGGCAAGUUGAUGCACCACUACUGUAAAUACCUCUAUUAUAAAUGCUUCCCAUAGUACUCCUUAGUAUGUAUAUUAUGUUAAUUACAUGUUGCCUAAAAUAUACCACCUAGCUUUACCUACCAACAAAAUAAAAAGUUAUUCUAUGAUUUAAGACAUUACUUUUGGGAUGAGCCACAUCCUUAUAAAGAAGGAGUGGAUGGCGUUAUUAGACGUUGUAUACCUGAGCAUGAACAGGGACAUAUCCUACAGAAGUGUCAUUCCGAGGCCUAUGGAGGGCACCAUGUUGGUGACUGAACUGCACACAAGGUAUUACAAUCUAGUUUUUAUUGGCCUACUCUUUUCAAAGAUGAUCGUAAGUAUGUCCUUUCUUGUGAUGAAUGUCAAAGAAUUGGUAACACUGGUAGACGUCAGGAAAUGCAUAUGAAUUAUUCACUUGAUAUUGAACCAUUUGAUGUUUGGGGUUUUGAUUAUAUGGGUUAUUUUACUUCCUCUAAUGGGUAUACUUAUAUUUUUGUUGUUGUUGAUUACAUUACUAAGUGGGUAGAAGCUAUUUCAACUAGUCUUGUUGAUCAUAUAACUUCGAUCAAAAUGCUUAAAGAUGUUAUUUUCCUGGAGUCCCUAGAUAUUUAAUGACCGAUGGUGGUUCACAUAUUAUUCAUGAUGCUUUUCGUAAACUUCUAGAUAAAUAUGAUGUUAACCAUAGAAUUGCAUCACGCUAUCAUCCUCAUUCUAGAAGUCAAGUUGAGUUGAGGAACCCAUAAAUUAAAUUGAUCUUGCAAAAGACUGUUAAUAGAUCUAUAAAUAAUUGGUCUAAGAAACUUGAUGAUACUCAGUGGGCUUAUUGAACUUCUUACAAAAUCCUAUGGGAAUGUCCCCAUAUAAAAUGGUACAUGGAAAAGCAUGCCAUUUACCUCUUGAGUUAGAACAUAAAGCUCAUUGGGCAAUUAAAGAACUUAACUACGAUUUGAAACUUGCUGGUGAAAAGAGGUUAUUUGAUAUUAGCUCAUUAGAUGAAUGGAGGACGCAAGCUUAUGAAAAUGCUAAAUAGUUUGAAGAAAAACAUUAAAAUAUGGCAUGACAAGAGAAUCCAAAAAUGAGAAUGCCAUGUAGGAGACCUUGUUCUUUUGUACAAUUCCCCUUUUGUAGAUUUUUCGCAGGUAUGUUUCUCUCCAAAUGGGAAGGACCUUAUAUCGUCGACGAAGUAUACCACUCCGGUGCUAUCAACAUCAACAAUUCUGAGGGAACAAACCCUAGAGGGGUAAAUGGGCAAAGAAUUAAACAUUAUAUUUUAGGUAUGUCCAUUAAUGUUGAAACUAAUAUUAUUCAAGUAAUGACACCGGAGGAGCACAUAAGAGAGACCUUCUCAAAUACUCCAGAAAUCUGAAAAAGGGGGUAGGCAUGUGAUACGAUAAGUAAACCGACUCCAGAAAUUUCAAAAAAUAUGUUAUAUUGGUUUUACUAUUUUAGAAAAAAUACAAAAAAAAAACAAGUUAGGGGGACCCACGAGGGACCCACAAGCUAAUAGGGCGCGCCCACCCUCAUGGGAGCUUGUGGGCCCCUCGUGUGCCUCCCGGACUCUGUUUUCUUCCUCGACAUGUAUUCUAACCUAGACAAAAGUAUUAUAUAUACACCUGUCUAUUUUGACCACCGCAUCGCAAGUUUCUCCUCUCUUAUUAUUUCAGGUUGUUUUGUCUUAGAAGUUUGGAGGCAAUAUUUCAUCACAAUACUCAGGGGGAGAAAGCUAUGUUUGAGAUCUCAUUGCCAAUCCCCAAGUCUAUGGGGAUGUGGAUCCUUAUGGGUGGUGAAUGGAAGAAGAAGUGGAGGCCGACUUAAAAAUGAUUGAGCCCUCAAGUGAUGAUGAUGAAGAAGAAGUUCCUUUGCCUCAACCAGGAGAUAUGAAUGUGGAAUUCAAAAAGACAAGCUUACGAAACAAGGUUACACCUUCCAAUACACGCUUUACCCCUUAUUAGACACUACUGUGGCCUCCUGCAGUAAACCCCAUCCUUUGAUGGAUGAAGCAAUGAUCGUCACCAACAAACUUUGCAAGGAGAAUCUAGACCUUAAGCGAAAAGUUGGAAAGCUCGGUGAGGAGAUUCAUCUCCUAAAGAGCAUCAUUGCAAAAAGGAUUACAUCAUCACCACCAUAACCCAAGAAGGACACUUGAUACAUAGGUAUGGACACCACCCUUAGCUUGUUCCAAGCUUGAGGGAGGUGCCAAGGUAUCGUAUCACCAUCACUUUUACCAUUAUCAUCUAUCUUAGUUUGAUCUUUAGUGAUGUCAUGAUUUAGAGAAAUAAAAAUCCAGUUUUGCUUUGCUUAGAGUGUUUGCUUUGAGAUCUAUCUAUCCUUGUAAUUGAGUGCGAGAGUUAUAUAUAAUAAAGAUUAGUUUGAGUUUGCUUGCUUUACUCUCAUGAAUUAGUCAUAGCAUUGAAAUAAAAUAAAUAGAAAAAGCAUUUGCUAAUACCAUGGGGAGUAACUACUUCACGCAGAAAAAGUAUGAUAGAUAAAAUUUGUUGGGAGUGAACAAACGUAGCAUUAGUCAUUGAUACAAUCCAAGCAAAAUUAUGAUAGAGGAGAGGAGAUUCACAUACAAAUAUACUAUCUUGGAAAUCUUUUAUGAUUGUGAGCCCUCACCAAAUAUUAUAUAAUGAUGGAAGUGUUGAUGUUGGACAAGCGAGACAAUGUAAUGGUUAUGCUUGUUUACAUUCACAUAGAAGUUAUAUUGUCAUGGAUCCUUGAUACGUCUCCAACGUAUCGAUAUUUAUGUAGUAUUCAUACCAUGUUUGCCUCUGUUUACAAUAUAUUUAUCUGGUUUUUCUGCACUUUAUAUGAUUUAUUUAGAACUAACAUGAACUGAUGAUGUUUUCAGCAGAACUACCGUGAUGUUGUUUUUUGUGUAGAACUAAAAGUUCUCGAAAUUGAACGAAACUUUUUGACGAUUUUAUUUCGAAGAAAAUAGAAAUACUGGAGCAAAGAACCACCAGCGGGGGCCCCUGGUGCCCACUAGACAGCAGGGCGCACCAGCUGGUGUAUAGCGGGCCACUCGUGGCCCAUCUUGGCGUGAUUCCAACGCCCCAAAAUCCUAUAAAUAUAGAAACCUCCAGAAAUUACCCUAGAUUAUAAGUUCCACCACCACAGCUCUCUGUAUCGACGAAAAACCAAUCUAGAGAGAAAACAGUAGCAAAAACAUGAGAGAAACAGAGAGAGGGAUCCAAUCCCGGAGGGGCUCUUACCCCUCCGUGAGCCAUGGAGGCCAAGGACGAGAGGGGAGAACCUCUUGCCAUCUUAGGAGAGGCCAUAGAGGAGGAGUACAAAGGGGGGAGACUCCCCCCUCUCUUCCGGUGGCACUGGAGUGCCGCCGAGGAACCAUCGCCGCGGUGAUCCUCUUCAUCAACAUCACCGUCUUCGUCGCCUUCCUCAUGUAUUUUCAGCGGUCCACUCUCCCGCACACAGCUAUAAUCCCCUACAUGGUUUUUCAUGCCACAUAGUAUUAAUCAAUGAUUAAUUGAUAUCCUAUGAUGUUUGAGUAGAUCAAUGUUGUCCUUUGGGUUGAUUAUUGAUCUUGAUUGGUUUGAGUGUAUGUUUUAUUUUGGUGUUGUCCUAAGUUGCUUUCCGUGAGGCGCACACGUGAAAUGUCCACAAUGGAAGGUGUUGCAAUAUGAAUCUCUUAUAGUGGGUGGCGAGUGUGACACAAACUUACACCCGAGUAAGAGAGUUGUGCGCGUAUGGGAGUAAAGAGGACUUGAUACUUAAAGCUAUGAUUGGGUUUUACCUUAAUGAUUUCUAGUAGUUGCGACUGCUUGCUAGAGGUCCAAUCAUAAGUUCAUAUGAUCCAAGUACGAAAAGUAUGUUAGCUCAUGCCGCUUCCUCGUAUAAAAUUGCAAGAAUGAUUACCUAUCUCGUCAUCAAUUGCCUAGGAUGAUUCCACACACCAUACCAUCAUUAUUCCACACUUGCUAUUUGUAAUAUAUUGUAAUAUAUUGUAACUCUAUUUAAUGCAGCAACUAUUUUCAUAUUUUUCUCCAAUAUCAUGCAAAGCUACCCUCUUUAUGCCCACAUUGCAGUUUUAUUUCUCGUUACUAGAUAGAAGCAAACACUUGAUGUACGUAGAGUCGUAUCGGUGGCAAAUAGGACUUGAGAGAAUAUUGAUCUUACCUUCAGCUCCUUGUGGAUUCGACACACCAUACUUACCACUUCCAUCUUUGGAAAGUGCUACGAUAAUUCCUUGCACUUGGGGAAUAUCAAGCUCUUUUCUAGUGCCGUUGCCGGGGAGCAAUAACGUGGGGUUAAUAUUUUCGUGUAUGCUUGUUUUCUUCUAUCACUAAGUAGAUUUUGUUUUUGUUUUUUAUCCGUUUUCUUGUUUUUUUUUCUUUAGUUGUGGGUGAAACAAACAAUUUUAAAAAAAAACACAAAAAAUUACUUGCCUUUUAUAAGAGAAGCGAUUGGAAUGUUCUGCAUUGGAGAAGUGAGGGUCGACCUUGAACACUUGUGUUCAUGCUCAUGGAAAAAAUGUAAAACAAUUCAUGGAAUUUUCUCAUAAUAAUAAUUAUCUCCUUGUAAAUUCCACUGUACCAUAAAAAUAAUGUUCAUGAUGUUCUUCUGCAUGUUUCGUCUACUAUCUUUAUGUGAGCAUCAAUGAAAUCAUCAUGCCGAGAUAAAAUGCAUUAAAGAAAAGCGUUUGUUGGGAGACAACCCAACACUUUUCCUUUAUGUUCUUAUGUGUUCACAUGAUUAAGCUACUGUACUAACAAGUUUUGUGUCUUUUAUUUCAAUAAAGUGCCAAGUAAAGCCUUUGGGAUAGUGUGGAUACUUGUUUGUUUGAUUCUGUGCAAAAACAGAAAGUUUUGCGUCAAGUAAAUGAAUUAUGUGAUUUUAGUGGAGCGUCAAAUGAUUCUGAAAUUUUGCACAAACUUUCUAUGCAAAUUCUCUGUGUUGUCCUAAUUGUUCAGAUUUUUUUGAUUCAGGGAAGUAUGGUUUUAAUGCAGAUCUUCACAGACCGUUCUGUUUUUGACAUAUUCUAUUUUGCGUGUAUAUUUUGCUUGUUUUAGUGCUUCCAUAACUUAUAUUGAGUUAUAUAAAGUAUGGUAAUGAUAGAAUGCAGUAGGUAUGUGAUAACAAUUAUGAAUCUUGUCUUGGCAGUACCUAAGUGAAUGAUCUAUAUUUAUCAUACUAACCCAUCUCACGAAGUCCCGUUAAGUUUUGUGUGAUUGAAGUUUUCAAGUUUUGGGCGAGAUACCAAUAUGAGGAGAAUAAGGAGCAGCAAGAACCUAUCUAAGGAAGACUCAAGUGUCCAAGCUUGGGGAUGCCCCGGUAGGCAUCCCCUCUUUCAAUCUCCAACAUUUUCGGUAUAUCUUACUUGGAGCUACAUGUUCAUUCAUCACAUGAUAUGUGUUUUUCUUGGAGCAUAAUUUUAUUUUGUUGUUCUGUGUUAUAUGUUAUUUGUAAUCUUAUUUUUCAAUAAAAAGUUCCAAGAAUUGCCUUUAGAAUGCUUGAAUUGCAUGUGUGGUGUGUGUUGUACAAAAACAAAAAUUUAUGUUGUAGUAUUUGAAUUAUCCUAUUUUACUGGAAAGUGUAAAAUUUCUGAAGUUUUUACACAUUACUUUCAUAAAAAUUAUUUAUCACUUCCUAAAUUUUUAAAAAAAAUUGGAGAUACAUAAGUACACUUUUUAUAUAGAUUGCUAGAGACUGUUCUGUUUGGAAGAUUGCUGUCAUAGUUUCGUUAUCUACUUAUCCUAUAGUUUCAAUGUAUUAUAUUGCUAGAUAUAAAUUAUGGAAAUGAUAGUAUACAAUACCUAAUGUUUGAAAAUUAUUAUGCAAAUUGUCUUGGAAUUACAUAAAGAGUUGAUUUACUUUUAUGUGUACUAACCUAUCUCACGAGUUCUUUUCAAGUUUUUUGUGGAUGAAGUUUUUGAGACUUAGGUGAGACCAUGAUAUGAGAGGAAUUAAGGAGACACAAAAGCUAAAGCUCGGGGAUUCCCAUGGCACCCCAAGUAAAUAUUUCAUUAAAUCUCAAGCAUCUAAGUUUGGGGAUGCUACGCAUCCCACCUCUCUUCAUCAACAACUAUCGGUUAGCCUGUGUUGAGCCUAAAUUUUUUACUUGUCCACAUGAUAUGUGCUAUUCUUGGAAUGCAUUUUUGUUUAGUUUCCCCUUGGAAUAAAAUUAUCAGAUCUGAAAAUAUUUAUUUAGAGGGAGUCCUCACAUAGCUACUUGAUCGUUUAACUACUCAUUGAUCUUCACUUAUAUCUUUUGAGAGUAGUUUGAUUGUUUGCUCUUGUGCUUCACUUAUAUCCUAUGAGUAAAUUUUUGAAUGAAUUGAAUACCAUGAAGUUGAAAUUAUAUGUUCAUGUCAUGCCUAGUAGUAGCUUCACAUUGGGUUUAGAAAAGGAAAUCUUUUGAAGCUUGACAAUCUCAAUAUUGGUCAUACAGGCAAUUCAUGAAUGAUUGGUAUAAGGAAGAGAACUUUCACAUAUAAACAUAUUAUCUUAGAAAUCUUCUAUGAUUGUGAAUACCCAUUAAUUAUUUUAAAACUUGAGCAAAUUAGUUGAAGUUGGACAAGGAAGACAACGUAAUGAGUUAUGGUUGUGUAUAUUUGCAUAGAAGUUAUAUUGUUAUGGAUCCUCCAACAUGUUGUGUUUGCUUAGGAUCAUUUGCUAGCCAAAAAUUCGUACUAAGUAGAGAUACUACUUGUGCAUCCAAAAACCCUUAAACCCACUUUGUUCCCAUGAGUGUCCACCAUACCUACCUAUGGAUUGAGUAAGAUCCUUCAAGUAAGUUGUCGUCGGUGCAAAAAGGCAAUAACUAUUGCUUCUAAAUGUGUUUGAUCAUUUAGUGUAAGAGAAAAUUGAGCGUUGUACGAACUUGUGAUGGCAAAGUAAUAAAAGCGACGGACUGCAAAAUAAAAGUUGCUAUUAUAAGGGGUAAUAUAAUGUGACGUUCUUUUGCAUUAAGGGAUUGUGCAUACAAAACCCAAAAGCGCAUGCCAACCUCUGCUUCCCUCUGCGAAGGGCCUAUCUUUUACCUUUCAGUAUUUACUUUUAUGCAAGAGUCAAUAGUAUGCAUUCUCAUUUCAACCUCAAUUAUUCUCUUGUUGGCAAGCAUCAUGAGGUGAGGCAAGAUCUAGGAACAUAUGUCAGUCAAAUAUAUUUGAUCAUGACUUAUUAUUGUUGAAAAUUAUCUCCAUGAUAAAUGAGUUGGGAGGUGAAACAUUAAGCCCCUAUCUUUCUCCGUGUUUGAUGGAUGCCAUUUGUUCUAAAAAUAUUAUUUUAGUAGUAGAAAUCAUAUAAGGAUAUAUGAUGAUUGGGUAUGUGGAGCUCUUACUUAGACUUUGUUGAGAAUAAGUUGAAUUGCAAUUGUUUGCUCACUAAGAACAUGAAAGUGCAUUAUAUCGACUAGAGGGGGGGUGAAUAGGAGAUUUUUAGAAUUUCAUCACUGAGGAAAUUCCUUUUGAGGAAAUUCCUCACUGAUGACUAACUUGCAGCGGAAACAACAAAGGAUUAGGAGUGAAAAGUAUCACUGCAGCAGUUUUCAAGGUGAAGAAUAUGAAAACAGUUUGCACAGUAUGUAGGCACGGAGAAAAACAGAUGAGGAUUAACUCGCAUGAAGAAUUUGGGGUUGAUGAAUUUCAGAGAAAGUCUUCAGCAAAUUCUUCAAAGAGUGACAGUGUAAAUCAUCAACAUACAAUAAGAGGAAUUUAAAGAGUUGAAGAAAUAGAACCCGCUUCACAGUGAAGACAGUGGUUGAUGACCCAGUUCCAACUGUUGUGACAGUUGUACAUCUGGUUUGGAGCGGCUUGGUAUUGAAACCAAAAGACAGACAGCCCGGGACACACAGUCCCUACCGUAUUCUCCUUGGGCUAAGAACACACAGUCCUCGCCCAACACUCGUGGUAAGUCUUCACGGAAGACUUCCAAACCCUCACAAACUUGGUCACCUGACUAUCCACAACUGACUGCUGGAUUGCUCUAGACCACGACGCCUAACCGUCUGGAGGAUGCACAGUCCUCAAAGGUAAAAGGCUCCAGUCCCACAUAGGAACAACUUCUCCAGUGAUGCUCAAUCACUUGGUUUUCGGUUUGUGGUUUGGUGUUUGGGGUAUUUCCUCACUGAUGAAUUACUCUCGAAGACUCUGAGGAAUUUGGGUUGCUCUUAUGACAAGUAUCAGUUUCCAACGGAGUAGCCAACCAGCUAAUGGUUGUGGGGGCGACUAUUUAUAGCCUGGGACCAUCCCGACAUGAUUUGACAUUAAUGCCCUUAAAUAAUAUGACCGUUGGUGUGGAUAAGAUCAGUGAUGUGGAGCGACUUGCGGUAACGGUCGGUACCCUCAACUGUGAGAGUCCUCAUGUCUCUCAUAUUCCUCACUUGAGGCUUUUAUUAGGAUUAGGCUUGGGUUGAGCAUCAUGAGGAAAUUCAUUCUGACGUGUUACUUUGACCCCUUUAACAGUACGGUGUUCCUAUGAAUCAAAGGUGAAGAAAAUAAAACAGAUAGAAAUAAAUCUUCAAGCUUCAUAAUCUUCAGAUUGUUUUUCUUCAGGACACACCGAAUUCCUCAUCUUCAAUUUCUUCAUGAGGAAUAUCAAUUUCAUCGCAAUUUCUUCGCGAUUCAAUUCUUCAGCCUCAGACCAAUUUCUUCAGCCGAAUAUAUACAUUUUUAGGGGUCGAUAUUCAUCGAAUAUUUCAAACUCCUCAGCGACUUAUAGAUCGUGUGUACACUCAUGAACACAUUAGAUACUUAACCUAUAAGUCUUCAAACCACCAAAAUCACUAAGGGGCACUAGAUGCACUUACAAUCUCCCCCUUUUUGGUGGUUGAUGACAAUUAGGUUAAGUCUUCAACGGAGAUAAAAAAUAUGAAGUGUAAAUACUCAUUUGAGGAAUUUGAAAUCAAGAUUCAGAGAGACUCCCCUGCAGAUGAAUUAGUACAGCUUACCAUCUCAUAUGCUUCAGACUUGAAGAAUAUGAUAUCAAUUUCAUCAUAUAGGAAUUUCAUCAUAAACAGAAUUAUAAGGACAUGUGAAAUAUUUCUAUUUCAUCAAUAUUAGCUUGCGUCCCAUCAAGCGUUUUCCUCAGGUCUCUAGCAAAUUCUUCAGAUGAUGAUUUUCAUCUGGAGACCUGACCUGCAGAAGUGAUUAGUUCAAUUUCUUCACCACCCACAUCUGAAGGGGUGGUAAAGCAUUCAUCAUCCUGCGAGCACCAUAUGAGAAAGGGGGCAUUGAGGCUAAUGCACUUCUCUUAACAGUAGGGGGGUUAAAGUACUCAAAUGAAUAUGCAGAGAACUUAUUUGAGGAUUUAUGAACAUAAUGAUUUGAAGAAUAACGCUCAUAUUCAUAUUCCUUGUAAUUUCCCUGCAUGUUAGAAGCAUUAGCACGGGUACGAGCAUAGUUUUGACCAGUUGAGGAUUUUGAUCCUCUUGAAGACUUUGGUCCUCCUGAGGAAUUUGAUCUGAGGUUCAAAUUCUUCAUAUGUGGUGUCAUGAGGACAUUCACCUGAAGAUUUUCAAGGCAACUUUUGGGAACCCAGAUUUUCCUCAGGGGAGGCCCAUUCCUGUAGUUAGUUCCAACAUCUCGAGCAAAUACUUCACCACAUUGAUUUUUGAACAGUUUAUAAUUCGAGUCAAAUGACUCAUCUGAGGAAUAGGGUAAUUCACAUGAAAAUCAUGUUAGAUUGGAUGGAUCAAAAGGAGGCCCUUUAGCAGCAACCCAUGAGGUUUUGGGAUACUGCUCAGGUUUCCAAUAUGAUCCGUCAGCAUUCAAUUUCCUCUCAAAGGCAAUUCCUUCUUUCCUCGGGUUCCUGUUCAAGAUUUGCUUUUUGAGCACAUCACAAAGGGUUUGGUGUCCUUUGAGACUUUUGUAUAUGCCUGUCACAUACAAUUCCUUCAGCCCUGCAUUUUCAUCAGUGACAUUUGUAGUUUCCUCAAGUGAGGAAUCUGAGACUACAUGAGCAGUUGAAGAAUUUGUAGCAAUAGAAGCAUAUGAUGAUUCUGGUGAAGAAUUAGCAGUUUCACGUUCGAUGCAUUUAAGACAUGGAAGAAUGAAUUCAGCUUGAGCACUACUGAUCUGUUGAGCUAGUAAUGAAUCAUUUUCCAUACGAAGAUCAUCAUGAGAAAUCCUCAGCUUCUCAAGAUCAAACUUCCUUUGAAGAAAUUCAUAGGAAAGUUUCUCAUGGUCAGCGAGGAGUGUAACAUGAUGAUCUUGAAGAUUAUCAAAUCUGGAGUUAAGACUUUUCAUAUCUUCAGUGAGGAUUUGGGUAAGAUUCAUUUCAUCAUUCAACAGAUCAUCGCUUCUGUCUAGCAGUUUCUGAAGCUUUUCCAGAGCAGUUUGUUGUUUAGUGGCAAUAAUAGCAAGUUUACUGUAACUGGGUUUUUUAUAAUCAUCAGGUUCACAGUCACUUGAAUCAGAGGAGGAAGCAUCAUUCGGUACCUUUGAACCUUUUGUCAUGAAGCAAUAGGUUGGAGCAAAGUCAUCAGCAUAGUCAUCAGUGUGGAUGGUGCUAUCAUUUUCUUCAAGGUUGAAGAUUGACUUGCUGACGAAUGUGGUUGCAAGUGCAAGGCUAGCUUGUCCAGAUUAUGAGUCUUCAUCAGAACUCUCCUCUUCAUCACAUUCCUCGGAUUCUGCCUCCGAAUCCAUUUCCUUGCCAAUAAGUGCCCGAGCCUUUCUGAAACUAGUCUUCUUGUGCGAUGAGGACUUUGAGGAUGAGGAUUUUGAAGAUUUCUUCUUUUUCUUCGAGUCAUCAGAACUUUCAUCCUUGUAUUUCUUAUUCUUUGAUUCCUUUCCCCAACGAGGACAAUCAACAAUGUAGUGACCUGAUUUCUUGCGUUUGUGGCAGGUUCUUUUCUUGUACUCCUCAGAUGAAGAUUCUAAUUUCCUCAUAUCUCUUCUUGAAGAUUUAACAAACUGGCCACGUCUUGUAAACUUCUGGAAUUUCCUCACGAGCAUUGCAAGCUCCUGUCCAAAUUCUUCAGGAUCACCAAUGCUACCAUCCGAGUCUUCUUCUUUAGAUGAGGAAAUUGCUUUGGCAUUUAGUGCACGUGGUCUAGAAUAGCUUGGUCCGUAUAGAUCUCUCUUUUCUUCUUGUUGGAAUUCAUGAGUAUUGAGUCUUUCGAGUAUAUCAGCUGGAUCAAGCAUCUUGUAGUAUGGUCUCUCUUGAAUCAUCAGAACUGAAGUAUCAAAUGAAGAAUCCAAAGAUCUUAGCAGUUUCUUCACAACUAUGUGAUCAGUAAUGUCUCAAGCUCCCAGUGCUUGCAGUUCAUUUGAUAUGUCAAUGAGGCGAUCAAAGGUAUCUUGGCAGCUUUCAUUGUCAAGCCUCUUGAAGCGAUUGAAGAGAUUGCGAAAAACAUCAACACGAGAAUCACGCUGGGUUGAUACUCCUUCAUUUACUUUGGACAGCCUUUCCCAAAUAAGUUUUGCUGAGCCCCAAGCACUCACUCUACCAUACUGGCCCUUGCUCAGAUGGCCACAAAUGAUAUUCUUCGCUUGAGAGUCAAGUUGCUUGAAUUUCUUCACAUCAGCGGCAUAGACAGUAGCAGUGACGAUAGGGACACCAUGUUCCACAAUAUACCAGAGAUCAUUGUCAAUAGCUUGUAGAUGCAUCUGCAUCUUGGUCUUCCAGAAGGGAAAGUCCUUUCCUUCGAAAGUAGGACAUCCUGCAGUAACCUUGAUCAUGCCUGCAGUCGACAUAACUAAAACUCCAGGUGGUUAAACCAAAAUCACACAGAACAAGGGAGUACCUUGCUUUGAUACCAAUUGAAAGUGCGUUAUAUCGACUAGAGGGGGGUGAAUAGGAGAUUUUGAGAAUUUCAUCACUGAGGAAAUUCCUCACUGAUGACUAACUUGCAGCGGAAACAGCAAAGGAUCAGGAGUGAAAAGUAUCACUACAUCAGUUUUCAAGGUGAAGAAUAUGAAAACAGUUUGCACAGUAUGCAUGCACGGAGAAAAACAGAUGAGGAUUAACUCGCGUGAAGAAUUUGGGGUUGAUGAAUUUCAGAGAAAGUCUUCAUCAAAUUCUUCAAAUAGUGACAGUGUAAAUCAUCAACAUACAAUAAGAGGAAUUUAAAGAGUUGAAGAAAUAGAACCCAUUUCACAGUGAAGAAAGUGGUUGAUGACCCAGUUCCAACUGCUCUAACAGUUGUACAUCUGGUUUGGAGCAGCUUGGUAUUGAAAUCAAAAGACACACAGUCCCUACCGUAUUCUCCUUGGGCUAGGAACACAUUGUCCUCGCCCAACACUCGUGGUAAGUCUUCAGGGCAGACUUCCAAACCCUCACAAACUUGGUCACCUGGCUAUCCACAAAUGGCUGCUGCAUUGCUCAAUACCAUGACGCCUAAUCGUCUGGAGGAUGCACAGUCCUCAAAGGUAAAAGGCUUCGGUCCCACACAGGAACAACUUCUUGAGUGAUGCUCAAUCACUUGGUUUUCGAUUUGUGGUUUGGUGUUUGGGGUAUUUCCUCACUGAUGAAUUACUCUCGAAGACUCUGAGGAAUUUGGGUUGCUCUUAUGACAAGUAUCAGUUUCCAACGGAGCAGCCAUCCAGCUAAUGGUUGUGGGGAGCGGCUAUUUAUAGCCUGGGAGCAUCCCAACAUGAUUUGACAUUAAUGCCCUUCAAUAAUAUGACCGUUGGUGUGGAUAAGAUCAGUGAUGUGGCGUGACUUGCGGUAAUGGUCGGGACCCUCAACUGUGAGAGUCCUCAUGUCUCUCAUAUUCCUCACUUGAGGCUUUUGGUAGGAUUAGGCUUGGGUUGAGCAUCAUGAGGAAACUCAUUCCGACGUGCUACUUUGACCCCCUUUAACAGUACGGUGUUCCUAUGACUCAAAGGUGAAGAAAAUAAAACAGACAGAAAUAAAUCUUCAUGCUUCAUAAUCUUCAGAUUGUUUUUCUUCAGGACACACCGAAUUCCUCAUCUUCAAUUUCUUCAUGAGGAAUAUCAAUUUCAUCGCAAUUUCUUCGCGAUUCAAUUCUUCAACUUCGGACCAAUUUCUUAAGCCGAAGAUAUACAUUUUUAGGGGUCCAUAUUCAUCGAAUAUUUCAAACUCCCCAGCGACUUAUAUAUCCUGUGUACACUCAUGAACACAUUAGAUACUUAACCUAUAAGUCUUCAAACCACCAAAAUCACUAAGGGGCACUAGAUGCACUUACAUAACAUAUGUUGUUAAAUUUGAAGAGAGUCCAUUGUUUGAACCAUAACAUGUGAAUUGGUUGCUAUUUUAUCAUGAUAUGUUUUAUGAGAUAGAGUUGCUCUUAUGAUGCUAGAAAAAGUGGUUGUAAUUAUAAUUGAUCAACCUUAUGCACUAUGCUAGCAUUCACACUUCAUAAAUUAUUUCUUUUAUCAUUUACCUACUCGGGGACGAAGAGGAAUUAAGCUUGGGGAUGCUGAUACGUCUCCAACGUAUCAAUAAUUUAUGAAGUAUUCAUGCCAUGUUUGUCUAUGUUUACAAUACUUUUAUAUGGUUUUGCGGCACUUUAUAUGAUUUAUUUAGAACGAACCCUCAGUGACACUGUUUUCAGCAGAACUAUCAUGGUGUUCUUUUUUGUGCAGAAAUAAAAGUUCUCGGAAUUGGACGAAACUUUUUGAUGAUUUUUUGGAAGAAAAGAGAAAUACUGGAGCAAAGAACCACGAGACGGGCCCCGUGGUGCCCACUAGACACAAGGGCGCGCGAGCCCCCCUGGCGUGGGCUCGUGUCUAGUGGGCCACUCGUGGCCCAUCUUGGCGUGACUCCAACGCCCAAAAAUCUUAUAAAAUAUAGUAACUUCCAGAAAUUACCCUAGAUCAGAAGUUCCACCGCCGAAGCUCAUUGUAUCGACGAAAAACCAAUCUGGAGAGAAAACAUUAGCAAAAAUAAGAGAGAAACAUAGAGAGGCAUCCAAUCCCAGAGGGGCUCUCGCCCCUCCGGGAGCCAUGGAGGCCAAGGACGAGAGGUAGGACCUCUCCCCAUCUUGGGAAAGUCCAUGGAGGAGGAGGCCUAAGGGGUGAGACUCUCUCUCCCUCUCUUCCGGUGGCGCCCGAGUGUCGUCGGGGGAACCAUCAUCGCGGUGAUCGUCUUCAUCAACAUUAUCGUCUUCAUCAACUUCCUCAUGUAUUUUCAGCAGACCACUCUCCCGCACCUUGCUGUAUUCUCCUACAUGAACAUGGUGUUUCAUGCCAUACAAUAUUAAUCAAUGAUUGAUUGCUAUCCUAUGAUGUUUGAGUAGAUCGAUGUUGUCCUUUGGGUUGAUCGAUGAUCUUGAUUGGUUUGAGUAUAUGUUUAUUUUGGUGUUGUCCUAAGGUACUUUCCGUGAGGCACACACGUGAAAGAUCCACCGUGGAGGGUGUUGCAAUAUGUUCAUGAAUAUAUUGUAGUGGGUGGUGAGAGUGAUAAAAAGUUACACCCGAGUAAGAGAGUUGUUCGCGUAUGAGACUAAAGAGGACUUGAUACUUAAGGCUAUAGUUGGGUUUUACCUUAAUGAUUUCUAGUAGUUGCGGAUGCUUGCUAGAGGUCAAAUGAUAAGUUCAUACGAUCCAAGUACGGAAAGUAUAUUAGCUCAUGCCUUUCCCUCAUAUAAAAUUCCAAGAAUGAUUACCGAUCUCGUCAUCAAUUGCCUAGGAUGAUUCCGCGCACCAUAUCAUCAUUAUUCCACACUCGCUAUUUGUAAUGUAUUGUAAUAUAUUCUAACUCUAUAUAAUGCAGCAACUAUUUUUAUCAUUGGUGCACAAAAAAUACAAUUUGCUCCUAAACAUGUAUGAUCUUUUAUUGUAAGGGAAAAUAAACUUUGUACGAUCUUAUGAUGGCGAAGAAAUAAAAGCGACAGACUGCAUAAUAAAGUUUGCUAUCACAAGGGUCAAUAUAAAGUGACAUUCCUUUACAAUAAGAGUUUGCAUAUUCUAAAUUAAAAGGCGCAUGACAACGUGUGCUUCCCUCUACGAAGGGCCUAUCUUUUACUUUUAUGCAAGAGUNAAAGCCCCUAUCUUCUUAUGUGUCCAAUGGAAACAUUAUCUCCAAAACUAUGCAAUGAGUGUCACAAAUUAUAGAAGAAUAAAUGAUAGUGGAGUAUGUGAACUCGCUAAAAUGAAAGCUUUUACAUAGACUCUUCUCUGAAAUAUGAUGAAUUGUGAUUGUCUCAGUGACUAAGAACAUAGUUUGUUGGUUGUCAAUAAAGUUUAUGCUUCAUACUUCAGUUGUCGUGGAUAGGUUGUUACUCAUUUAUCAGAAGUCGUAUGAUGAAAAUCUUGCUUCUAUGUUAGUAUUCAUGAUUCUCUCAUGUCCAUAUUUUUUCAUCGACAACUCUCUCUUAAAUUAUGUGCUCGUGAUUAUCGAGUACGACUUUCGCUUGCGGACAAGCGAGGACUAAGCUUGGGGAGUUGAUACGUUCAUUUUGCAUCAUGAUUUUAUAUUGAUAUUUAUAUUAUUAUUGUUCAUUAUUCCACAUUAUGAUAUAGUUCUUAUGCCUUUUCUAUCUGAAUGUACAAGGUACAUCAUGAAUAGGUAAACUGUCGGAAACUAUAAAUUUGGACGUAAAAACCAUGAAAAAGGAUGAAAAAUCACUAGACUUCAAAUGACCCGAAACUUUAUGGAGAAUUUUUGUGUAAUAUAUGUGAAUUAUUAGGCCAAACAUAUACAAGAGGGGGAUUACCUCCUGGCCACAAUCCAAAGGGGCACGCCCUGUUAGUUUGUGGGCCCCUCGCAGGUCCCCAGGCCUCCCUCUUGUGAUAUAUGGUGUGUUUUGACCUAAAAAAUAAAUAAGGAUAGACUUUCGAGACGAAUUGCCGUCGUAUCGAGGCGAAAACCUGGGUAGAGGUCCUUUUUCUCUUUGGCACAGUGAUUCUCCCGGGAAGACUUCUCUCCGGGGCAUGGAGGCGGGGGGAGGGGGUGGAGAUCAUAGUCAUCAUCAUCACCAACGCUUCCUCCUUUGUGGAAGGACCAAUCUUCAUCAACAUCUUCACCAACACCAUAUCAUCUCAAACCCUAGUCCAUCUCUUGUACUCAAUCUUUGCCUCAAAACCUUAGAUUGGUACAUGUGGGUUACUAGUAGUGUUGAUUACAUCUUGUAGUUGAUGCUUGUUGGUUUACUUGGUGGAAGAUAUCAUGUUUAGAUCCUUAAUCAUCAUUAUUACACCUAUGAUCUUGAACAUCUUGAUGAAGUGUGAGUAGUUACUUUUGAUCCCGGAGACAUGGUAGAAGUCUUGUUAUAAGUAAUCAUGUGAAGUUGGUACUCGUUCGAUAUUUUGAUGAUAUGUAUGUUGUUGCUUCUCUUAGUGGUGUCGUGUGAACGUCAACUACAUGGAACUUUACCAUGUUAUGGGCCUAAGGGAAGGUAUCGUGGAGUAAUAAGUAGAUGGUGGGUUGCUAGAGUGACAGAAGCUUAAACCCUACUUUAUGCAUUAUUUCAUAAGGGACUCAUUUGGAUCCACAAGUUUCAUGCUAUGAUUAGAUUUCUCUUAAUUCUUAUUUUGUAGUUGCAUAUGCUUGUGAGGGGGGUGGUAAUCAUAAGUGGGUUGCUUGUUUAAGUAAGAACAACAUCUUAGCACUGGUCCACCAAGAUAUCAAAUUAUCAAAGUAACCAACGCGAAUUAACUCAACAUGCAGAACAUGACUAGGCGGAAAUUCCCAUGUGUCCUCGGGAGCAUUUGCUUCAUUUAAGAUUACUUUCAAGCCUAUGGUUUUCUACAAAAAGGAUCGGGCUAACUUGCUACACACUUUUUUACUAUUGUUAUGUGUCAUUUGUUACGAAUUAUCUUGCUACAAAACUAUCUAUCACCAUUGCUCACAACACUUCUAGAGAAUACCUUGCUGAAACUGAUUAUCUUUUCCUUUUGUUCCUCGUUGGGUUCGACACUAUUACAUAUCGAAAGGACGACGAUUGAUACCCUAUACUUGUGGGUCAUCAGCAUCUUGUUCGAUGCUUGACAGAGCACGCAUGUUGAGUCUGUUCGAUUCGGCACCCCAGCCAGACAUUGACUAUGUGCUUCAGCAGUGUACAAACCGAAGCCCAUAUUUUUCACGUGUCCAUGCUGCCCUCAAGUCUCUAGUUAAAUUUCUUGCCAACGAGACCUCAAGAGGUGGGUGAAGAAAAGCUACGCCAAUUGUUUGGCUUACACAUGCAUUGGCUCAGCAGGUUGGGCAAAACCAAAGAAGUCCGUUGUAUUUUCUUUUUGAGAGAGAAAGAGCAUGCGGGUCGCGUAAGUGAAGUGCUUGUGUUUAUGCGAUGCCCAAAUAAUGCAAAAGAACCAUUAUCAAAAGGAUAUAUGUGAUGCAAUGGAUAAAAAUGAUGAUUACUCACAUAGUUAUUGCUCACUGAGUUUCCUCGUGCCUCUCUUGGUCAACAAAGUGAUGCAACUCGACACGGCUACGAUAGCGCAGUAAUACGCACCAAGAUGUCCAUCCUAGGCAUCGUCGUUCUUGUAUCUCCAUGCAUCCGGACUACACGACGCCUUCAUCUACUAGCACACGUCCAUAUCUCACGUCGAGCCGCCACUGGAAUGCCUCCGGCUUCUUGGAUCACAUUGUCUCCACAAGUCACUUGUGCAUUAACUCCCAGCCAUACGGAUGUGCACUACACGACAAUAGCAUACUCAUCCUAUUUGAUGCCAACAUUUAUGGUUCUACCCCUCUCUCUUUUGUACUUGUAUAGCAAAAAUAAUAAUGGAAUUCCUUUGACCCACGUUUUUAGGUUCAUCAUCUUCUGUCCUGCUUUGUUGUUUAAUCAAUCAAUAGUACAUUCGCACACAAUAAAGAAAUGGGACAAACUCUUGCCAAGGAUGAUAUAGAAGUGCCACCUCUAGACCUUCGAACGAGGGGCGACCGCUUAGGGCCUAGGCCCGAGGGGAGCCCAUAAUCCUAUGUGUUACAUACGCUCGUACACAUAAGCCCAUACUCAUUUCCAAAAAAGUGGCCCAUUGUCCCAUCUGUGUAGCUGUGCGUGGAACAAGGGUUGAAUCCUAUUCGACGCCUUAACCGCUUCUUAAAGGCCAUUCAGUACGCAACACAUAUCCCUUCUCCUCGCUCGAUCUAAAUAGUUUGGCCGAGCGGAACGCACGAAAGGAAUCUCACUCCUCCGUUUAGUGAAGUUGCUAGAAGCUUCCUGACCGGUUUUGGGAAGCUUCUCGAAGCUUUUAGACAAUUUUUAGUAUGUUUUAUUUAUUUAUUUUUCUUCUUCUCUUUUCCUUUUUUUCAUUUUUCCUCCUUUUACCUUUAAAAAUUUGUGAAAAUUAUCAAAUUCGAAAACUUGUCUUCAAAUCUCUCGACCCUUUUUUCAAAAACAUGGACUUUUUUCCAAAUCCACAACGUUUUUUGAAAAUGAUGAAAAUUUCCCAAACUCGUUAACUUUUAUUAACCAAAUCCAUGAUUUGUUUUUUAAAUUUGAUGAUCUUUUUUUGAAUUCUUGAACUUUUUUCAAAAUUGAUGAAUUUGUUUCAAAUCCAUGAGUUUUUUGAAAUUAUGUACUUUUUUAAAAGUUAUUGAACUUUUUAGAAUUUGUGAAUAGUUUUUCGAAAUUGUUAAUUUUUUUUCAAAUAAUUGAACUUUUGUUUUGAAUUUGUGAACUUUUUCCAAUUUGAUGAAAUUUUUUCAAAUCCAUGAACUUCGUGAAUUUGUGAGAUAUUUUCAAAUUUGUGAUAUUUUUAAAAUCCACAAACUUCUUAGAUCCAGACUUUUAAAAUGCGUUAACCUUUCAAAAUUUACUAUUUUGUUGAAAUUUGUGAAAUUUUUCUCAAAAGAAUUUAAAUCUAUGCACUUUUUCCGAAAGUCAUGGCCAUUGUUCAACAGCGAGUGGUGAGUUGUUUUUUCAAAAGCAUUAGAUCAAACCAACAACAGAAAAACAAAUCGAUAAAAAAACAAUGGACAAAGCGAGCGACAGAUUGAGUGGCCGAUGCGGACGAACCUAGUAAACGAACAUGAGCUGGCAUAACUUUCAGCCGUGGGCCGUUAGCAUUAGUGCGGACACCGGUUCGGCUCCCUAGCGCGGAAUUUCCUAUUUGACGCUCUUUCCGUCAGAUACUCUGGCUUCAUGCAAGGGGAGCGACCUAGCGAUGAGAUGGCCAGGCCCAUUUAGUCGGUUUUCCCUUUAUUCUAUUUUUUCUUGGUUUCACUUCAUUUUUUUUGCUUCUUCGUUUUUCAUUUUUCUUUUUCGAGGUUAUUUUACAUUUUUCAAAAUGACUUCAUGUUCGAAAAUUAUUCUUAAAAUUCAAAAAAUAUUCUUGAUUUUCUAAAAAUGUUCUAAAUUUGAUAUAAUUUCUAUUUUUAAAAACCUAUUCAUAACUUCAAAAAAUGUUGUAAUUUUCAAAAAAUGAUUGGGGUAUUUAAAAAAUGUUCCUGUUUUUCAUAAAAAAUGGGAAUGCCUUAGUUCAAAAUUUUCAAUUUUUUUAAAAUAAUGUUCAAGUGCGAUAAAAAAUGCUCCUGUUUUCAAAAACUGUUCGCAAAUUGCAAAAAAAUUCACGUUUUCUUUCUUUUGAGAGUUUCAAAAUUUUUCCAAGUUUCACUAGUUGUUUCCAACUUUUUCCAAAAACUGUUUAACAAUUUCAAAAAAAUUGUUCCAGUAUUUCAAAAAUUGUUCACACAUUCAGAAAAUGACGUGUUUCAAAAUAUGUUCACUAGUUCGCAUUUUUUUAUUUUGUUCACAAAUUAGAAAAUGUUCGGGAAACUGAAAAAAGUUCGAUUUCUUAAAUUAAAGCAAGAACAUGCUUGUGUCUUUUCUUUUACUUUUCUAUUUCCAUUAUUUACUUUUCUUGUAUACUUUUAUUUUUUAAAAGUUCAUGUUUCAAAAAUUGUUUGGAAACUUAAAAAAUGUGUGUCCUUUCAAAAAAUGUUAAAUUUUUUAAAAAUAGUCUUGUUCAAAUAAACUGUUCAUAAAUUCAAAUAAUGUGUGCACUUUAAAACAUAAAUUCGGACAUUUCAAGAAAUGUUCUCAUUUUGCAAAAUUGUUUGGGAUUUCAAAAAAUGUUUAUGUUUUCAAAAAUUGCUCACAAAUUUCAAGAAAUGGUCUACUUUUCAAAUUUUGUUUACGUAUUUCAAAUGUUGUUUCUGUUUUUGAAUUUUAUUCACAACGGCGCAAUGCAAUACGGAGGGCCACCUCCUCCACAUCGACGUUCGACCCUUCGGAGUCGCUUCCGUCGCCAGCCAUCAAAUCAGAGUGUGCGGAGGGGAAGUGGAGUGGACGGAGAGUGAACUGUCGAAUGUCUAGGGGUUAUUAGUGGGGUCCGCGUUGGGCCGGUAUGACGUGCUGGUGGGAUUGGUGGUGGGCCACAGAGUGAGGCGGGCGUACCCCCCAUAUCCGCUCUAUAUUUGAGCUGGAUAUGAGGGGUGCCAGUCAGCGUGAGUGUUUGAGGCCGGUUUAGGGAGUCCGUGUGGGUCGAUUUUUUGUGACCGGACAGUCACCGGAUGGCUUACCCAAACAUUUAAGGAGGGUUUGAGGGGUCCGGCUAUAGAUGCUUCUAGGCCUACCUACAUUGUACAUCCAUAAUCCAUCCCCUCAACUCCCCAUCUGUUUAUCAAGUUAUUAUCAUUAUUUGUUAGGCGGUGCGAUUUGGCUAUCGAGCUCAUCUACACCCCUAUAAAUAGUAAAAUCAAAUAAAAUACUAGAAACAUUCAUAAAAUUUUGAAUUUUGUUUGCAUGACAGAUGUUUCAUGCAUCAGGUUCAUGCCAAAUUUGAGCUCAUUUUGACAUUUGAGUAGCUCUCAGCAAAAAAAAACAAAUAUGAGAUAUGUAAAACAAUGUAGUAUUCAUGUAUUGUCCGGACAGAUUUCAUUUUUUGUUCAAAGUUACUCGGAUGUCCAAACGAGCUGAAAUUUGGCAUGAACGUCACACACUCAAACAUGUUCCAUGAAAAUGACUUUGGAAGUUUUCAAAAAAAUUCAGUAUUAGUUUUAAUUUUGUUGUUCAUAGGGUGCACAUGAGCGCGGGCUUAUAAAUGGAUAUUUUGUAUUUGUCAUGUUAUAUUAGAUUGUUAGCGUUCUAAUUUUCAAAAUCGUAAAGUCCUAAUUUCAUUUAGGUGUUAAAAUAUCGCAUUAGAAGCAUUUGUCUAGUAUUGAGAAGAAAAUAAGGAGAUGAUAGGUUUAUUGAAUGACAAAGGCGUGCUUCAAAUAAGUCAUUUCAUUCGCAAGUAAUGUUGAUCUCAGCGAAGAACAAUCCAUAACCUGAUCCCGGACAUAACAUCAUUACAACAAAAUAUAGUUACUGAGGUCAAUGAAGAUGCUAUACAGAUCAAAAUUUAAAUACACAUGUUGAUGUUAACGAGGAUAAUAUCAAGGAGAAAAUUUUGCAGCCUUCAUCGGAUACCAAAAAUCGAAUGGAGAAGGAUAUAGUGGAUCAUGGUGAAAUACAACGGGGGUGGCUUGCCUAAGGGAGCUCGAUGAUUGGAGGGAGGUCGGAGGCCCGAAAGGAGCGUGUUGAUUAGACUAGAGUGCAAGCCAAGUAAGGUUGUUGAUGGAGGCCGGUUAGAUUCGUGUAUAAACCCUAGCCCCGCCAUCGAUAUAAGGCGAGGCUAGGGAUUAGCCAUAUCGAUCUACUCUUGUAGAAACAAACUCUUGGUGGUCAUACACCAUCCCACAUUGUAAUCCUCACACAAGUAUUCCAUCAUGAAUACAAACCAUUAGUAGGAUGUAGAUGUUACCCCUCUAAGGGGGCGACAUCAAAACUUGCUUAAUUCCUCAUCUAACCUCCGCUUUGGUAAUUUUGACCGCGUUUGUCACCCUACCGAGGGUACUGAAGGUGUAAGUAUGGCCAUGUGACCCGCUAGGCACAUGCUACACUGGUCGGAUAAUGAACCCGGAUCAGAUCCUUGUUCAUGCCCAAAACUACAUGCCGAGCCAAACCUUCACAUUCAUCUCCUUCAAACUCGCCAUCGACAACCGCGGGCUUCAAAAGCCUCAGAUUCCACUUUGAUAGACACAACGAUAUUGUAUGCCUUCACACUCGUCCAUCACCAUUGGCAAGGGGGGGGGGCAACUGACCACGACCAACCACAUGAUAGUUGGCAAUUCACCAACCCAUUAGCCUCCCGAUACCACAACAUGAACAUGAUCACUAAAACUAUUCAAUUAUCCUGAGAUAUAAAAGCCAUGUUGGCCUCUACUAAAUGACCACAUCAAUAAGUCGGGGCUGCAUAAUAGAUCGACAUAACGAUCGUCGAGGCACUCCAAGGAGUCGUCGAUGAUUUACUCAAACCUUAUACCUUUAUAUGCAUCAAGUUUGAUUUUUGUCUUUGGUCAAUAGCUGGGUUGCCCAACUCCUACAUUUACACCUUACAUUUUCGCUAUGCAUCUAAUGGCGUAUCGGGGGCACCUCUAUGUUUUUUGCUUCUGAUUUGGCCAAUAAAGCACCGCAGAUGGGAGAAGUUAAAGGAUGACUGUCACAACACACACUAACUAGGUUGGCAGAUCGGGAAUAAAUGAACCCACAUAGAGGGGUAUUUACCUAAAGCAAGCAGUUUGUCAUUAAACAAAUCACAAUAAAUUGUCCUUGUUUUUAUAAAGUAAUCAACAAGCCCGAGGAUCUAGAUUGAAGAACAUACCGAAUCCUGAGGUCCGGGACUAGGGAACAUUUACUCGCUUCAUCUUCUCAAAGCUCUCUGACAUGCGUGUGUUUUAGCCCUAAGGUUGGGUUGCCUAGUUUUUCCUAGUUGGCCACCUUCGGGCCCCAAUACGUCGACUGAGGGCUAUUUCUAGGAAAACAACCUAAGAAAUAAACUUAGCGGUAGAAGCCGAUGACUAGCCAACCACACAUACACAAGUCAAGAUUAAGUCAAAAUCAUUUAGCAAAAAGAUAACAUGCAUACUUCAUUUGCCCAAUUGAAGGCAACAAAAAUAAGUAGCCGCCGAGCUUAUCAUCGCCUUUACAAAAUAUUCAUUGGCAUACCACGGGUUAAAAUAUACCCCUCAUAUUUUAUCUAUGAAGGUGUCGAGAUUGCAGUCCUCUUCGGAUAUACGGGCGACACGCAUGACUUCUUCAAAGAAGUCCUAGGGUUGGAGCUCCCAGCAGUCAUCGGCUAAUGAGCCUCUCUCGGCGGUUUUCAUAGGGUAGAGGUCAGAGAAGUGAACAUUCACCAUGGACCAAGUGGAUAGCUCCUUCUUGGCACGCCGACACCUUACACAUGUUCAUCUAGGCUUUUACCCCUUGCAGGUUAUGAACCAGCUCAAAGUAGCUGGUUGACAAGGGCUCCGAGCACCCGAUGUACUUGAACAAGGUCGCCAUUGCCGGGCACACCAACUUCUAUGACUCUUCGAGUUGCUUUAGUUUGUCUCCAAGAAGGACAUAGCAUGACGAGUCUUGUAAUUGAAGCUUGAAGAACCGCUUUUCCUCAUCCGACUCCUCGAGUAUACCACUAUAAAAGUGGUAAGCCUAGACAACACUAUGGGACAGGUUGGAAAGGCAGCUCGCAGACACCAAACUUGCGUCAUCUCUGGGAAUGUGUGACUGCCGAAGAUACACUUUAUAAGAGCAUGGUUAAUAGUAUAGCCAGCUGCUGGCUUUAAGUCAUUACCAUGUCAUCUAUAGCCCAUCUUGUGCCAACAUGUACAAUAGUUGAUUAGAAAAGUGUACUAUAAUUUUAUUAUAUGGCCCACCUUUCACUCUCACAAAGUGCCUAGGAGCACGUGCUAGAGCUGACUCGUAACUAAGAGCCCCCUUACCUUCUCUCUCCUAUUCUCUUUCCUCCAACUAAGCAAAAAAAUACUAGUUUAUGUCUUAUAGUCAACUGACUCAGCUCUAUUGUACUUGCUCUAAGAUACGAAUUACCAAUGUCGUUCCCCGAGGCUUGUCGCAACUCUUAUUUCGCAUAGGUUGCUUGGAGAUCCGCUUGCUUAAUAUUAAGGCCGAGUUUUACAAGAUCGAUGAUAUGGGCAUACUUGGUAUCCUUGAGUGAGUCACGCUCCGCGACACAUUGGCGAGCUCCUCAUUGACGGAAGUCACCCGCGUCCGUGUAGCCUCUUGGUCUUCCAUCUCCUUUCGGAGCAGUUCGACAUUCUCCUUGGCUCACUCCUUUAGCGUGCCAACCUCGGCCUAACCCUUGUUCAUCUUGCCCCGAAGGUCGACCACUUGCCACUCUGCGCCUAUGAAGAUGAAGACACGCCAUAAAACACUUCCAAUUACAUUCACGCUUCGACAUGCCAAAAUAACUUCCCGAUUUUUUACCUUGGACAGUUGCGUCAGUUGCCUUGAUCUACCAAGCUCCUUCCUCAGAGUCGGCAAGUCAAUAAUGGGUAUACUCCAUAUCUAACAAAUUCGUCCAGAUGCGACCCACGAUGGUGUGCAUAAUAUGAAGUGCGCAGUUAAUCACUAAAAGCCCGCACUGGAGACUUCGGCAUGGUUUCCCCGACAUUUGGCGGCAUGGAGGUCAUGGGUUACUCAUGUGGGGGUCGGAGCCCCAUGAGCUGAGGACGCUAGGUUGGCGGCAAAUCCCUCUUCAUGGGGCAAAGAAGGGUUACUAUCUCGGAUCAUCUCUAUAUCUUCCAUUAGGCAUCAACAUCGGCCCUGAUGUUGGAGGUCGGUUGCGAAGGAUUAAGAUCACCCACGGGCCUUGGAUUGGACGAGGAGGGGAUGAUCUUCGACCCUUGGCGCGGGAAUGACGAUCGCCUCAUGACAUGGCGGUGAAGAUUCCUUGCAAACGGAGUACACCUCCUCCUUGAUGGUGCGCUGCUUCGUGAUCAAAGGAUGAUGAAAAGAUUAAUAAUUGGUGUUGGCCAAGAAAGGUUGACAUAUAGUUGUUUUCGACUUACUUGGGGGCAGACAAUGGUGCUCAUUGAACUCGGAGUGAAAACUGAUACAUCUACAACGUAUCUACUUUUCCAAACACUUUUGCUCUUGUUUUGGACUAUAAUUUGCAUGACUUGAAUGAAACUAAUCUGAACCGACGUUGUUUCAGCAGAUCUACCAUGGUGUUGUUUUGUGCAGAAAUAAAAGUUCUCGGAAUUGAACGAAACUCCUUGGAGAUUAUUUUUGAAUAUAUCUCAAAUAUUGGAGCGAAGAUCCAACAGUGGGGGCCACCAGCUUCUUCCAAGGCAACAAGGCAUGCCCACCUCCUAGGGCACGUCAUAUUACCCCGGCAUGCCCACGUGGCUCCGCCGACCCUAAUUCUAGGCCUAUAAAUUCCUAUUUCUCGAGAAAAUAUGAGAGAAGUUUUCAUGAUGUUUUAUGAGAUGGAGCCACCAUCACCUCUUGUUCUUCCUCGGGAGGGCUGAUCUGGAGUCCUUUGGGGGCUUCAGAGAGGGGAGAUUCGUAACCGUCGUCAUCACUAACCCUUCUCCAUCAACACCACCAUGAUACUCACCACCGGGAGUGAGUAAUUACUUUCUAGGCUUGCUGGACAGUGAUGGUAUUGGAUCAGAUUUAUCAUGUAAUCGAGUUAAUUUUAUAGGGCUUGAUCCCUAGUAUCCACUAUAUUUUGAGAUUGAUGUUGGUGUGAAUUUUGUAUGCUUAAUACUUGUCAUUAGGGCCCUAGUGUCAUGAUUUCAGAUCCGAACCUUUUAUGUUUCCAUGAAUAUGAGAGUGUCUUGGAUCCUAACUUGCAAGUUGUAUGCACCUAUUAUGUGUCAUGAUCUACAUACCGCAAGGUGACAAUAAUUGGAAUUAUUUUCGAUGAUUACCGUAGUUUGAGGAGGUCGUGUAUUCACUAUGUUUUAAUGCUUUGUUCCAGUUCUCUAUUAAAUGGAGGCCUUAAUAACCCUUAGUUCCUUAUGGACCCCGCUGCCACCGGAGGGUAGGACAAAAAAUUUCAUGCAAGUUCUUAUUAUAAGAACGUAUGACUAUAUACGGAAUACAUGUCUACAUUAUAUUGGCGAAUAGGAGCUAGUUGUGUGUCGCUCUAGUGUCUAACUGUUACAUGAUGAAUGUUAUCCAAUACACUUAUCCAUCAGCAAUCCAGAUGCCUACGCUUUUCAUAUACUGGUUCUUGCUAAGUUACUAUUGAUGCUAUUGUUGUUACAUUGACUACAAAACUGUUGUUGUUACUGUUUCCGUUAGUACUACUAUUUUGCAGUGCUACUAAAACUAAUACUAUAGAGAAAUAUCCCAUGUGUGGUUGAAUUGACAACUCAACUUCUAAGACCAAUAAAUAAUAUGCGCCCCCUUGUGUCGAAUCAAUAAAUUAGGGCAUAAUACUACCACUGAAGACCGUUGUGAUCCCCUACACAUGUGGGUUAUCCAAGACCAAGAUCCUUCAAAAGGAUGCCUGGAUGGAUGGGGGGUCUUGGAUGGUCGGGGCCAAGGAUGGGCCCGACACUUGGUUGUUGGGUUCCUAUUGACGCUUGGCACCUUGGGAAGGAGAUGGCUGCUCAAAAUCUGAGAUGACCACGUGACUAGUGCCUUCACCUUCGGUAGGUGGCGAGGCAUGGUCAUCCUUAUGAUGAUUGCCGGAGAUGAAGCUAGGAGUCGAGUUCUCGUGGUUGAGGGCACGAUGCUGGGAGCUUCCUCGUGUGGUCAUCUCCUCCUAGUGGCUUUGGUCCGCAGGGCUUUAGCCAAGGCUGAGGAUUUGUCCUCGAGAAGUAGACGAGCGAGGAUGGCAUCCGCCUGGUCCUCGGGCUGGGGGGCAAGGAAACUGUUAGAGCAUAUUUCUCCAUAUGUGGUUUUGGUAAUUGAUGAAAAUGCCUAUGGACUAAUUGUUGCCUUAAGUUAUAUUCGACAGAUUUGUCCAUAGGCACUUCUUGAAGUCCAUGUGUUGGUUUCAAGGAGUUUAUAUGACCAAGGUGGUUGUAACAGCCCGAGACCGACGCUCCAGAAGAUUCCCCUUUUAUUCUGUUGCCGUCGUGUGACUAGAUUGUGUGUGACAUUCAUCAUCGCAUCAUUCGCAUCAUUCACAUUGCAUCGUCACUCCACUAACGUCAUUAUUUUUUUUCCAACUUGCAUCCGUCCGUAGUUGUCAUUUCUUCUUGUUAUCUCCGUUGACCGUUUCGAGACCAAGACCUUCAUUUUUAUGGUUGUCUCAUGACUUGCAUGCUACAUGAGGUGUGCUUUUUUUUGCAUUAUGCAUCAUCUCCAUCAUCUUGUGUUUUUUUCUUUCUUCUAUUUCAUUCAAGCGUGGUGCACCAACUUCCUCUCUUUUGUUUUAAACUCUAGUUGUGUCUAUUUAAUAAAUAGAAUAGGAAACAUAUAUAAGAUUUGAGGGAGAGAGGCCCACCCAGCAAGGAUCCCAAGCCCACCGACACCUUCUCCUUCCUCACGUCACCUCUUUGUAUGAACCCAUGGAGAACCGUGUGAUCACCUUGGCUCCGUUCUGAUUGCUAUCGUAUAGCCCCUUCCUCCUCUUAACCACCCCUAGGGCGCCCGUGCAACCCUAGCUUCCUCCCUUCCCUCCUCGUGCCGCCAUCUCUCUUCCUAGCCUUCUCGUUCUUUUCCUUCCUCAAGAAAAUAGAGACUGAGAGAAACAGUCGGUGUCCAUUGUCGAUCCCACGCCCGGGGGCGUCAAGAUCAUCUUCGGCGCCUUCUGCACCGAGUCUCCGUCAUCGACCCAUUCUGGGUGGGAACUAGGCAGCCCCGCCUCCACGCCGUCGGCCCCGUCAUCGUCUUCCUCGCGGACCGGGAGUUACAUCCACAUCGUCUUCUUCCUCGGGUUCCACCACCACUAGUAGCCAGCGCCUCGCUUCUUCCUCUCCGUCGCCUCCCGGACCUUCGUUUUGUGUCCUACUGGACCAAGGUGAGCUCCCGCACCUCCCAUUUCUGCCCCUUUAAGAAUUCUUCCCGCAUGCAUCAAUUCCGUCGUGUUCGAGCCGUGCCUGUCAUGCUAUUGCCAUGGCCGAUUUUGAAUCGAGUAGAUGCUCUCUUCCACGGUUCCCGCAUCCUCUCCGAGCAGGCAUAGCACCCACGCAUCCGCAGGGGCCACGCCUUGCGCUGAUUGCGUCUGUCGUUUGUAGCUUGUACGCCAUGGUCGGGGUGUUCGAUUGGGCUCCUUGCACUCUUGCACCUCCUGCACAUACGCGCAUGGCACACACGCGUUCCGACACCGCUUCCCUCGCUAGUUUCCGCAACCCCGCUGGUGUUCUGCAUCUUUUGGAGUCACUAGCAUGCUCGAGUACGCCGGCUUCGAGCUCCUUUGCGUGGUCAUGGUGACCCAUGUAGUGCAUUGACGUCACUGUACUUGUAAGUUUUGCUUCCUCUACUGUUCGAAGCUACCGCACUGGCUUAGUGGCUAGCGCCUCUUGAAUCAAUUCAGGAGACUGCGGUUCGAACCCCACGCUUGCUCCAAUUUUUUAUGUUCUUUUUGUUCGUGUCCUUCACUUUGCUUUGGUCAAAGGUUAGUUUCAGCACCACGUUUAUUAAAAGCAGAGUCCCGAUUGUAACACAUGCAAUGCAUCAGUCUAGGUGGUUAGAAUCCUAGAGAGCUCUCAAUUAUUUUUGCAUAUGUUAAUUAGUUAAAAAAAUUCCAAUCGAGCACACACUCAGCCCCUCGGGCUUGAGCCAAUUCUGGGCCUCUGCACUAUGUUGUAAUCCGGCCAUGCAUAUAUUUUUCCUGCUGCAAUUUUAUUAAUUUUGAGGCAUGCAUUGUUGUAUGAGUUGCGUUGUUGUUUGUUUUGUAGAUGCCAUGUUAGUUGCACGUACCCCAUAUUCAUGCCUCCGACACAUAGAAACCCGGUAACCGGGGUCACCCCAUCAUUCUUUGGCAUGACAUGAACACACUUACAAUUCGUUGGCAUCGACAACUCAUUGAGUUAUUGGAACCGGAACGUUGUUGUAGCUGCCAUUUGCAUGCAUAUGGCAUCCAUGGCAUCAUAUGUUGUGUUGCUCGUAUCUCUUAGGUCGUAACUCCAUUGGAGAUGAGCUAUAUAUGUAAACCGACUAGAACGAUGCGUAGAAUCACGUGCACCACUUUGUUUUGCCGUUUAACAAACAUAAAAUGGGUUUAGGACAAAUCUGGACAGAUUUCAAAGUUAACGUGUGGGGCCGUUUUAGAUAUGCUAUAUGUCGUUUCCGACCUCAUUUAAAAUGCCUAGAUAGGUAGUUAUAUUGUGCUUCACCUCUUGUCAUGUUUAACAACAUUUAAUAUUGCCGUGUAAAUAAACGGAAGUGAAUUAAAUAAUUAAAUGUGGAGUUUUGUCAAUAUGCAACCCAUUGCAUAUUGAGGUUCACUUAAUGUGUAGCGUUUGAUUGUUGUGAAUUGCCAUGCCAUGCCUUGCAUAAUUGAAUGGGACAUGCAUCAUAUUAGGUAGUGCAUAAUGUCGUGCAUGUGUUGUGGUGAAUAUCGUGUGUUGAUUCUUGUUAUCGAUUUGCUUCGUCUCGAUAGAGUUCCGAACCGCUUCGGAGUGUGAGGAUUCGUUCGACUACGUCAAUUCGUCAGCUUCACGGAGUCGAUCUUCUUCCAAGCGGGAUCUCAGGCAAGAUGACCAUUUCCCUAGAUACCAUUACUAUCAUUUCCAUGCUAGUUGUCUCAUUUCUUUCGCUAUGUCUCGUUGCCUACCACGUGUAAAACAUCACCCUCUCAACAUUGCCAUGAAAACCUUCAACUAUUCACAACCUAGCAAACCACUGAUUGGCUAUGUUACUGCUUGCUUAACCAUUUGUUAGCGUUGCUAGUUGCAGGUGCAGUUGCUUCCAUGUGAUUACAUGGGUUCCUUGUUAUAUCACCAUAUUAAUGCUAUAUAAUUUAAUGCACCUAUAUACUUGGUAAAAGGUGCAAGGCUCGACCUUUCUAGCCUGGUGUUUUGUUCCACCUUUUCCCCAUUAGUUUCGGCUACCGGUGUUAUGUUCCAUAAUUGAGCGCUCCUAACACGAUCGGGGUUGUUAUGGGGACCCCCUUGAUAAUUCGUCUUAGAUUAAAACUGGUCCAGCAAGGCCCAACUUUGGUACUACAUUUGCCUAAUUAACUAAUGAACCACAUAGGGAGUAAUUAACCCGAGGAAACUUAAUCAACCCCCGGGCAAGUGCUCCUCAUGAGUGUUGGUCCAAAAAGGGAAGACUGCGGGCCACCACGGGGCAACUCGAGGUUUGGUUUUACCUGUAGGCUUUCCCAUCCGGUCGUGUCCUGAGAACGAAAUACGCGGCUCCUAUCGGGUUCGUCGACACGUCGGGCGGCCUUGCUGGAUUAGUUUUACCUUUGAGGAAAUAUCUUGUGCAUCGGGAUUCCGGUGAAACUUUGGGUAAUCUCAGAGUUGAGGUUUUUGAGCAAGGAGUCCGACGAGAUCGCGAGCUUCAUGAUCGAGGAUUUCUAUGCGGUUUGUGGUAAUUUGUGAUGGACUAGUUGUCGCACCCUGCAGGGUUAAAUCUUUCGGAAAGUCAUGCCUGCGGUUAUGUGGCAACGUGGAAAAUUUGUUUAACAUCCGGUUCUAGAUGACCUGAAGUAAACUUAAUUAAAACUUAUCAACCGAGUGUGUAACCGUGACUGUCUCUUUCGUGAGUUCCUUCUCCGACCGAGGACGCGGUGGGGUUAUGCUUGACGUAAGUAGGUGUUGAGGAUCAUUCAUUUGAUCAUUAUUAGUUCACGUCCGCUAUGCGUAGAUCAUCCCCCUCUUUAUUCCUGUACUCGUAAGUUAGCCACCAAAUAAAUGCUUAGUCGCUUGCUGCAGCCUCACCACUUAACCAUACCUCACCCAUUAAGCUUUGCUAGUCUUGAUACCUUUGGAAAUGAGAUUGAUGAGUCCCGUGUGGCUCACAUAUUACUACAACACCAGUUGGAGGUACAGGUAAAUGAUAUUAAGAUAUGAGCGCAAUGAUUGUUCAUUUGGAGUUUCUUCUUCUUUCUUCUUCGUCGAUCUAGGAUGGGUUCGAGGCCGACAGCCUCAGAUAGCAAGGAUGGACGUCAUUCUUUUAUCGUUUGUUUUCGUCCGUAGUCGGACCCUACUCUUCUUCAUGAUGAUUGUAUGUAUUGUACUGAUGUGACUCUGAUGUAGCUUGUGGCGAGUGUAAGCCAAUUCCAUAUACUCUUCUCUUCAGUACAUGUACUUGUAACAAUAUCCAUUCUUGCGAAACGACGAGAUGCACUUCUAUCCCUGUCGAGGCCCUCGUGCCAAAAUAAGGAUAGGGUCGCAUCUUGGGCGUUACAGUGGUAUUCAAGGUUUUAUCAAAAGAUUGGUAAUAAAGGCACAAGGUUGAUCAAGACUAAGUCAAAGAGUGAAUCAAGUUGAUCAACACACAAAGCGUACAAGAUGUAGCGAGAGGGAUCAAGUGAUCCCAUGGUAUGGUAAGCAUUGUCCAUUACACUUUGUGUACUAACCCAUGGUUUUCAUGAGAGUUCUGUGUGGGGUUACGUGUGUUUCCAUGGGCUUGCGUCAAGAGGAAGAUCUCAUUCAACCCCUCGAAGAUUGUGGUGUGCAAGUUCAAGAGGAGCAUCACGAAGAGAUCAUGCUUGAAGCUUGCCUCCCAUUGUGGUGACAAUGGACUUGAGAAGAUGUGCAGAAGAGUGGCCCACCCAUAGCAAGUAUGGGGGAGCAAUCAACUAGUCUUCACUGACAAAACACAACCAAGAAAGGUGGUCCAUCUUGAGGAAGGGGGUCUUCUUCCCCAACGGUCUUGAACACUUGAGCUCGUGUUCUUCCCCCAUUGUUGACCUUCUCCGAGCUUGCUAACUCUCAAUCGCUCCAAUGAUUCUUUCUAGUUCUUGAGGGAAAAGAGAGAGGAAAUCUAGAUCCACAUUUCCACCAAUCACUUUAUCCUCUUUGUGAAGGGAACCCCUUGGAUCGAGAUCUUGGAGUUCUUCGUGUUCUUCUUCAUUCUUCCUCUCAUUUUCCUCCAUAACAUUAGUUGUUGUGGUGGGAUUUGGGAGAGAAGGACUUGGGCACUUCGUGUUCCAUUACCAUUGCAUUUGGUUCAUCGAUUUGAGUUCUCCACGGUGGUACGUGGAAGUGAAGUUUGAGAAGCUUAUUACUCUUUGCUACUUGGUACCCUAGAGCUUGUUCUUCUUGGGUGAUUUGGCAUCUUAGAAGCUUGAUGGUGCCUUGGAGCUCAAUCAUUGUGGUGUAAAGCUUCGGGCAAGCGUCGAGGUCUCCAAUUAGGUUGUGGAGAUUGCCCCGAGCAUUUGAGAUCAUCUCGGAGCCACAAUCCAUUGUUGUGAAGCUUUGUGGUGUUGUUGGAAGCCUCCAAUUAAGUUGUGGAGAUUACCCCAACCUUGUUUGUACGGGUUCGAUGACCACCAUCAAGGGUCCCUUAGUGGAAGCAUGUCAUCUUGCAUUGUGCGAGGGCGUGAGGAGAUUACGGUGGACUUAGUGGCAUCUUGGGGAGCAUUGUGCCUCCACACCGCUCCAAACGAAGAUUAGCAUCCGCAAGGGUGUGAACUACGGGAUACAUUGUUGUCUCCACGUGUCUCAGUUAUCUCUUACCCUACAAUUAUGCACUUUACUUUGUGAUAGACAUAUUGUUUAUUGCUAUAUAUCUUCUUAUCACUUAGUUGUUUAUCUUGCUUAGCAUAAGUUGUUGGUGCACAUAGGUGAGCCUAGUUGUUUUAGGUUUUGUGCUUGACAAAUUAAACGUUAGUUUUAUUCCGCAUUUGUUCAAGAUAAACCGUAAUUAUUUUAAAUCACCUAUUCACCCCCUCUAGGCAACAUCCAUGUCCUUUUAGAAGCGAUUACCGAGGGGAACUCCCUCGAGUUCUGAAAAAUAACAAUCGAUGACAAAAAUCUAUUAAAGACUAAUAUCAUGAAAUAUGCGAUGAAACAAGAAAUGAUAGAUCCUCAUGUGCACCCCAUAUGUUAGCCAUCUUGGGCAACUCAAUCCUGAAGGACAAUUUCUUCUUGGUAAAUAGGAGCGUUUGCAUUGAGGGAAUGAUCCUCCUCCUGUGAAAUCCUUGGACUAUCAAGGUCUCAUCAACCUUCUCGGUGUAUUUCCACAUCGGGUGGCUUUGGACCUGGAGAGGCUGAACAUCGUGAUGGAGUGCCAUGUACAUCACAUCAAGCAAGGGGAGGUCCUAGUCCAUGAAGUGUUGCACUCGGGCCAAAAGCUUUGGCACCUCCUCGACAUCCUCCAAGGCAAUCUUCUAGAGAAUCCAAGAGCUCAUCCUCGUCGGGGGAGAGGCAAUGAAGGGAGUGGUAAUGACCUCCCGAUUAGUUACAGGCAUGUCGGCCAUAUAAAACUACUCCUUCCAGUUCUUGACGGUCUCAAAGAAUUUUCCCUCUGGCCAUACCGAGUUCGGGUGUCCGGCUUAUCAUGGUAGCCCCACACUCAGUGGGCUUUGAUAACCCACAAGUGUAGGGGAUCGUUUGUGGCCUUUUCGAUAAAUAAGAGUGUCGAACCCAAUGAGGAGCUAAAGGUAUAAUUAAUAUUCUCCCGAAUUCUAUCGACCACUGAUACAACUCUAUGCGCAACAAUGUUCACUUUACCUAGUGCAAGAAAUAAAACUGGAUUGUAGGUGUAAUAGGAUAAGUUUACAAGAAAAUGAAGAACAAGUAAAUAAAAGUUAGGGGUUGUUUAUAUAAAUAUUAAUUGAGUUAGUUGUUUAAUAGAAAGCUUUUGAUAGAAUGAUGAGAAAGAGUAUCCAUAUGCAAUUAGAUAUAACAUGGUAGAUACUUAUCAUAUGUAAUGAGGGAGAGGCAUACACUAAUACACUUUUCGUACUUGGAUCAUAUGCACUUAUGAUUAGAACUCUAGCAAGGAUCCACAACUACUAAAGAUCUUUAAGGUAAAACCCAACCAUAGCAUUAACUAACAAGUCCUCUUUACUCCCAUAUGCAACAACCCCCUUACUCGGGUUUAAGCUUGUGUCACUCUCGCAACCCACUAUAAGAGAAUUAUGAGCGCAUUGCAACACCCUACAACGGUAACCCCACACACUUGCACUAUUCGGAGGGCACCAUAGGACAAGACCCUAUCAACAUACAACUCAAAUAAAUCACACCGUACCACAAUUAACCCGUCGGACAAAAACAAUAUACUCAACAUCAUAGGAUGGCAAGACAUCAUUUGAUAAUAAUAUGUGGCAUAAAGAACCAUGUUCAAGUAGAUAUUACAGCAGGGGAGAGAGGUUAUAGCGCUGCAUAGAGGGGGGGAGUUGGUUAUGAUGGUGACGAAGUUGUUGAUGUAGAUCAUUAUCACGGUGAUUCCCCCGACGACACUCCAGCACCACAGAAAGAGAGGGGGAGAGAGCCCCCUGCUUCUUAUUCUUGCUUGGCCUCCCCCUAGAUGGUAGGAGGGUUUCCCCUCUGGUCCAUGGUCACCAUGGCUCCCAUAGGACACCAGCCCCUCCAAAAUUGGAUCUCUCUCUUUGUUUCUUUUUUUGCUUUGCGUUCUUAUUUUCUAGCCCUUCAAUGUUUCUUAUAUUUCUGAAGAUCCAUAACUCUGAUUGGGCUGAAAUUUUGAUGGUAUUUUUAUGUAGAUAUUAGCUUCCUUGCGACCGAAGGACACCACCAGCCGACUUACAAGGGAGUCAUGAGCUUGGUUGGCGUGCCCUACCCCCCAGGGCACGCCCUGUUAGCUCGUUAUUCUCUCGGACUUCGUCUGUCAUUGAUUCUUUUUCCCAAAAACACAUACAUUCCAAAAUAAAUCUCCAUAAUUUUAUCGCGUUUGGACUUUGUUUGAUAUGGAUUUUCUGCAAAACAAAGAACAUGCAACAAGCAGGAACUGACACUAGUCACUGGAUCAAUAUGUUAGUCCAAGAAAAUCAUAUAAAUUGUUGCCAAAAGUAAGUGAAAGUUCUAAAAUAAUGGGAUGGAACAAUCAAAACUAUAGAUACGAUGGAGACGUAUCAGAAUCCUCAAGCUUAAUUCUUCCUCGCCCUCGAGUAGCUAAAUAUUAAUAAGAUAUAUUUUAUGCGGAAUGCUACCUAGCAGAAUCUCGAUCAUGUAAUCUAAUCAUGGCAUGAAUAUUGAGAUACGAGUGAUUGAUGGAAAUAGUCUAUCAAUUUGAUAUUGAAACAAUAAUACAAAACAUGCAUGUAUUUCCUCAUUUUCUUUCAUAAUAGUGAAGCUAAAGGAAACAACACCUAUACACCUAGUUGUGGUAAGCAUGACAUUUUCUUUCUUCCCUGCAUGGAUAUACCAAAUCAAGAGUACCCCGAUGCCUAACCAAGCAAUUAUAUCAUACUUUCUUAAUGCGCUUGCACAUUUUGAAAUUGACUCAAUACAUGAAUGUGAGCCAUGAAUAUAGCACUAUGGGUGGAAUAGAACGGCGGUAGGGAUUGAUAGGAGAAGACAAAAGUUUGGAUAGUCUCACACCAACUAGGUGGAUCGUUAGGCUAUGGAGAUGCCUUCCAAUCAAUAUCGGUGUGAGGAGUAGGGAUUGCUGCUACUUAUUGAGCGUGCGCUGGUUUUACCUUGAAGAGGAAAGGGUGAUGCAGCAAAGUAGAUAAGUAUUUCUCUGAGUUUGUUGAGAACUAAGGUAUGAAUUCAGUAGGAGGAACAAGCAAGGUCCCAAUCUUAGCACCUACACAAACAAUCAAACACUUGCACCCAACGCUAAAAAGGGGUUGUCAAUCCCUUCACGGUUAUUUGCAAGGAUGAGAUAUGAUAGAGAUAGAUAUAAAAGGUUGCUAGAACUAAAAGUAAAACAAAAGUAAAUAAAUGGCAGCAAUAUAUUUUUGGUAUUUUUGGUUUAUAGAUCUGAAAGUAUAAUAUGGAAAAUGGACCCGGGGGCCAUAGUUUUCACUAGAGGCUUCUCUCAGGAAGGAAAAUAAUACGGUGGGUGAACAAAUUACUUUCGAGCAAUUGAUAGAAAAGCGAAUAAUUAUGAAGAUAUCCAAGGCAAUGAUUAUGCAUAUAGGCACCACGUCUGGGACAACUAGACCGAAACGAUUCCGCAUGUACUACUAUUACUCCACACAUCGGCUGACUCCUGCGUGCAUCUAGAUUAUUAAGUUCAUGAAGAACAGAGUAACACAUUAGGUAAGAUGACAUGAUGUAGAGGGAUAAACUCAAGAAAUAUGUUGAAAAUCCCAUCUUUUUAUCCUUGAUGACAACAAUGCAAUACGUGCCUUGCUACCCCUACUUUUUCACUUGGUGAGGACACCGCAAGAUUGAACCCAAAACUCAGCACUUCUCCUAUUGCAAGAAUUACCAAUCUAGUUGGCCAAACCAAACCAAUAACUCGAAGAGACUUGCUAAGAUAUGAAAUCAUGCAUAUAAGAAUUCAGAGAAGAUUCACAUUCAUAGAUAAUCUGAACAUAAACCCACAAUUGAUCGGAUCUCGACAAACACACCACAAAAGAGUAUUACAUCGGAUAGAUCUCCAUGAAGAUCAUGAAGAACAUGGUAUUGAAGAACAAAGAGAGAGAAGAAGCCAUCUAGCUACUAGAUAUGGACCCGUAGGUCUGUGGUGAACUACUCACGCAUCAUUGGAUAGGUAAAGCAGUUGAUGUAGAUGCUCUCCGUGACCGAUUCCCCUCCGACAGAUUACCGAAAAAGGCUCCCAGAUUGGAUCUCAUGGGAACAAAGGCUCUCGGUGGAAGAAAAGUAUUUUUGGUGUCGUUCUGGUAUCGGGGGAAUAUUUGGGAAUUUAUAGGACAUAUAUUAGGGUUAGGAGGCCUGCAGGAGGCCCACAAGCUAGGGGGCGGCCCCCCUAUGGCGCGCCCUGCACGCUUGUCGUCUCCCGGCAGGCCUCCUCCCUUUCUCCAAGUCUCGCAGGUUUCUUCUGGUCGAAGAAAAAUCAUUCCAGAGAUUUUAUUCCGUUUGGACUCAGUUUAAUAUUCAUUAUGUGCAAUACUCAAAAACAUAAAAAAACUGGCACUAGGCUCUAGGUUAAUCCCAAAAAUAAUAUAAAAAAGCAUAUUAAUGCAUAUAAAACAUCCAAAACAGAUAAUAUAAUAGCAUGGAACAAUAAAAAAUUAUAGAUACGUUGGAGACAGAUCAAUUGACAUGCAACUUUUGAUGCACUAGAUAUAUAAGUUUAUGAAAGCUAUCUAAUGAAACCGAGUGGGAUGUGCAUCUAACUUGCCUACUCAUGAAGGCCUCGGAUAUUUGGGGAAGCCGUCAUCAGAAUAUACAUGCCAAGUUCUAUAAUAUAAAAUUUCCCACUAGUAUAUGAAAGUGACAAAUCACACAGACUCUAUAUGAAGAACAUGGUGCUACUUUGAAGCACAAGUAUGGUAAAAGGAUAAAGUGUGACCCUCUCUCUUUUUCUCUUAUAUUUUUGUUUUUUUUGUUGGGCACUUUUGGGGCUCUUUCUUUUUAUUUUAUUUUUUGGUCUUUUUGGCCUCCUUUUUAUUUUCAUAGGUAGGGGCAACACUCUAGAAUGCAUCACACUUUUAUUUACUUACAAGUUGAGAAACUGGAAGAAUAUGACUCUAUAUGAAUGCCUCUGGCAUGUACUAGGAUGUGCAAUGAUCUAGCGUAGCAUAGAUAUCAAAAAUGGACAAGCCAUGAAAAUAUCAUGCCAGCUAUCUUAGGCUCAUGCAAAGCAAUAUGACAAUGAAUGCUCAAGUCAUGUAUAUUAUGAUGAUGGAAGUUGCAUGCCAAUAUAUCUCGGAAUGGCUAUGGAAAUUCCAUAAUAGGUCGGUAUGGUGGAUGUUUUGAGGAAGAGAUAAGGAGGCUUACGUCUGAUGGAGCAUAUCAUAUCACGGGGUUUGGAUGCACCAUCGAAGUUUGCACCAACUCUUCAGGUGAGAAAGAACAAUGCAUGAUAUCAAAGAGCUAGCAGUUUGUAGAAGGGUGAGAGUGUGUAUAAUCCAUGGACUCACAUUAGUCAUAACGAACUCAUAUACUUACUGUGAAAAUUUCAAAACCCUCUAAGAAAACUAUUACUUGCAUGCCCCUAGGGAGGAGGUUGGGAGGAU